UCGUGCAUUCUUUAUUCCUCAAUCUCACAAUGUCCAUCAAUCAUCAAUCCCAUAGACACGCAAUCAUUACUAGUGACAUAACUUUUGCCUUGGAAAGGUCUGCAAGUUUGCUAUCUUGAAUUUCCAAUAUGCCAAAUCUGGCUCCAACAUCAUAUAUGUUGAGUUCCGACAGUCUCAAUAUCCAAACAUACAAAUCUCUUGUACUCAACAUUCUCUAGCUCAAUGCAACUCCUGAGCCAUCUCAUCCGAGCAUGAGAAGACCUCACACACCACACAAUGUUCUAACCAUGGAAUCAUUUUUAUCUUUCAUCUCUUCUCUUACAAUCAAACUCAAUACAUGAGCACAACACCUCAAGUGGGGUAACUCACCUCUCAAUACUAGAGAGUUUCAAGAGUUUAAGUCUCUUUUUUCACAUAUUGAAUCCCAAGAUAUUUGAGCUCGCAUUAUCUGCGAUGAUUGAAAAACACCCUCUGAAUCCCCGACCAAUUAAGCACUUCUCAACUGUUUUUCCUAUAACCUCUCAGCAAAGUGACUAGAGAUCUGACUUUUUAACUGCUGCUUCCAAUCAGCAUCUACGAUAUGAUAAGUGAGAGACACAGCAUAUGUUAGUGGUAAGACAACAUCUAGAAGAUGUAUCGGAAAAAUAAUUCUUCAAUUUACUUCUUUCUUCCACGUAUAACUCAUAACAACCAUGUCUCAAGUGUUAUGAGACAGAUCAAGAACUUUGAGUGGAUUCUUUUUACCAAUAGCCAAAAUCUCUCAUCGAAGACAUCUAGCAAUCCUGAAAAAAUAUUUCACAUUCAUGUUUUCAUAACAGAAAUUCAUUGGCUACCACCGCUACUCUAUGCAGCUAGCAAAUAUUUAAUAAACAAUCUUGCAUAAGUUCAGUAAAACUCUAAGCUGUGAUCCUGUAAUUCUCUGGUAACUAAGCACCUCAUUAGGCAUUCAUAUAGGCAAAAGAUCUUUGAUAUGUCAAGGCAUGGCAUAUUUUGGACUACACAGCAACCCGUUCAAUGAUACAAGACAUAACAAGAUAAAACAGCAUUACUUGCCCAAUAUACGCUCAGGUUCAGCAACAGUCACGGCAGAGUACUCAAUUUAGAGCUCGGAAAAUGGAAAACCAAAACAUAAAUGGNNNNNNNNNNNNNNNNNNNNNNNNNNNNNNNNNNNNNNNNNNNNNNNNNNNNNNNNNNNNNNNNNNNNNNNNNNNNNNNNNNNNNNNNNNNNNNNNNNNNNNNNNNNNNNNNNNNNNNNNNNNNNNNNNNNNNNNNNNNNNNNNNNNNNNNNNNNAAAAAACGACAUGCUGGUAAGCCCAUCUAGCUACAAUUCAACCUAGAACAAGCAGUUACUCUGAAGAGAGAGAGAGAGAGAGAGAGUACCCUACCUCGUACUUCACAGAGUCAACAGAGUUGAUCGAGGAUGGAGGUAACAACACGGACAUCAGCGACGAGGGCGACAACAUAAACAAGGGCAGAGGCAAUGGGGAUGACGGCAGAGACCACGGCCACAAUAGACACGGCAGAAUAACCGGACAAAGUUCCCCAUCGAGGGGACGCUGUUCCGGAGGGUACGCGAUCGCAGGCUGCCUGGAGAAGCUGGAGGGGGGCCGAUGGGGGAGGGAGUUCAGGUCGGCGAGGCUGCUGGCGAAUGCAGGCGAGAUGGUUGCGGAGACGGGCGAGGGGAGGGGGCGGAGGUGGAGGAGUGGAUGGCGUCGGAGAUGUUUUUAGGUUUUCCUCCUUUACGUGUUGAUAGGUUUGGAAACAAGUAUAUGGAUGUGUUCGUAGUAGUUUGCUUCUGUACUUACUGCCCGAACCGAAAUGAAACCCGCAUCAAAAUGACAGGGGAUUUUUUUUUUUAUUCGGUUUCAAUUUCAGUUUGGAUUAUCUUUUUUACUCCACCGCUACCGGUUUUCAAUGAUGGUUAAGGCGAUUUUUUUUUAAAGGCGUGCAAAGGAAUUGAGAAUGGCUCGGAAAUGGAUCAAAUUAGCCUAGAAUUGGUGUUUUUCAUGGGGAUUAGUCUAAACUUCGAUUGUAGGUGUGAAAAUGUCCAUUGGGACUAACUCAUAUAUAUAUAUAUAUAUAUAUAUAUAUAUAUAUAUAUAUAUAUAUAAGAAUUGGUGUUUUUCAUGGGGAUCGGUCUAAAUUUCGAUUGUAGGUGUGAAAAUGUCCUUGGAACUAACUCUAUAUAUAUAUAUAUAUGCCAUUUGAUCUGUACUCGACUUAUUUAACUAAAUCUAAGAAAUCUUAUUUCUUAUAUAAAUAUUAAAAAUGGUAUUGCUAAAUUUUUUUUAUACAACACAAAUUUAAUGGACAAUUUUGAUCAUUUUUAAAAUAAUUAUUUUAAAAAAUAAAAAUUUAAUAAUUUUUAUUUUUAAGAAUAUAAUUUUAUUUUUUAUUUUUUAUUCCCUCGAAUCGAAUUAGUNNNNNNNNNNNNNNNNNNNNNNNNNNNNNNNNNNNNNNNNNNNNNNNNNNNNNNNNNNNNNNNNNNNNNNNNNNNNNNNNNNNNNNNNNNNNNNNNNNNNGGUGGAUCUGGCAAGGCUCAAGUCUUGCCUAACGUUGGCAAGUUCAAGCCUUGCCGAACGUCGAGGAGGCCUCCGCCUCGCCAUAUUCAACGGGAUCAAGCUUGCCCGAUGCCAGCGAGCUCGAGGCUUGCCUCGCUGGUCGCCCGGCCAUCACUGUGUCAGCCACCAGAAGGAGGAAGAAGAAAGAAAAAAAAGAAAAAAAGAAAAAAGGAAAAAGAAAAAAAUUUAUCAUUUUGAUUUUUAUAAAAAAAAAAAUAUUUUUGUAAAGUUAAAGAGGGAAGAGAGAGAUUGUGAGAUUUUAGUUAAAAAUGGGUUCUAAAUCCAACUAAUUUAUGACCCGCUUAAGACCCACCUAUCUUAAGUCUUUAAUUGUUAAAUUCAUUUAAUUAGUUUCUUCAAAAAAUAAGUAAUCCAUAUAUGACCCAUUUAUGAUUUAAAUAGAGACCCAUUUUACCACCUCUAGUUUCUGUCUAGUUCAUAUGAUGCGGAGGACCAUGUUAAAUAGCUCUGCACGGCUUUGUACAUAUUGAGCCUUCAGUUUUAGUUACAGAUGGAAGGCUUCAAAGGUGCAUCAAACAAUGUAGUCUUUGCUUCCAUCAAUAGUUAGCGUCCCUAAUUCCAAUGGCAGUUCUUUAUUAUUCAAAUCUUGAUACACACUCCUUUGUUUAUACCGUUCCCUUUGGUGCUUUGGCAAUUCUGUAGUGAGUGUGAUGGUAUAAAUUGAUAUAUGCAAUUCUGUAUGGAUUGAGAACCAGUUCCAUAGAUUUACUUGAUAACUUAACCGGACCGACAAUCCGAUUCUCAGGUAGGUCCAAGGAAUCAAUGGGUAGUUCCGGAUUCCAAUUUUUUUGGACCGGUUCUUGGUGGGCAGUUUUCGGUUCCCGCCCACUCAACCCUAAUUUUUAUCCAUGACUGAUACAAGUAACUCUCUUAAAGAAGUUGGAAGGUUAACCACCCAAUCAAGACAGGAUAGGACAUCCUUCUCUAGUAUUGCAAAGCCACCCGAUGGUUGCCUUCGCCAACGGACAAAUCUGAAAUCCAAACUCGGGAAGUGGUCUCGCUCCUUUCAUGUAUCUUCGAUACUCUCUGCCUAUACUUACAGUUCGGUAAACCACUGCUCCAAUAUGGAACUCUUAGACCAUCAGUGACGAUGAGGAUCGAAAGUCUAUCCCACCAUACUGAUAAAGGAUAUGUAUGUCCCAAUGAACUGUUGCGGCAUCCAUGUCGGUACAAAAUGUCAUGCCCUGCCUGGUCAACAUUAGCUUUAGUUUGCUUUGCAGAUUGCUUCUUUGGAAGUGCUCUCCACCCAAUUUCAUGCUGGCAGAAUCCUCCUGGCAAGUUGAUAGCUUCAACUGCUUGGUAAGCUAUUUCGCAAGCUUCUUCCGGUUUCAUCCCCUGGUGGUGAGUGAACUGCGAACAUGACCCCGGCUGCGACAAAAUUGCCAUCUGAGAUGAAAGCAGUUCCGGCAUGAAAUAUUUUAAUAGAUGGAGCAACAAGCUCCGGUUCUUCCAGAUUCCAGAUCACGCUCCCCUUUCCGUAGGCUCCCGGAUAGGCCGUACUUGCCCAUUACCACCACAUUGGCAGAUCCAAGCAACCAAUUCAGUGUCACUCAGUGCAGCUCUUCCCUGCACGCUGACAGCAACACUAAGCGCCGAGUCUGAAAGUGAGAUAUCAACACCUAUAUGUAAGAGGGAGCACAAGAGGGUGACUAAACGCACUCUCAUUGUCAACUUGUCAGCACAUUAUAGUGAUUCCAUAAAGUAUAAAUUUCAAGAUGACAAUAAAAGGACCGAGGUUGAGCGACAAAGAAAAGGCUGAGAGGUAGGAGCAUUAAGGCCAAGGAUGAAAUCCCAACGGCAUUACCGGAUUGUCUUCUCUGUUCACUAGAUUAUGAUCACUUAUCUCACACUGAUAAACAAUCAUCUCAUCCAUCAAAGCUACAUGAACUUCCAUAUUUGCUGAUCAUUUAUAUUAGUAUCUUUUAAUUUUUUUGCAGCACACGUGCUCACAGUAUUGAAUUCUCACCUACAGGGAAGGGGGGAACUGCUGCUGAAGGGAUUGGACGUGAAAAACUGAAGAUUACCGUGCACCGAUGUGAACUACCCUAUCAAUCUCUAAUGGCAUCUUUUCUACAUAGUUAUAGGAUAAUUUGGUACAUCCAUAAGUACCCAGCACUCUGCACUAUAUUCACUAUAAAUCCCAUGUUCAAAUUGUAGAAAAUAGAGACCAGAGAUCUUAGCCCAAGAAAAAGAAGACAGAGAUUGCCAGUGAAUCACUGAAACUGAAGCAUUGAGCAGCCACAACUCGGUACUUCAAUACAAAAUUGGUCAUUAUUGUUGAAGGUGGACUCUUGAUACAAUCACAGUCAUAAAUAAAUAUUGAUAAAAGACAUGUCGGAAAACCUGGUGUUUCAGAUCUCCAAAUCAGUUAGUUUAGGCAUCCAAGAUUUCUUCUCUAUCAUGAGUCCAGCAUAGAGACUGCCAACAAAAUUGCAACCUUCAACUGCUGUCAGCUUCACUGCAGAUGCGUCUGUAAAAGUCGUAUACUGCACGAAUUAUUCGUAAACAUGGUGAGGAACUAAGUCUUUUCCAUGAAGCAUGCGAUGGAGUAUGAAUAAUUCAGCAAACGGCAAGAUGUCAAUUCCUUAGUUGUUCCAUGUGACGGUCACCAACAUCCAGUGGCAUUCGACAUAUCAUAAUCAAUAUCGUUUUCAGAGUAACAGAUUCUUGGUUUGAUGAUAAGUCGGUAAACCAAAUGGAGGAAAAGCUAAUGCUACAUGUCCAACUAGGAAACUACUUGACUGGGAAUGUUACGCUUGUCCCACAUUUUCUUCAUGAAGCUCUUGGAACCCUUUAAAACAGCAGCUUCUGAUGAAGGACCAAAGGCAGGGAUUCCAGCCUUCAACUAAAUUAUUUACCAAACCCGCAACAAGAGGAGCCUGUGGUCCGACCACAACUAGUCCGAUUCGCUGCUUCCAAAAUAUAGAAAUAACAUUGUACUAUCGAGAACGUCAAUCUGGAAUGCAAGUGGCAUCCCCCGAGCUCGGCAUUUCCCAAAGCAAAGUGCAUGUUUCCUUCCUCCACCGCCAAUGACGAGCAACACCACUCUCUCUUGGGUAGAAUAUUAGGAAAAGGAUAUAAAUGAAUAACAGAAAACUUUAGAAAUGUACACAUUACGAAAGGAAGGCAAAUUAUAAGUUUAAAAUACCCUCAAAACAAAACCAUAAAUACAAUCAAUGAAAGCAAAACAAAAGCGAAUCAUUGCAAGCAUAAUUUAUCUCCACAUAUGUUCUAUACCACAUAGAUACCUUUAUAAAUAAAUUUCCUGGUCAUAUAACGAUUAAUUUACCAUGUUAAAAACUAUCAAAAAUUAUAAAAUAAAUGAAAUGUCUGAUAUUAAGGGCCAACCGGAAGUAGAAAUUUAACAUAAGUACCCAAAGAAAGCCACAAUUAGCAUGACUGACAGGAUUGGAUUUCUCAUAAUAAGCUUAAGUUCCAAUAUAGCUGACAAUCACAUAGAGGAAUGGCAUAACAUCCUAUGGAUGAUGCCAAUAUAAUCCGCCAACAGUCUACGAGGCUUGCGCUGCUUUGCAUCUAUAGUUCCUAAAAUGUUUUCAUUACCCAAGGUUAGCAAAACAAAUUGAGCUGAUGAAGAACAUCGAAUUGUAGUGAGGACAAUCACAGGGAAAUUUGAGGAUCCGUGACACCAAAACAAAGGGAUAGACACACUAUGCAAACAAAUACUAAUCCCUGUUCACAAAACCAAGAGCGCACCAGAGUAAAUCCACAAAAAUCGCUAAUCACACCAUCAGAAACACAGUUACUUUGAGAUAAAUCAAUGAAGACCGAUUGCUCUAAUGUCCCGCCGACGCACUUGAAAAUAACCCGAGAAUUUAAUCUGAUCGAAGGUAAACAUUGUUCACAAAACAAAAGCGCUCCAUGUAUUUACAUUCGAAAUGUUUCUAAAAUGAGAUGGUAUAUCUAAGGUGAUGAUAAAAAGACGAACGUUAGUUUUUAAAUGACUAGAAAAGUUGGCAAGUUAAAAAAUAAAAAUUAACAUCAAUAAGUAACUUAAUUGAGACCUAGUAAUCCAAUAUUAGGUUGUAAAUGGAUAGGAUAAAAGGCAGCGAGUCACACUAAUUUACAUUGGUAAAAAACAAAAAAAACACUAAUUUACAUUGGUAAACUCUAAAAAGAUAGUAAAUUUUUGAGGUGUUGCUGACCAAAACAAACAAAGUUAGGUAACUUUGUUGGAGAAAUCUUCGUGAAGUGUUUUGAAGUUGACAAAACGUUUCCAUCAGUCUAGUCUGAAGGUCAGCAGACUCUGUUGGUUAAAGUCUGAAGACUUCCGGACAGCCAGACUCAAGACUCAAAGUCUAUCCUCAUUGACAGUCUCUAAUCCGUUGAAGAAAGGUUAUCCAGAACUGGAUGUUUUGUUUAGGAUUUAACCUUAUCAUCUGGAGAAGAUCUCGUGGUUGGAGAAGACGUAUAAGAAUCCUUUGAUUGAUCAAGAUUGAUUCAAUGACUGAAGAUUCGAUGAUUAUCUAAAUAUUAUUGGAAGGUUCUACUUAUGGAAACCGAGAUCCUGAUUGUAUGGGCGAACAUGAUUGAUGGGCUAUCAACACGUUCCUUUAAUAACUCGAACAAUCUUCCUAAUUGAUUCCGUCCAACGGGUAGAUUGGAGGAAUUCCUUUGGUAAGUGCCAACGGGUAUGAUGGCAUAAAGGAGUAUAUAAGGAAGACGUUCUUAGUUGUUCGAGGAGUGCGCGAUAGAAGAAUUCCAAAGUCUGAAGCUCCUAUUUGUUUAGAUAAAUCUUUUGAGCGAAUACUUGUAUACAAAAGAGAGAGUCUAUAUUUGUGAGAGACCUUGAGGAGGUGUGGUAAAACAUCUACACUGUGGAAUCAAGGCAAAGCUGUGCUGUAACUCCUCUUUUGAUCAUAGUGAAAUCCAGCCGGUGGAUUGUCAGUGCGGAAGAGUGGACGUAGGCUUGGAAUAAGCCGAACCAUUAUAAAUCCUGUGUUCAAUUUUCUCUUCCUCACUCUCUCUACCUCAAUCGUAUUUCAUUUUGUUAAUUAAGAGAGAAUUUACUUUCUAUCAUAUGUUAAGAAUCGCUUCCGUAUAUCGAUAAAUUGUUUAGGCACCUAUUCACCCCCCUCUAGGUACUCAUACUAGCACUAUCAAUUGGUAUUAGAGCCCGUGUACUCACUUUGUUUGAAGUGUUUUACUUCAGAGUUAAAGAUCCAUGGCUAGUAUGCUAGCACCAGGGCUGAUGGAAGGGCAAAGCAAUACCAGACCACCCUACUUUGAUGGAAAGGAUUACAACAUCUGGAAGAACAAGAUGAAAGCUUUCCUACGAUCAAAGGAUCCUCUGGAAUGGGACGUUGUAGAAAAAGGAAUUACUCCUACCACUGCAUCAGUCUCUGAAAGAGGAAAAGAAACUGAAGAAAUCAGCGGAAUGUCUCAGGAAGAAAUAAUCAAGAGACAGACACUCGAUGCAAAAGCAAUUUACUCCUUAUAUUGUGCUUUAUCACCAACUGAAUAUAAUAGAAUAUCUUCUUGUGGUACAGCAAAAGAAGUUUGGGACAGAUUGCAUAUCACCUAUGAAGGAACAGAUCGAGUGAAGGAAACAAGAAUCAACAUUCUUCUCGGUCAAUACGAAGCCUUCAGAAUGAAACAAGGAGAAUCAAUAUCUGAUAUGUUUAGUCGUUUUACAGAUAUUGUGAAUGGUCUUGAAAAUCAAGGUCAACCAACUUCUGAUCCCAUGAAGGUAAACAAGCUACUGCGUGGACUCUCAAGGGAUUGGAAUCACAUAAAGACUUCGAUAAGAGAGACGCAGAGAAUCAUGCCACUAUCUGUCGACGAGCUGAUUGGAACUCUUCAGUCCUAUGAAGUGGAAAUGAUCAAUGAAGAUGAAGAUCCAAAAGGUAAGAAAUCCAUUGCAUUAAAAUCAAAUGAUGAUUCUGAUGUUACAGAUUCUAAAGAUGAUAUGGACGAUGAGGAGCUUGCUCUCAUGAUAAGAAGAUUUAGAAAACUGAAUAGAAAAGGAAGAAGGUUCAACUCAAAGAAACAAAGCUUUCAAAGAUAGCAGACCAAGUCUGUUGAUGAUGAGGAACCAAAUAAAGAUGUAGUCUGCUUUGAAUGCAAGAAAAAGGGACACAUCAGACCCAACUGUUCUCUUCUGAAGAAGAAGAGAGGAAAAGCUGAAAAAUUUCGAAAAGCUCUCAAAACCGAAACCUGGAGUGAUACUGAGUGUGAAGAAAGUGAUAAUGAAUAUGCCAAUCUAUGUCUGAUGGCACAAUCAGACUCAGACUCUGGAUCAGACUCAGGAUCAGACUCAGACAGUGAAUUUGAGGCAAGUGAUUUCAAAAUUCCUGUUAAAAUUUCUAAAUAUAUUGAUGAACUAUGCUUUAGUCUUAAGACUUCUCUCAAAAGAAUUUCCGAACUGAAAAAAGAAAACUCAGCUCUAAAACAAAAGGAAAAUGUUUUAGCAGAAAGAGUUAAAAGUCUAGACUUGUCUGUUUCUAAUCUUAAAGAAAAUGAAGAUAAUCUUUUAAAAGAAAAUGCUUUUUUAAAAAUAGACUUAUCAAAUAUAUCAAAGAAAUUUUCUAUAGGGUCCGAAAAACUUGAGAAAAUUCUUUCAGCACAAAGACCUUACUUCAAUAAGUCUGGUCUAGGUAUGACAGAAGAAUCAAUUCUCUUGAUUGAUUUUCCUAAAGUAAAAGAAAGAAUUAAGAAAAAACUCUCGAGUGAGGUUUACAAAAAUCACUUCAAGAAAGUUUUUGUAAAACCUGUAGGUAGAAAUGCUCUCAGAUGUUCUAAGUGCAACAGUCCGGAUCACUUUGAAAAAGAGUGUCCUAUGGUAUGGAAACCUGUUAAGAAAGUAUGGGCUAAUACUGUUUAUCUUACUAACACCAAAGGACCCAAGAAAAUUUGGGUACCAAAGAAAGCUUGAGACUAUCUUUCAAUUGCAGGUGUCCGUCAAAGAAAAGGUAAAGUGGUAUCUUGAUAGUGGAUGCUCAAGACACAUGACAGGAGACUCAAAUUGCUUCAUAAAGCUUGUUCAAGUAAAUGGUGGAAAAGUUUCAUUUGGAGGAAACAGCAAAGGAAGUAUUGUGGGAUUUGGAACCGUGAAAAUUGGAACUCUCACAAUAAGUAAUGUUUCCUUAGUGGAAGGACUCAAUUACAAUCUUCUCAGCAUUAGUCAAUUGUGUGAUACUGGUUUCAAGAUCUUCUUUCAAGAAGGAACAUGUUCUGGAAUCAGUAAAGACUCUACUCAGUCUUUCAUGGGUCGAAGACAUGGAAAUAUCUAUCUUCUGGAUGUGAAACCAAAUGAAUCGCAAUGCCUUAUCUCAAUUCAAGACGAAGCAAGCUUAUGGCACAAAAAGCUUGGUCAUGUCAACAUGAAGCAAUUAGCCAAAAUUUCUUCAAAACAGCUAGUUCGAGGACUACCCAAAUUGCCAUACCAAAAGACUGAUUCAUGCACUCCAUGUAUUCUGGGAAAGCAGGUAAGAAAUUCUUUUAAGCCAAUUAAUUAUGUCUCUACUAAUCAUGUAUUACAGUUGCUGCAUAUGGAUUUUUUCGGACCAACCAGAACUCAAAGUAUUGGGGGUAAGAAGUAUUGCCUAGUAAUUGUUGAUGAUUACUCCCGUUUUACUUGGGUAUAUUUCCUUGUAAGUAAGUCUGAAACCUUUUCGUAUUUUGAAAAAUUUGCUAAAAUGGUUCAAAAUGAAAAAAGGAUGUGUUAUAUCUAGUAUAAGAACAGAUCAUGGAGGUGAAUUUGAAAAUCAAGAUUUUACAAAAUUCUGUGAUGAAUCUGGCUGUAAGCAUGUGUUUUCCUCUCCAUAUACUCCUCAGCAAAAUGGAGUUGUGGAAAGAAAGAACAGAUCUCUUCAAGAAAUGGCUAGAACUCUUUUAAUUGAAAGUAAAAUUUCUUCUCGAUUUUGGGUUGAAGCUGUUUCAACAGCAUGCUAUAUCAUCAAUAGAGUCUUCUUAAGAUCUAUUCUUCAGAAAACCCCUUAUGAGUUAUUCAAAGAAAAGAAGCCUAUUGUUUCAUACUUUCAUGUAUUCGGUUGCAAAUGUUUUAUAUUGAAAAAUGCAAAAGAUUGAGUUGGUAAGUUUGAAGAAAGAUCAGAUGAAGGUAUCUUCCUUGGAUAUUCUACUUCAAGCAAAGCCUACAGAGUCUAUAACAAGAAGAGCCAGACUGUGGAGGAGUCAAUGAAUGUCAAAUUUCAAGACUCAACAAAGGAUGAAUCAAGUCAGACUCAUUAAGAAGAGUCUGAACCUGGUCCAGACCCUCCAAAGUCUACAACUCAAGAAGCAUCUCAGACUCUGGAAAACCAGCUUCAAGAUGUUCGUGAAGAUCCAAACAAAGAAAGAGAUCAUCAACCAGACAAAUCAACGAGUAACUGGAAGCAUAAGUCCAGUCAUCCCAAAGAUCUUAUAAUUGGCGAAAUUAAUGAAGGAAUUCGCACCAGAUCCAAAAGGCGAGAAGAGUCUAGUGCUGUGGCACUCGUUUCUGAAAUUGAACCAAAGAGCAUAGAAGAAGCUUUAUCUGAUGAAAGCUGGAUUGAAGCUAUGCAAGAAGAGCUCAGACAAUUCAACAUAAAUGAUGUCUGGGAAUUGACAUCCAAACCAAAAGGUAAAACUGUUAUUGGAGCUAAAUGGGUUUUCAGAAACAAGAUGAACGAGAAAGGAAAAGUCGUACGAAAUAAAGCAAGACUCGUGGCCAAGGGAUAUACGCAAGAAGAAGGAAUAGACUAUGAUGAGACUUACGCUCCAGUGGCAAGGUUAGAAGCUAUUCGACUAUUACUUGCGUUUGCUUGUUAUAAGAAUUUCAGGUUAUUCCAAAUGGACGUCAAAAGCGCCUUCCUAAAUGGAUUUAUCCAUGAGGAAGUUUAUGUGGAACAACCACCAGGGUUUGAAGACCCAAAGAAGCCAGACUCAGUCUUCAGAUUGAAAAAGGCUUUGUAUGGGUUAAAGCAAGCACCCCGAGCUUGGUACGACAGAUUGAGUAAGUUUUUAAUACAAAAUGGUUUUGUCAAAGGUAAAGUAGAUACGACUUUAUUUAUUAAGAAGGAAAACAAAAGUUUCUUACUUGUUCAAAUAUAUGUGGAUGACAUUAUUUUCGGAUCCUCUAAUGAGAAUCUGUGCAAGAAAUUUUCUAAGUCUAUGCAAGAUGAAUUUGAAAUGAGUAUGAUGGGAGAAUUAACAUUCUUCCUUGGUCUUCAAGUAAAACAAUUGGAGGAAGGAACUUUUAUUUAUCAAGAAAAAUAUGCUAAUGAUCUUGUCAAAAGGUUUGGACUGGAAAAAUGCAAAAAGGUCGACAUUCCAAUGUCAAAUUCUUUAAAGAUAGACAAAGAUGAAGAAGGGAAGAAAGUUGAUCAAAAGCUGUACAGGAGCAUUAUUGGAUCACUUCUUUAUCUUACUGCCUCUAGACCUGAUAUUUUGUUGAGUGUUUGCAUCUGUGCUAGGUUUCAAUCAGAUCCUAGAGAAUCUCAUCUCAGUGCUGCGAAACGCAUCUUUAAAUACGUCGCUUCAUCAUCAAGCAUCGGUCUUUGGUAUCCUAAGAAGGGAGACUUUAAUCUUCUGGGAUAUUCAGACGCAGAUUUGGCCGGUUGCAGAGUUGAUAGAAAGAGCACUUCAGGAACUUGCCAGUUGCUUGGAAGUAGGACAGUGUCUUGGUUUUCAAGGAAACAAAGCACUGUGUCUCUUUCAACAACAGAAGCAGAGUAUAUAGCUCUUGGAAGCUGCUGUUCGCAAAUUCUAUGGAGAAAACAACAGCUAAGAGACUUUGAAAUUGAAGACUCAUGCACGGAGAUUAAUUGCGACAACACCAGCGCUAUCAACCUCACCAAAAAUCCAAUUCUCCACUCAAGAGCAAAGCAUAUAGAGAUUCGACAUCACUUUAUUAGAGACCAUGUUCAAAAUGGAGAUGUUUCAAUUCAAUUUGUUGACUCAAAGAAUCAACUGGCGGAUAUAUUCACAAAGCCUUUGGAGAAAAAUCAAUUUGAGUUUAUACGAUCCAGACUCAACAUUUUGAGGUAUGAGGAUAUCAAAGUCUAAAGACUUUCAGACUCAGGCUUACAAGACUUUAUCUACUGUCUUGGCUCGACCGUCAGACUGUAAGUCUUUCUCUCUCCAAUCUUAUCUUGAAAAGGUAUGAUCAUCAGGCUGUGUUUAAAUUGUUGCUAUAUUUAAUUAACGUAAAUAUUGCAACGAUUCAUUUUCAAAAGGGAAGUUAUUUUUGAAAUAACUAUUUUUGCGGAUAAAGACAGUUAUUUUGAAAAGGCAUAUUUUUAUUUCCUUUGUGACAGUUCGUUUACUCUUCGUUUUAACCGAUUGUGCACUGUCGAUUUCUCUUCACUUUUCUAUUCACUUUUCUCUCAAAAACCCUAGAAAGCAUCGAUCCUCAAUUCCCGUUUGUCUUCUUCGCUCAAUCUUAAAAAAGUUGUCAUCUUUUCUGGGAAAGUCAAACAAGGAAUCUUCCAAACACUGAGAAAGAUGUCAUCUUCACGAAAGUCCUCAAGAAUCGCAAGCAGGGGACCACAGAGAAUGAGUGAGGGGCCUACGCACUUCGAUCUUACUGAAGAUGAAGUUACUCCAGAUCAGCAACCGAGCCCACAACAUUCUCAGCAGCGUCAGUCUUCUCCAUCUAGUCCUCAAGGCGGUGUUCAUCAGCAUCAAGAAGAAAUCAUCGAGGAUGCAGACCCCGUAAGAGUUCAAAAGCCCGCUUUUAUUUACAAGCUAUAUCGUGCCUUAAAAGGAAUUCGUACUCCUUUGAACUAUGUUGAUGAGUUUCUUAGAGACAAAGGAUAUAGGAACGAAUAUAUCUUUCUGCGAAAAAUGGAAAGUUUGGGAAUCGCUCGUAGAGGGGUGGCUGAGGAAACCCUUGCGAAUAUCCCAAGUGAUCCUCGUGACUGGGGACCGAAUCCUGUAGAUGGGAAUGACGAUGACAAUCUGUUCAGUCUAUUUCAACCGAAAAUGGGUAUUGCGGCUGAAAUUCAAGGAAAAAUGGGAGAUUUGUUCAGAUCAAAGGAACAAAAGGAUCUGUACUCGAAAUUGCUGAAGCGUGGGGUAAUAAACCCUAGGAGUGUGGACUUUGAUUUUCUGGAUGCUGUGAAAGUGAACUUGAGGGAAAAGUUCAGUUAUCUUCAACUUGAAAAGUUUUGCUCUGACUCAACUGAGGCUUAUGCUGAAUUGACUGCAUAUUUCUAUUCAAAUCUUAGCUUUUUGGAUGCGAAUAGAUUUUCCUUCAGUGUUAAAGAACAAGACUAUGUUGUGGAUAUGGAUAUGCUGGCAGAUGUGUUAGAAGUUGAAAGAGGCAGAUAUCAACCAAUCAAAGUUUCCAUUGCUGGGGCCACACUUGAACUGGUGAAGGACAGGAGAAUAGAUGAGAAGAUCACCUACUCACGAAUGAAUGCAUUCAACAUCUUGCUUCACAAGAUUGUGAUCAAUUGCCUUCGGCCGAAAUCAACUUCCAAAACUGAUGUUUCAAGCUCUGAGGCAAAGUUGAUGUAUGCCAUCCUCUGUGGUAAGAAGUUUUCUCUCCCUCAUACUGUUAUGUUUCACAUGUAUAGAGCAGUGAUGAAGGACAGAGGUCAACUCCCUUACCCAAGCCUUGUUACAAAGUUAUUCAGACAUCUGAAUAUUCAGCCUCCGCAAAUCUUUUGUGUUCGAUCAUGCGAUCAUAUGAUGGUAAGAUUGAAAAUGGUGACCAAAAUGCGUCUGAAGGAACUGAGCAAGGAAUUGGAGAAAUUCAAGGAGAAGACUCCUGCCAAAUCUCAUCAACUCUCUUCUGCUGCUAAGAGAAAAGGGAAGGAGCCCAUGGCUGCUUCAUCAAAGAGAAGAAGAGCUCUCCUCGUUGAGGAUGAAGAUGAUGACGAAGACAUCACCAUCUCUGCAAUGGCUUUGAAGAAUUUAGGUCGUCCUGUUCCACAGAAAGAAUCGGAACAAAAGACGAAAGAAGCAGAGGAGAAGGAAGAAGAAGAAAGAGAAGCAGAGCAAGAAGCAGAGGAAGAAAGACCUAAAGAAGAAAGAAGAGAAGAAGGACAACCUGAGGAAAUCUCUUCUCCACCUGUAGGCAUGGAAACAGGGGGAGAUCAGGAGAAAGGAAUGACGUCUUCAUAUCCUGAUGCAAGUGAAGGAGUCAGUCGCUCGCCUACAGACCCAGAAGAUGUUUAUGCAUCUCAGUUUCCAGAAGAAGGUCAUGAAGUGUCAUCGCCAAAUCUGCAAGAUUAUGCUGAUCUACCAUCUUCUGCAGAUCGAGCCAAAGCAAGUAUUCAGACUGAUAAUGGAGCAGAUUUUCGCAGAAUCAUGGAUAUUCUCUUGGAGAUGAAAGGUCAGAUUUAUGCCUUGGGAAGCGAAGUUCAAAGUUUGAAGAAUGAAAGUCAAGCUUCUUCCUGUUCAUUGAAUGAUAAGAUGCAAGCCCUCUCUAUUCAGAAUCAGGCCAAUGCCAAGAGUGAGGAGGUUGUACAGCUGAAGGAAGACUUUAAAAGGCUGGAAGGCAUCGUUCAGUCUAUGGAAGAUUUCCAGCUUGUCCGCAUUCCCAAGACUUCAUCUCAUCCUUUUUAAUGAUGACAAAAAGGGGGAGAGAUGCAUGAUUUGAUCAAAAACUUUCAAUCAUUUUUUAACUGUUUGUUGGAUUGUGUUGUUGUUUAACUGUUUUUGACAGACUUUGACUUUGUUUUGUGUCUGGAUGAGAUCUGAACUAGACUUGGAUUUGACUGCUUCUAUUAACAAGUAUUGAUAUCUUAUGGAUGGUUUUAUUAUAUACUAGACUAACCUAUUUUCUGUGGUUGCAGAUUCUAGUGUUAAUCUUUUAGCCAUUCAUCUCUAUAAGAUAUGCAUAUGUGUUUGAGAAAUGUUUUGCAGGUCAAAGUUAUCCAAAUCUGCAGGAAGGUUUUGUCACCAUAAAAAAUGGGGAGAUUGUUGGAGAAAUCUUCGUGAAGUGUUUUGAAGUUGACAAAACGUUUCCAUCAGUCUAGUCUGAAGGUCAGCAGACUCUGUUGGUUAAAGUCUGAAGACUUCCGGACAGCCAGACUCAAGACUCAAAGUCUAUCCUCAUUGACAGUCUCUAAUUCGUUGAAGAAAGGUUAUCCAGAACUGGAUGUUUUGUUCAGGAUUUAACCUUAUCAUCUGGAGAAGAUCUCGUGGUUGGAGAAGACGUAUAAGAAUCCUUUGAUUGAUCAAGAUUGAUUCAAUGACUGAAGAUUCGAUGAUUAUCUAAAUAUUAUUGGAAGGUUCUACUUAUGGAAACCGAGAUCCUGAUUGUAUGGGCGAACAGGAUUGAUGGGCUAUCAACACGUUCCUUUAAUAGCUCGAACAAUCUUCCUAAUUGAUUCCGUCCAACGGGUAGAUUGGAGGAAUUCCUUUGGUAAGUGCCAACGGGUAUGAUGGCAUAAAGGAGUAUAUAAGGAAGACGUUCUUAGUUGUUCGAGGAGUGCGCGAUAGAAGAAUUCCAAAGUCUGAAGCUCCUAUUUGUUUAGAUAAAUCUUUUGAGCGAAUACUUGUAUACAAAAGAGAGAGUCUAUAUUUGUGAGAGACCUUGAGGAGGUGUGGUAAAACAUCUACACUGUGGAAUCAAGGCAAAGCUGUGCUGUAACUCCUCUUUUGAUCAUAGUGAAAUCCAGUCGGUGGGCUAUCAGUGCGGAAGAGUGGACGUAGGCUUGGAAUAAGCUGAACCACUAUAAAUCCUGUGUUCAAUUUUCUCUUCCUCACUCUCUCUACCUCAAUCGUAUUUCAUUUUGUUAAUUAAGAGAGAAUUUACUUUCUAUCAUAUGUUAAGAAUCGCUUCCGUAUAUCGAUAAAUUGUUUAGGCACCUAUUCACCCCCCCUCUAGGUACUCAUACUAGCAAUAUCAAACUUAAUAAAAGAAAUCAAUAAAGUAAAGAAAAAACGUUGGCAAUUUACUCAAAUAAGACUAGGGAGCUCAAUAACUAGUUAUUAAUUGACAAUGCCAAAGUUUGUCAGUUAAUCUAAUUUAGAUUGAUAAAUUCAUAUAAGAGCUAAUACUUUGAAAUGUUUGAAAUUUAUGCAAGUAUAAAUUGAUAAGUUGGCACAAAAAUUGAAACUUACCGACUGCAAAAAAUGAUCGAUUUCAUGAAAUUGUUAGUAAGGUAGGUACUCACCAACACUUAUUUUCACGUUAAUCGCCACAUGCUCUCCUCAUCAUUAAUUUGUGUAAACUGACCCCUACCGCAUUAAGAAGCAUGUGGAAUGGACCCCACGCUAAUUCAACUCUUAUUAAGCAUCGAUCGAUUUCAACAACUAGUCUUGCAUUAAUACUUCUUAUUUGAGAAAGUAACCUUUUUUCUUUGAUUAACCAACUUCUCUUAUCUUACGAAAAAGGGAAAAGAAGAAGCUCUCAUCUCAUUUGGAUCUUUUUUUUACCUUUUUUUAUCGACAUCUUCAAUUUACCAACUACUACAUAAAAUGACUUUACCAACUUUGUUACCGACGCUAAAUGCAACUCUUAUUAAGCACUGAUCCAUCUCAAUAGGAUGGUGCAAACUUGGCAUCUACAAAUAAAUGGCAAUAGACAACUAAGCAUUGGGUUUGGCAGGUACAUUAUCCCGGCAAACCACAAGGCAAUUGCAAAGCUGUUGGCUGGCUUUCGGUAUACAGAUGCACUUCUGCGGCAUCGCUCUGGCCCCUAAAUCGUUCAGGAACUUGAGAGCGCACUGAUAGCUCCCGUCUUUGCUGCACGCACCGUCGUACGUCUUCUCUUUCCGGCAGAAAUAAGGAUCUCCUGGAUAAUCGAACGAACAUAAGAAAAAACCGGAGUCAAAUUGUAGAGGUUUUGUCCCUUAAGGGUUGCGAAAAUUAUCCUUUUUCAUCCAUGUGCCUGUAACGAGCUUUCACUUCGCAAAAUGGGCAAAUGAGAUUUAUCAUUUUUCUCUGAAAAUUCGAGAUAAAAAACGAUGAAUGUACCUUUCGAGAGAUCGACCAAACCGGAGAUAAGAACCAGUGCGAACACGGUAAGGAUGACGGACUUCCUCAUGAUGUUUCUCUUUCUCGGGGCCUCCCUUUUUAGCAUAUUUAAAGGGCCAAUGUAUCGCUCACUUGCUCACCAGUCUAGUCGGAUCAUAGAGAGAAGUGCUUAGAGAAGUUCUAGGUGAGAAUAUAGGGAGAGAGCACCCCUAUUUAUACAUGAGGCAUUUCAAUUGCUACCAUUGAUCAUUUCUUGAUCAAACGACGGUGAUCCACUCUCCUCAACUAAUAUCUAUACACCACCAUCAAUCCUAUUAAAUAUACAAGAAAUACCUUGAAUGCAAAUGUACAUCUCCAAAACUAUCACUAGAAUUUGUAGAAUCCUCAUCAAAACCGUGAGCGAAAGAUAUUUCAAAUCUUGUAGAUCAUCUAGGUUAUCUCUUUGAUCGAUUGGGUUUAAAAACCUCUUGUUCGUGACAAUAUGCUAUGAAUUCCGACCUGGCGAUCAAAUUCUUGGGGGGAAUCAUCAACUUUAUAAUGUUUUAAUAACGGCUCACGCUUUUUUAAUGAUUUUUUUUAUGGUUAUGCCGGCGAUGAUAGGUGGAUCUGGUAAUUGGUCUGUUCUGAUUCUGAUAGGUGCACCUAACAUGGCAUUUCCACGAUUAAAUAAUAUUUCAUUUUGGUUGUUGCCACCAAGUCUCUUGCUCCUAUUAAGCCCAGCCUUAGUAGAAGUGGGUACCGGCACUGGGUGGACGGUCUAUCCGCCCUUAAGUGGUAUUACCAGCCAUUCUGGAGGAGCAGUUGAUUCAGCAAUUUCUAGUCUUCAUCUAUCUGGUGUUUCAUCCAUUUUAGUGUUUUGUAGUAAUUGAAGGUGGAUAAAGCAGGGGCGACUGUGCUGUUUGAGGAGCCAACCAAGGGGAGCAACAAUGUGGGAGUGGUGGUGAGUCCAGUUCAUCUUGCCAGCCUUGGCGAAUUCGGGAGUCCUCAGUUUGUCGCGGACAAGCUCAUACAAGCUGAAAAGCGCAAAGUAGGUGCUUCUUCAAUCGAUUGCUUGGUUCUGAAUGUGGAAUGUCUUAACAGUACGGCGUCCGUAGCCACUUAUGUUUUGGGGCAAUCGAUUAUUUGGUAGAUAAUUUGGUUCUUGGUAGAGUUGCUGAGAAUUGUGUCUUGAAGCUGUCUUAUUGAGGGGAAACAUUGAAGUGAAGUAUCUUUCUGCAGUGCUGAAGAAUUAUUCCUUCGUAUGCAUGGUGGAUUGUGACAAUUUGCCCUAGAAUUCUGAAAUGUUCACGAAACAAGACAGGUAUAUAUGAGGGCUUAUGUGACCUCAAUGGGAAGUACAAACGUGGCUAUAAGAGGUGAAAUUUAUUUUGUUACUUGUUUGUUAAUAUCUUGGACUUUGCUUUCUUAUGCAAGGUGUUAAAUUUCUUGAAUUUUUUUCUAUAGAAUCGCUGAUUGUGGACGAGAUUGAUACGCAAGCGACCCUCUCUUUGGUGAAACCACACACGUUUCAAUCGUUGCACAAGAUAAGUGACAAUUAAAUCAAUUGUUGCGGCAGAGAGUCAGCUUCUAAAGCAAUCCCAUUUUUCAGCAUAUCAAAAAAAGAAAUUCUAUGUUAUUGUCCUCCCAAAUUUAAGGGACUCAACUUGGUUACGGUCCUAGGUGACGUGCACGUGUACGAAGUUGCCCCUUUAAAGGUUGAGAUGCUUCCUUGAUAUGAUUAGUCAAUUAAAGAAAAAUGAAAUGAAAAAAAUUUAGUCUGCUUUUGGCUUAAGAAAAUAAUUUUAGUUGCAUUUUCUUAAAAUUUCAAGGCCUUAUUUAAAAAUAAAAUUUCCUUUAGAAUGAAAUAAAUAUUUCAUACGACAGAUGUACUUCACUGUAAUAAUAAAUAUACGAUUGGGUAACUUUGUUAUUCUCAAAAUUCUUUUCUUGAUAAACUUACUUAUAUAUACAAGUUAGAGAAAAAUAUUUGUUGUCAUGAUAUUUAGGGAAUUCCAGGUUGAAAUCGCUAAUAUCAUGCUUUGAUUAUGUAGGAUCUCUUUUGAAACUACAUAUCGUGACUAUUUUAUUUGAGAAUUAGGCUUUGCCCAUUAAUCGAACGGUGCAUAGAAUAAUGUGAUUCGCAAACAUCUUGACUAAUAAAGAUGGAAAAUUACAUGCUAUCCAUUUAAUAUUAAAAAAAAUAAAAUAAAAAUUGUCCAGUUGGGCCGACUCAAUCCAACUCAACUCGAAAACUCUUGAGUCCGAUAAGUUGAUCCGGCUUUCAUGGCUGAAAAAAAGGACCAUUGCGUUGAAAAUAUCUGUCUCUAACUUCUCUUUUUCUAUCUUUUUUUUUUUUUUAAAUAACAAGAAUAAUGUAAAGAUGCUUAUCGAAGCUCUCAUUAAUAUAUCCUUCCUCGUGACGGACUCAUGUCUUCAACGCACGCAUUUCCUCCCCCUUUUAUUUCUUCUAGACCGAUUCUUCGCAAAAGCGUUUGUAUUUCUCGACUUUAACGGACCCUUAUUAGUUCAUGGACUGCCGCUUCGACAUGCAUAAAUCCUUUGGUAUUUUUCUCCAAAAUUCCCAAAAUUCGCAAUUUAAAGUAUUUUAAGUGCAUUAGAAUCUAUUAUCUUACACCAAAACUGCCUCUUGAACAUUAAAUGCAUUCAAUUUAAGGAAAGGAUUCCUUUUAAUUUUUUUUUUUUUAACAUUCUUCCCAAGAAAAGUAAAAUUUACCGGAAAAUCUCUUGAAAGCUUCAGUCUUAUUACGAAUAUUUGAUUAUAUUGUGACAAAAGUUUCAGUCUAAUUACAAAGAGUUUAUUAUAUUAUGAUAUUUUGUAUGAGGGGAAUAGAUAUGUGCACCAACUAUGUGAUGAAGAUGAUUGUUUUCUUUUACAAUUUUUUUUUCAAGAGAAGAAUAUCAUAAGUAUAGUAUAUAUCUAAUUAUAUUGAAAGUGAUGAGAAAUAAAAUUAACUCCAUGAGAAUGAAAUUAUAUUUAUAUUUACAAAUUCAAGUAAAUUUUUGAUUCUAGUAGGGAGGACAUGUCAUGUUGUAGAAUGAAAAUAUGGACAAAAACAUCUAUACAAUAACAGAUGAGAAAAAUUGAUUUGUUGCACGCAAUAAAACUUGUAGCAAAAUAGACUAACGCUAUGUGAAACACAAUAUAAGGAAUUAGACCAAUCUAUAACAAUAUAGUUGAUAUACUGUACACAAUGUAUUAUGUAUACACAAAUUAUAGGUAAUUAUUAUCAUGAAUCAAUGAUAAUUAAACAUAUAACGUUAAAAAUUAUUUUGAACUAAUCCAAAAUAAAUUUAGUGGAAUAAAAUAUUACGGUUAAUUUUACUUAAUCAAAAUUGAUGAUUGCUUAUAAAAUUUCGAGUAAUAGUGUCAAAUCAAAAACAAAAUUAGUCCAUGAUAAACUCAAUUAUAGUAAAACAAGACAUAUUAAGGCAUAUAAUCUAAUAAACAAUCAGUAUAGUUUUUGUGUGGUAUUUUCUCUAAAUAUUUAAAUUUUAUGGCCAUUGUCGUUGUUAUAACUCCAAAAAAUAUAUAUUAUAUUUUCAAAUAAGUUGAGUGUGAAAAAGUAGAAGAUGAGUUUUUAAUGGCUUUUUAAAAUAUAAAAUCAAUGCAAAGCAUGCGCAAGUACACUAUUUAAUUUAUGAUUCUUCAAUAUGCUUUGUGAAGUGAACAUGUUAGGGGAAGCACGCAAAAAUCCAAUACCUUCAUAAUGGAAAGAUCCAAAAAAGCCCAUAACUCGAGUCCAUUGGCAUUUUAUUAUGACUCAUAUUCACUCAAAAGUUUAAGUUAUUGAAUUAUGGGCCAAUUGAGAAUUAUCAAUUAUCUCUUUAAGCUAAAAACAUCUGAUACUAGACUUCUUUCUUUGCACCACUCAUAUGUGCACUGGACAUUCACUCCCACACAUAUGAUUCUAUCACAUUGGGUCAACUCCACAACAAUCCAAGUUUGAUUUUAUUUUCCACCAACAAAUCUCAACUCAAAUCUCUAAUCAUCACCAAUAGGUAAGAACAAGCCUUUGACAAAUGGUCCCCUCUUGGACCAAACCAUGAUGGCAAACUGUGCUUGGCAACACUAUAGAUGCAUAAAAUUCAGUGUUGAGUAUAGGAUUCACCAAUCAACUAUGGGCUUUAAUCCUGCUACUAGGUUGUAGCACCACAAAAGUGCAAUACCUUCAUAAUGGGGAGAUCUAUGGCGGGGCUCAUAACUUGAGCCCAUUGACUACUAAAUAAACUUAAAGAAUUGAGUAAUGGCUUGAUUAGGUGUUAUCAAUUGUUUAUUUGACCUUUAGGCAUCUAGUAUGAUUUUGCAAGAGUUUUCACUAUUCCAUUUCCCUGUUUGUGAGCCAAAAUUGCCUCAAUGCUAGCUUUUUAUUUUUAUUUUUGGUCAAAGGAAACUUUAUUGAAUUUGAAAGUAUUCAAACAUCGAGUGCCAGACACAUGGAGUGCCAAAACUUGGCACGGAGAGACACUUAAGUGCCAAAAGUUAGGAAAGUGACACUUAAGUGCCAAAAUCAGAGCAAAAUAGAUCACUUUUCCAUCGAAGAGAAGCAAAUGAAGGCUUUCAUAAAAAUUCUCGUAGAAUCGAGAAUGAGUGCCAUUCCGGCCAAAAUCCGUUUUGUACUUACUUCGCCGGAAAAUCGCCACAUCGCAUUUUGGCCGGAUUUUCGCCAGAAUGGCACUUAAGUGAUCCAUUUUGCUAUGAUUUUGACACUUAAGUAUCACUUUUUUAACUUUUGGCAUUUAAGUGUCCCUCCGUGCCAAGCUUUGGCACUAGUGCUGUACUUCUCCCCUAAAAAAUCAAAGCCUAUGUCCAAGGCAUCAUAAACAAGUAGAUCCCAAAGGAUUUGAAUGAGAUAAGCUACCUAGUUAGAAGGUAAAGUUUUCAAUCUAUGGGCCUCAUUGAUCCAAUUUGCUACUCUAUUCGAUUUUCUUGAGUAGUAUACUAAAUUAGUAGGCUCGAACCGUCCCAUAACAUUGCGAGCUUCUAUGAUAAGGGCGUUCACUUCCCACAAAGACUGAUCUGAAUUGUUAACUAUGUUCACCAAUGUCAAUUAGUCAAACUUGGGUACAAUUACUUCCAUCUUCUUUGCUUCGAGGAGAGAGUGCCACAACCAAGCCUAAAGUUUCAGUUUGGAUCGCAGAAGAUACCGGUGCUAAUUUUGCCACUCCGUCGACCAAAGCUCUUGACACAUCAGAACAACGCAGUCGAAAUAUCUAGAAUUUGAUCCUUUAAUGAAGGAGCCAUCAAAAUUGGCUUUUAAAGUUGGUCCUUCAGAGGUUUCCAUCUUUGAGGUAGGGUUUCCUCUUUUGAUAUGGCUUCCUUUUCUCUAAGUUUCCACUUCCUCUAGUUUUUGAGCAUGCCGUGUGUUGAUUCAACAAGAAAAUCUGGAUUUGGGCAUCUAUUUUGAAUGAUAAAGUCGAUUCUUGCUCUCAAUACAAACCACAAAACACUUGCGACCAUCUCAAAAGAAGGUCUGUUUAUUGCUUUCUCCUUGAAUUUCAACAACCAUUCUUCAAUCCUCAACAGUCCCACUUGUGAGAUCUGAAUUUGCAAUGUAGGGUUUGCCCAGAUUAGUGAGGUCCAAGGAUAGAGCAAGAAUCAGUGCUCUAUUGGUUCUGGUUCUAAGUUGCAAAAUGAGCACAAAGCAUUAGGUAAUAUGUUUCUCCUGCAUAAAUUAGCCUUGAUUGGAAUUGCGUUUUGACAUAAACUCCAAAUAAAGAUUCUGACUUUUGAGGGGGAGGGGGAGGGGGAGGAUUUCUAUAUGCCAAAUUUUGUACCAUGACUCCUGGGGUGGCUAGAAUGAUGUUGAUAUUUGCUCUCCUAUGUUCUGCGAAACAGCUUUUUGGUCUUUAUUAUAGGCAAUACUGUGAAAUCACCUGAUUCAAUAUGUCCACACCAACUUGUCUCGUGCAUGUCGAGUUUUUAGAGGGAUAGUUAGUAUAUCACUAAUAAUUUGCUCAUAAAAAAUUCUACAAAGAGUUCGUUCAUCCCAUUUAUCUUCCGCUUUUAGAAUUAAUUUAGCAACUCGAGUGGGUUCGCUGUAGUUUGCUAGUCCACCAAUAAUAUCUCUUUUUAGCCAUCUAUCUUCUCGUAUGUUAAUAUUCUCCCCAUUACCUACUAACCACAUAACUGAUGAUGAAAUCGCUUCUCUGUCCAUCAAGAUACUUUGGCAACUCUAAGAGGGCUGGGAUCCUUUUUUUGCCUUCCAAAAUGAACCAUUGGGGAAUUAGAUCCUUUUUAAAAUUGGGAAAAAACCACAAAAAACCCUAAAUUUUGCCAACUGUGACACAUUUACCCCAAACUUUUUUCCCUGCGACACUAAAAACCCCAAACUUUAGCUUGCGUGACACAUCUACCCUCUGUUAGGGUUCCGUGAAAAAACAUAGUUAAAAAUUCUACAUGGUCGUUGAUGUGGAUGACAGAAUGCAAACGGUACUCACGUGACACCCGUUUAAGAAAUAAAACAGCGUCGUUUUACAUCUGAUGUGGCUAAAGAAAUAAAAAUGCCAUCGUGUGCCCCUCUUUCUCUCAAAAGCUUUUCAUUCAAAACUCCAUCCUCCAUGUUCAAGAGUUCUUGAAGCUCGACUCUCUUACAUCUCCAUGAAUGAGCCCUUACUGUGCUCUGUAUCUCUCUCAGNNNNNNNNNNNNNNNNNNNNNNNNNNNNNNNNNNNNNNNNNNNNNNNNNNNNNNNNNNNNNNNNNNNNNNNNNNNNNNNNNNNNNNNNNNNNNNNNNNNNCGACGGGUACACAAGUUCUCUGGAAAAUUUCAUUUUCUCUCUCGAUUCGUUUCUCCACGUUCUCUGGUGGUUGAUGUUCCCUCUCCAUCUCUUUGAAGCUUCGUUCAUUGGUCGACUCAUUGCUCCAUACGAGACUCGCUCGAUUUGGGACUUGCUUGAUUUUAGCUCGGUAAUUCUAUGAAUUUGAGUAAUCAUAGCUUUUGGAGUGCUUGUGGUUUUUUUCAUACCUCGUUUGUCUAAUAAAGUUGAUGAGAAAAAUGGUAAAAUAAAAAAAGAGUUGAAGAGCUUGUGGUAAAUCGAAGAGUUGUUUGCCUUUGAUAAUGCUGUUGUGUUUGGUCUUAAGCAUGUUCGCGUAGAAAAACUAACAUGUCAAGUUCAUAUUUCUUUAGAACAUGAUAUACUGUUAAAGCAAGUAACCUUAUAUUUGCAGGGAAAUGUAGAAGUCUUUUGACUUUAGUCUCUUGCAUACAAAGAGAUGAAGCGUCGUAUAAAAGGGAAUGACAAAUAUAGUUGAUAUUGAAAUAGUGGAUGACUUCGAGUGUGACAUCUUGAAAUUCAACCCCAUUUCGAUAAAGUGAAAUGGGCAUUUCGUUGACGUGCCUAUGGCCUUUUUUCUCUGAGUUGAUCACUCACGAGUUAACUAACCUAUUGGGUGAAGCCGUUAAGGGAUGUAUCUGCAGUAAAAUCCCUAAAAGCUACAUAAUUAGGGUGCGUUUGGGAACCACUUCCCAAAGCCUCUUGGAAGUCCAAAGCCCUUUGGGCAAAAAAAAAAAAUGGUGUUUGGGAAAAAACUUUGGAAGGGACUUGGGCUAAAUGCUAGCAUUUUUAAGGCUGAAAGCCCAAAGCAGGUUGGGGGUUGCCUUGGGCUUUUAAGCAUUUUUGGCAUACUGGAGCUUCAUUAAAGGAAAGUUUUGUUUUGCCUUUGUUGCCCUCACAAAUUUAUUAAAUUCCAACUUUGACCUUUUUGAAAACCUAAUUUUCGUCACCGCUCGCCUCUAUAGGGUCUCGCUUCUCUCGUCCGAAGGCCUUCUCUCUCUCCCCGAUCUUCUCCACCGCUCCUUUUCAACUCCACGACCGCCAACCCCGACCGUCGCCGUUGGAACCAGCCACCACCGUCUCCAUCGAAGCCCAGCCACCAUGGUGAUGUUCUCUCGUCCAAAGGCCUUCUCUCUCCCCGAUCUUCUCCACCACUCCUUUUCAACUCCACGACCGCCAACCUUGAUCAUUGCCAUCGGAACCAGUCACCACCGUCUCCGUCGAAGCCCAGCCACCAUCGCCGCCGUCGGAGCCUCGGCCACCACUGUCGCCAGCCACCCAACGCCGGACUCUCUUUUUGCUUCGAUCAGUUCUCGAUUCCAUUUUCUUUCGUGCCUAGUUGAAUUCCAGUUUCUGGUUUCUGGCGUGUUCUCUGCUUAUUAGUCGUUAGUCGCAAUUGAAGGAUUACCCAUUUUCUUUCUUCUUUCUUCGAAGUGUUGUGUGCGUGUUCGGUGCUCGUGAUUCUGUGUGCGAUUUGAUGUGCGAACGAGCUGUUUUUGGUGGGAUGCGUUUCUCUUUUUUCCCUUGCAAUUGCCUUGUGGGUUCUCCCCCUUUGCGGAUUCGAAGUGGUGGGUAGAAGGAAAAAUGAGAUUUUGGGGGUCGAUGGUCCGUGUGUUUUGCCAAGUGUUUUCUUGGCUGCCCGUCUUUCUACCGUGUUCGGUGGUUCGCGAUGUGGAUUUGAGAGUGCUGUGCGUUGCGGAUGAUCGUAAUGUUUCGCGAAUGUUACUGGGCUUCGGAACUGUGAAUCGAUGUGAGGUUGCGGGGUGUUGUGGUUAAUCCUCCGACUAAGUUGUUGAUAUUGGGAGCGUUUGAGAGCGUCUAACUGCAUUCUCAGGAAAGUUAGAACAGACUGUAAGAUUGAGAAACAUAUUUAGUAGAGCUAAGCUCUGAUGGGAAUUGUAGAGUCUCUCUGCAAGGCUUUGAGACUUUAUAAUUUGUUUAGGUGAUCCAGAUGCUAAAUUAUCAUUAAUAGUCAAAAUGUGAGGGUAAUUGCUGAUCUUUUUCUAAUUUCUUGAGAGUCUUAGUUUAUUUUCUAUAGCCUUCUCAAUUUUACACAAAUUUCAUGAGGAUAGCAUAAUGACUAGAAUCUACCUUAUGUGAACCAGUUAUUGCUACCUGUAAUUGCAGUGAGUCUUGAUAUGAUGUUGCAAGAUCCUUUUGGCUAUCUGACUAGUCCAUGCCGUACAUUUGUUCUUGAGUAUAUUGUCAAAAUAGGAAGCUCGGCACCAGCUAUUCGUAUCAAUUGAGCCGUGAAACUUGAUGCUAUUGCUAUGAUUUUGUCACUAGCACUCACUAUUUGGCUUAUGUUGAGAUAUAUGUGAGAUGAAACCCAUAUUUCAGUUGCAUUUACUUGAAAUGCAGUCCUGCAUUUUGAUCUUUUUGCUAAGUUUGUUGAACUUAGCUACACUUUCUGUCAUUUGGGCUUUUGCGUUUGAUAAAAUUAGGGGAAAUUUUUUGUAGGUAAUAUCGUCAUAAUGAACAUUCGUCUCGUGUGGAUUAUUGAUGUUAAUGUGUGUACUGUGUAUCAAGUUUGGAGAAAUUCUGGACUUCUCUUUAGUAGGUCACAAAUGACAAUAUCUCAGAUAACUAGUACUAAAAUGCCGAAACACUCUCUGUGGUGUUUAUAAGUUACCUAUAAAGAAUCACAUUCUUUGCUAAUUUCCUGUCUCUAUCACCACAUUUCACUUGGACACAAUUUAUUCCAAUCAAUGUAGUAAUUGAUUGGCUAACAAGUUAACAUAUCUAUGUACAAAUGACCUGUAACCUGUAUGCUCUCGCUGUCAAGCAAGAAUUUGAUGCUCCAAGCUCUACUAGUCUAUCCCAAACUCAGAAAAUUGUACAAAUACGUGAGGCAUAGUUCCACCUUCAAAAGAAUGUAGCCUUGUUAGACAAGAAUCUGUAAUUCAGAAUUAUGUGGAGAUCAAGCAAGCCCCGUGUCUGGUGAUGAACUCAGUCUCUCACACCAAUAUCUGAGACCUCGCAGCACCUCGAGAGCAUUUCCUCCUUCCUGACUUGCUUAGUGCAUAGACGCAGAUUUCGAGUAGCUUGUAGUCCUCCCCCCAGAAUAGAUUAGUGAAGUAGAAUUCUCAUUUUAUUGAAUCUUAAAGCAUAUGCAUCAUGUUGGCUUCUUUUUUUAUUUGGCACUUGGCGCUUGGCGAAUUGGCAUUUUUCUAGACUGAUUGCUAGUUGAGUGUGUUUAUGCCUUUUUUUUAAAAUAUGUUUGUAUUAAUUUUUCUAUGAAGCUUUAGGGAGACAUGAUAUGCAAUUUCCUCAUCCUCCUCCAGGUUUGUUAAUUAAUGGUUUUUGUACACUAAUAUGUAUAAAUAUGGUAUAUGUUGAUCAAAUUUUUAUUAUAAUUAUGCAGGUAAAUAUUAUUUAGUAGAUGCUGGAUAUCCAAAUUCGACGGGUUAUUUGGGACCAUACAAAGAAGUUAGAUAUCAUUUGCCAGAAUUUCAACAAAGUCCCAUCCCUACAGGCUAUCAAGAGGUAUUCAAUCGUGCUCAUUCCUCGCUGCGAUUAGAAAUUGAGCGAGCUUUUGGUGUGUUGAAGAAGAAGUGGAAGAUCCUAAAGUAUAUGCCAAAUUUUCCAUUUGAAAAGCAAGUAAAAAUUGUUAUAGCAGCAAUGACUUUGCAUAAUUACAUAUGACGAAACGCCGCCAAUGAUAGACAUUUUGCAAGAGCAGAUUUGGAUCCCAAUUAUGGAUAUUCAGUUGACCUUCAUAAUACAAAUGAGGGGGCCGUUACUUCAAAUGACAAUUUAUUUUCUGACAUGGCACGUUUACGUGAUCAAAUAGCAAUGAGUUUAGUAAAUACUUGAGGGGGAUGUUUGUAAUUUUCAAUGAAAACCUAUUUCUUUCUUUGAUGCAUAUGUAAUCAUGUUUAUUAUAAUGAAAUUACUAUUUCUUUUUGUUAAUAUAUCUCUUUUAUAUAUACAUCUCAGUGCAAAAUAAAAAAAAAGUCAUUGAAUUUGUUAAUAUAUCUCUUUUAUAUAUACAUCUCAAUGCAAAAAUAUAAAAAAAUAUCAUUAUUUUUGUUUUCAAUUUAAAAAAAUAAAAAAUAAAAGCUUAAAUUAAUCGCGCUAAAGGACUUUCAACAAAUAUGUGUUUACCAAACAGCAUUUUCCCAAAGUUGCUUCUCAAGGCACUUUUCAAUUAUAGUUUACCAAAGAAUUUUUGCAUUUUACCAAAGGCUUUUAGACUAAAGGCUUUUGCAUUUCCUUAAAGGCCUUUCCCAAAAGCAGUUCCCAAAUGCACCCUUAGUUGAAUUGAGCUAAAAUCACGUCUGAUCGAUUUUUAACCACGAAAUUGAACUUGAUUUCGGAAAUCGAAUUUUAAGCGUGCCAUAAUUCUUUUUUUUUUUUUAGGACAUUGUCUCAUUGCUCGUCAAAUUAUUGACGAGUCCGAAAUUUUGAGAAAAGAAAUUAUUGGAAGAAAAACUGAAGACCAAAAGAAAAUAGAAAGGGAAAGAGAAAAGAAAAGAAAAGAAAAUUAAGACUAUACAAGCGGAAGAAGAAGAAAAGCAGCUCGCCGAAGCUCGUCGCCGUUGCACCGGAGCCGGACCACCACCCGUGCACGCCGCGUGCUCCGCCACCACCCCUUCAUGCAUGCUGUCCUCGCCGUGCGCCGUUUAGCCUCUGCUCAGCCCUUGUUCCGCCCCAUCUAGCCACCUCUGGCCACCGCUCGGCCUCGCCAAGCCGCCACCUACCUUCCUGACCCCUUGUUACCCCCAACCAUCUCUUUUUCCCCUCUGUUUUGUAGCAACCCAGCAAGUUGCGGAGUGGGUCUCCAGCGACUUCGGGCCCGCUUUUGGCCGUUUCCGGGCCCCGAACCCGAGCCGUGCUUUGGGAAGAAUCGUUCCUUGUGUCUUCCUCGUCGGAUUGAUACGUUUUGCGCGUGAUUCUGGUGAGUAAUCUCACUAAUCCUAGAUUAGUUGGCUAAUUAUGUUUAAUGGUGGUUUAGUUUUAAUUAAUUAGGUUUAGGUGGUUAGAUUAAUAUGUAUUAGUGUUUAUUAGCCAAUUGUGAUGCGAAUUAGACAAAUUGAAUGUGUAAUUAGCAAGUAGAUGUGAUCUACUAUUUAUUGGAAGUGUCUCGGGAUUUUUCCCGACCCUUAGUGGGCUUCAAUUAGGCUUUUCGGGCUUAAGUGGAAUUUUUAGUAUUUAAAUAUUAAUUUUCGGAAUUAAAUUAAAUAAUUAUUUCUUUUUCGGAAAUUCAAUUGGGAUGGCCCGGAACCGGAAUUUUAUGCUGGUGACCGUGGUGAAGUCCAUUUAUUUAAUUGGGCUUUAUUUUGCGCUAAAUUGAAUUUUUAAUAUUUAUUAAUUAAUUUUCGAAAAUUAAGAUUUUGAUGGCCGACAACCGAAAUCUUGUGCUGAUCGUCGUGGCGUAGUCCGUUUAUUUAUUUGACUCCACGUUGCAUGACUUAAAUAAAUUGUGAUAUUUUAGGGAAUUACCCUAAAUUGAUUGGAAUUGAUUGAGAUUGAAUUGUUGAUUGGUAAAUGGCCAAGUAUGUUAUUCAGCAUUUAUAAUGCUUUGUUGAGUUGAUUUAAUUAUUUGAUUGAGAAAUCGUUGGGCAUUGGUUGUUGGUAUUGAAAGUAGAUUGGUAAUCACUUGAAAGAAAACACGUGGGCUUGGUGAAUUGGAAUAUCACCUGGAGAAUGCACGUGAGUUCAGUGGUUGAGUAUGUCAUCUUGGCGAAGAGGUCGCCUAAGAGAAUGCACGUGGCUCAGAGACUUGGUAUGUCCUCCUGGAGAAUGCACGUGGCUCGGUAAUAGAGUUUGGCAUCUAAAAGGGCAUGUGGCUCGGUGAAUUGAUGCAUCACUUUGGUGAGAUAGCACCUAAGGGAAGGCACGUGGGCACGGGCAUCGUAAAAAGGACACUUGGCUCGGUGAUUUGAUGCGUCACCUUGGCAAAUGAGUGCCUUAGAGAAUGCACGUGGGUCCAAUAAUCGGAAAUAGCAUUUAAAAGGGCACGUGGCUCAGUGACUUGAUGUACCACCUUGGUGAAGAGGUCGCCUUAGAGAAUGCAUGUGGGCCCAAGGUUCGAGGCACGUGGCUUGGAGACUUGGAAUGUCGUCCUAGAGAAUGCACGUGGCCUAGCUUUUAGAUACUCCUCCGUGGAGAUUGAUUUGUGUGACAUGUAAUCGACUGGUUCGAUUUGUUGAAGUAAAUGGGUGCCUAUUGUGAAUUGUACUGACUUGCAGGUGGGAUCUGAGGCCAAUGUAAGUUCUCUGCCCUGUGUGUGUUUAGGCAGCCUAUAGUAUAAUGGUUUACUAAUCGGGCUUUAGUGGGGUAGAACUCGCUAAGACGUAGUCUCAUCCCGAUUUGGGGAAAUCAUUUCAAGGCCCCGCUGAGGAGCUGAGGAGGAGGAGUCUAAGAAGGAUUUUUGGAAGAAGAUAAUCCCGAGAGGGGCCUUGAGUACGGCCCAGAUGGACUGAGAUUUUAUCUUCUUUUGAGAUCUCAAUUUUGAUGUGAAUAGAGAUAGAGUAAAAAGUUGUGAAGUGCUAUGGUUUGUGUUUUGUAUAAAAGUUUAGUUAUAAAUUUCAAUAUGAAAAAUAUGACCCUGUUUUUCUAUCUCAUCGUUUUAUUGUCUGGGGAUUUUACUGUUUCUGCAUGUGCUUAAUAAACGAAAGGGUCGGCGAUACAUAGUUCUGGGAUAUCGCAUUAUAAAAUCGACCAAGUGAGAAGGAUGUGUGCGUGCCCGAGGAUCGGGGCGUGACAUCGAGGCUGAGAUUUGGGGUGGAACAAGGGGUGCUAGCCAGGGUAGAGAUAAUGAGGUUAGAGUUGAAUUAAGCGAUGAAGUUAGAACUGAAUUGGUGUUUAGGCCUGAGGCGAGGCUUGAUUAUGUUUGUGCUAGCCAAAGUGGAGAUAGUGAGAGUGAUGAUACUGAGAUUGAUUUAUUAAGCUGGAAGUGUGAUGGAUACAUUAUAUCUAGAGAUGAGGAAGGGAUACAUGAGGUGGGGAUGGUGAGGGAGGCGACAUUUGCUAUUGAUGAUGGACAAGAAGACAUGAAUAAGGAUGAAAAUGAUGAGGACAUUAAAGGGCAUGAAAAUCUGAGUCCUCUUAACUCUAGAGAUGAGGAAGUAUGUGACCAAACAAGACCUUUGACAAUUAUAUAUGACUCUAGCUGCAAUCAUAGAGAAUUGCAAUUUCAAGUAGGCAUGAGAUUUGAGUCUCAUAUUCAAUUUAAGAGGGCAGUGCAGAAAUAUACAAUCACAAAUGGUUACAAUAUUAGUUGGAAGAAAAGUGAAUUUAAAAAGAUGCAUGCGAAGUGUGUGACCGGAUGUAAAUGGUCCCUUUAUGGUAGUUGGCUCAACAAAGAGAAAACAUUUGUUGUCAAGACUAUUGAAGAAAAACAUACUUGCCCUAGAAGCAUGAGAAAUAGAAGUGCAUUUCACAUAUGGCUUGUAGAAUAGUUCUUGCCUAAGAUUAGAGCUAAUUUGAAAUAUACCACAACACAAUUGUAGGCAGAUGCAAUGGAGAUGUGGGGACUCAUGCUCAAUAGAAGAACCUGUUAUAGAGCAAUUAAUAGAGCUCUUAAGACUAUUCGGGGUCCAUUUGUUGAGCAAUAUAAGUUAUUGGCAUCUUAUAAAGCUCAAUUGGAGCAAUCUAGUAAGAAUAACACAUUUCAUCUUUUACUUAGACAACCACAAAACAGGUUUAAGAGAUUUUAUGUGGGCUUUGAACGUCUGAAAAAGGGUUGUCUAGAAGGUUGUAGGAAAGUGAUUGGACUAGAUUGUUGUUUUAUUAAAACCGUAGUAAAGCAAAUGCUACUUUGUGCUGUUGGAAGAGAUGGAAAUAAUCAGAUGUUUCUAGUCGCAUGGGCUGUUGUUGAAGCAGAAACACAAGAAAAUUGGACUUGGUUCCUUAAGUUUCUAUUUACAGAUCUUCAAGUAGGUAGAGGUGAUGAUUAGACUUUCAUAAGUGAUCAACAAAAGGUAGAAUGAGUCUCAAAUUUCAUCAAUUCUUUUAUAAUAGUUGUUGAAUUAUGUCUUGCAAGGCUUUAUUAAUGGCAUUUCAAUUAUGUUUUGCAGGGUCUUAUCAAUGCAGGUUCUUCAUUGGCUCCUUGUGUAGAACAUAGGAAUUGUUCAAGGCAUAUUAUGCAAACUGGAAAAAAUUGUACAAGGGAGAAACAUUUCGAAAUUACUUCUGGAGAGUUGCAUAUGCCACAUACGAGGUUGAAUUCAAUAUAGCAAUUGAACGAAUGAAGAGGGAAUUUGUUGAUGCCUAUGAAGAUUUCAUGAGGCAAGGGCCAAAGCAUUUCUGUAGGGCAUUCAUAAAGGCUAGGUGAAAAUGUGAUGCCAUUGAGAACAAUUUGAGUGAAACUUUUAAUGCAUACAUUUGCAAGCAAAGAGAGAUGCCAAUUGUUGAUAUGCUAGAGGCAAUAAAAACAGUUUUGAUGGUGAGAAUGUAUGAGAAAAGCCAGUUGAUGAUAGGCUUCCAAGAUGAAUUAUGUCCACGAAUUAGGGCAAAUGUCGAGGAAGCAAAGAUGAAGUCUAGGUAUUGUGUUACCAAAUCAUGUAUUGGGGAAAAAUUUGAAGUUGAAGUCAAUGAUGAUCGAUUUGAAGUAGACUUGAGAGGGAGGAUGUGUGCGUUGGUAAUGGGAGGAAUACCCUGUAGCCAUGCUAUCUCAUGCAUUAAUUAUAUGAAGUAUAAGAUUAAUCGGUAUGUUGAUGAUUGUUUCAAAAAUAAUGCUUAUGAAAGAUGCUACCAAUUCCCACUACCGAUAUUGAAUGGGAAGAAAAUGUGGCCACUAUCCACUGAAGAGCCAAUAUUGCCUCCGCCAUUCAGAAAGCUUCCAGAGAGACCCAAGAAACAAUGCAAUAAGCAAGGUGAGAAUGCUAAGAAAAGGACAAGAAAGGGGAAGGCCAUGGUUAAUCCAAAUACUAAUUCGAAUAAAUUGGCAAAAGUUGGGGGUAAUCAUCUCAUACUCAAAUUGUCAGGACUUGGGACACAACAAGAGAACAUGUCUGAAGCCUUUAGCAACAAAACAAAUCAAACCUUCGGUAAGAGAAAAAGGAAGACCAAGAAAACUUAUAUAGGCCCAAGUCUUUGAUACUAACAUAGUCUCAUGACAAUACUUAUUGUAACUUACUCAUGCUUUUCUAUGCAGGGUAAAAGGGGGAGACGAGGAAAACUUCCGAGACUAGCCAUGGUGAAAAGGACAUCUACUAGAUAAGGAGAUACAAGAACACAAGAAUCUGCAAGUCAGACUAAUCAUGUCUCAACUAAGGCUUUUGGACCAUGUGGAACUCAAUAAUCUACAAGUAAUGCUCCACAUUGAAGUAUAUGUGAAUUCCAUCCAAUUGUUCAUAGCCAAUAAGUUGUUGCUUGUUCCUUUUUGGUUGUAAUCUAAAUUCAACACCAACAAAGAGUUGCUUGGUGCUCGUUUGGUUGUAAAUGAAAACAAAGAGUACAAGCCUUUUGACUGUAAUCCAAAUUCCUUUUUGGUUGAACCGCAAGAGUUCAUUUUUUGUUGUAAUCCAAGUUAAACACUAAUUAGAAUCACUAUAUAAUUGUGGAUAUGCUGAUGUAAUUAGAUUAUUUAUUUUGCUUUCAGUUGAGACUUCCACUUUCCCUCAUUUCUUCUAUCACUUUCACUUCUCUUCAGGAUUGAUGAUAAAGUGUGUGAAGGAAAUGAGAACUGCAGAGUGAGGGACCUGCUUUAGCGUCAUUAUCUUUUUGUGCAGGAGACUAAAGCCAAGAAACUACCUGAUGCCAUAAUAGGACAAAUAUUGAGAUAUGACAAGAAUGAUAUGUGGCAACUACAAGAGAGUCACUUAGUUUGAGCAAUCUUAAUUAUAUGGAGGACGAGUACUUCAAAGUUCAAAGUUCAAUCAGGUCAUGACAAUAAAAGUGAAAAACAAUUGUACAUUAGUGUGCUAAAGAAGAUUUUGCACAUAUGAUGACAAAAGAAUAUUCAAGAUGUUACAAUCUUCAGGGCCAACUUGAUCAAGCCCUCUACAUAGAUCACAAGAGAGAAAGUUCCAAGUAAAAAUUCUGAUUAAUGCCUCAAGCUGUCUCAUUGAGAUGUACAACUCAUUCCCAUAUUUAAGAGGAUAAUCUCAAGACCUAAAAUCACAGGGUAGGAGUUUUUUCUGCUGUUCUGGCAAUCAUAGUGAGCAAGUUGUUUUUGAAUGGGUUGCUAAGGUGCUUUGCAAGAUUCUCGAUAAGUCCCUCCCCAGUAACAUAUGCUUGCAAGAAGAAACCGAGCAUGGACAACAUGAUGAGGUGGCUGUUCUUUAUCUCCUUCACCUUGAGGAUGGUAGCCUGGUCCAAGUCCUUAGCAAGACCCGACGGGUCAAAUGGACCACCUUGGUGAAGUUUGUCCUCCAAAUCCUAACAAGAGAACAGAGAGAGAAUUAGUGGAAGAAAGAAAGGUGAGAUGUUAAGGACCAAAUGAUGUGUUUGUGCAGCUAUAUUUGUAAUCUAACCAUAACAAAUUCACAGCACAACAUUGAUAUUUUUUGUUUGAUUGAAAGCAAAAAUUGGUCUGCUUUCUAUAUUUGAAAAUUUAAAGCUUGUGAUGGUUAAUGAUGAAAAUCAUCUGAGGAUAUGAUCUGAGUUGUCUCAUAAUAAUAAUAACAACAAAGCAUUUGACACCGUGGCAAGGUAUAUGCACUCUACUAAAUCACUACACCCAAUUCAACACAAUGUCUAAUGUCUCUUAUGAUUGCCAAUUUAUGCUCAAAUUCACUGGUCAAGGCUCGAGACUACCAAUUUAAUUCCUACUAGUUAGUUCAAGGCGUUGUCUCGUUGCUUGUGGCUAACCUUACGGCCAACAUGGCAUCGUUCAAUUUACAUGCACUUGUUAACGGAUAUGCUCCGACUCAAGAUACAAAAAGUAGUUACCAGAGAGAGAUUCGACAUAUCAGUUUUAUAGCAAUAUGAAUUCGGCAGGUCAAUUUUUUCCUGAGCAAACAUGCUUAAGACCCAAUGCGAAUUUUGAGAUGGAGAAGAGAGAGGAAAAGAUCUAACCCCAUCUAUGAAUCCAACCCUCACAUCCUUCUUCCCAACUUUAAAUUCCUAGACCCAUUAAGCAAAUCACCCCAGAAACUCUCAGCAUCCACCGUUUCCUUUUGAGGUUUUCUUGAUACACUUCUUACCUAGAGCCUCUUGAUACACCUCGAUAUCGGGGAGGAAAAGAAAUGAGGAUAUAUUAUCAGAGGGAGAAUCCGAAACCGACGUGCUGUCCCUUCUUAAGUGGUUUAGAUUGAGCACUUCCCAGCUCAACCAUAUUUGGCCCUGAAAAUCAACCCGCCUAUCCCCAAAUCGGCGUUGUCCUGGCGGCGGAUGGCACCACAAGCUCUUCAACUCUAUUUUUUGACCAUUCUCCCGUCAACUUUAUUAGAUCAAAUUGAGGUACGAAAAACACCACAAACACUCCAGAAGCUAUGAUUGCCAAGUUAAAAUCGAGCUUCUUUGAGCGAGUCCCAAAUCGAGCAAGUCUCGUGUGGAGCAAUGAGCCGACCAACGAAGGAAGCUUCAGAGAGAUGGAGAGGGAACAUAUGAGAUUUUUCAGAGAGAUGGAGAGGGAACAUUGACCACUAGAGAACGUGGAGGCAUCGAUCGAGAGAGCAUAUGAGAUUUUUCAGAGAGAGAUGGCAUGAACAAACCCUAGAAUUUGGGGCAAAUGUGUUUUUCAAUUCAACAAGAGAGGCAGAAAGAGGGGGGAGGGAACAAUGGAGCAAUGGAGCUUUCAAGUAAAGCAAGUGAGAGAGGCAUGGAGCACAAGGAAAGGGCUCACUCGUGGAGAUGUAGAACAAUUGAGCUUCAAAGAGCUCUUGAACAUGGAGCAUGGAGUUUUGAACGAGAAGCUACUCAGAGAGGGUGGGACACAUGAUGGCCUUUUUAUUUCUUCAGCUACGUCAGAACCGUUUUACUUCUUAAAUGCGGGUGUCACAUGAGCGCUAUUUGCAUUCCGUCAUCCAUGUCAAUGGCGACGUAGGAUAUUUAACUGUGUCAUGGAACCCUAAUAGAGGGUAGAUGUGUCACGUGGGCUAAAGUUUGAGGUUUUUAGUAUCAUAAAAAAAAAAAGUUUGGGAUAAUGUGUCACAGUUGGCAAAGUACAGAGUUUUUCAUGACUUUUUCCCUUUAAAAUUUGACACCAUAAAGAAGGUGUUUCUUGAGAUAUUCUCCAGGCUUGUUUUCCAAGCAAGCCUUAUUAAAAUAUAUUAGGUCUCUGAAGUCCAUUCCUUGUGAAUCUUUCCUCAAUUUCAAUAUCUCCCAUCUUCUCUAGUGCAACAUUGAUUUAGAUUUGCUGUUUUUCCACCAAAAGGAAGCUAUUCAUCUUUCCAUAUAUUUGCAUAUAGAAACCGAGAUUUUAAAAAUAGACAUGUCAUAUUGAGGCAAUGCUUGAACCACCGUCUUGAGGAGGAUUUCAUUUCUAACUUUUGAAAUCAACUUUUCUUUCUAGUCCUCUAUUCAUUCUAGCUAAUAACCACACAAAACAUUUGCUUUUUUGAAGCUCCCCAUUCGGAUGGAAUUACCAAAUAUUUUCUAGUCUUCUCGACUAUAAGGACUCUCAAUUCAUUUGCCAUGUUUCUUAUCCAAAUUUGUGGACACCCUUUAUUAAAUGAAAUGCCUAAAUGAAAUACCUAACUUAUUCAAAUUGACAACUUGUCCAAAAACAUAGCAAUAUUUAUUAAGAAUUAGAGCUAGGUUUUGACACUCUCUUACUGUUCUAUCUAGGAAGAAAAUAUAAUCAUAUGCAAAUAAUAGGUGAGAGAGCGUUGAGUAGUGCCUGUUUAAUUUUAUCCCAAUAAUAGUGCCCUACUCAAUUGUUGGUUUAAUUAAAAAUGACAAUGAAUUUGCCAUUAGUAUAAAAAGAGAUAUGGGAAGAUAUGAUCACCUUGUUGAAGCCCUCUACGGGGCUAGAAGAAGGGUAGAGGCUUUCCGUUGAAUUUUACACUGAGUGAAAUAGUUGCGGCACAAGUCAUCACCCCAUAUACCCACAUCUCACCAAACCAUAUUUUCAGCAUACAUGCCUCCAAGAAAUCCUAUUCCACUUUGUCAUAUGCCUUUUUCAUAUCAAGUUUUAGGAUAGCUUGAAACUUCUUUUUUCGAUCACAUAUUCUCAAUUGACGAAGGACCUCCUGAACCAUUAGAAUAUUAUCUUGUAUUUGUCUUCCUCCCACAAAAGCACUUUACUUAGCACCUAUGAUAUCGGGUAGCCAUGGUUUUAAUUGAUUUGCCAAGACUUUCAAAAAAAAAAUUGUACACAAAGUUGCACAAACUGAUGGGUCAAAACUGAUCCAAACUCUUGGGGUUAGGCACUUUUGGGAUCAAUGUAAUGUAGGUUUUAUUAAUCUCUGGAUUAAGAUACCCAGUCUCAAAGAAAUGUCUCAUUGUUUGAAACAACCCUAUUUUGAUAUCUUUCCAACAUAGUUUAUAAAAUUGACCAUUAAGAUCAUCUAGACCUAGUGCUUUUGAGGCUCCCAUCUCAAAUACAACCCUUUUUACCUCCUCCGUCGUUACUUCCGAGGUUAGCUUUUGGUUCAUCUCCUUCGUAAGAAGGACGGGGCAAUUUUGUACGCACAGGAUCUAAAUAUCGCAUGCCCACAGUAUAUAUCUUCAAAAAAUUCUGCUAUCAUCUUCUUAAGUUCUCUAGGCUCACGAAUCCAGCCAUUUUCUGACUUUUUCAAUGUUGAAAUUCUGUUCCUCUUCCUUUUUUGUAUUGUUGUAGUGUUCUUAUUUCCUCAUUUUAGCCAAUUGAUUCUUGAACGCAAGCCUCAAUACAUCUCCUCCUGUCUCUAACACUGCUCAAUUUUUUUCGUUAGUUGUUUCACCUUGUUUCUUGCAAAAUUCAAAUUUUGUGCAUUAAGCACAUGCUGGAUUUCCCCUUUUAAAACAUUAAUCUCCUUAAUAUAAUUAGGGAAAGCCUUCUUGCUCCACUCUAGCUCUUUAGAUAAAGCUUCAACUUACAGGCUAAGCUCAAAUUACCAAAGGGUGGAGAGUUUCAUUCCUGCUUUACAAUUUUUCCACACUCUUCAUUUUCGGUUCAGAAUGCUUCAAACUUGAACAACUUGAUUCUUUUCAUUUGUGUAGCAGAGAAUACAAAAUUCUCCACUCAAUGCUACAAGUUACCCGAUUCUACCUCUCUUAUACAUAUUCCUCUCCUUUGCAAUUAUUAGCCCAAGUGAUACAAGCAUCGAGAAAGUCUCUAAAGGUACUUAACCAGUAUGUUUCGGCCAUUCUCUUACCCACCUUCUCCCGAUAAUACAAAAUCUCAUUGAAAUCCCUUAAGCAUAGCCAAGGUAAUUUAUCCAGUGAAUUUAAUCCUUGAAUGUUCUCCCAUAAAGUCAACUAUGCUAGCUUAACUUGCAUAAAAAUAAGCAUAAAUUAGAACAUAUUUUUCAGGCUCCAAACAAGUGCAUUGUUUAUUUAGCACGAUGAAGAACAAGAGCAAAAGUCAGACAUCAGAUUUUUACUCGUUAAAGACGCUAGAUAUAUUGUAUAAUAUCACGUCCUUCACAUGCAGUUCACCAACCGCCACUAAAUGUAUUCAACUUCAGGUCCUAAUCCGAAAGCUUGUACUUAUGCAAAAGCUUUGUACUACCAUAAUACGGAUGAACUAUUUUUCUGUAUCAUGUUCCUAGAUCAAAGAGCAUAACGUUGCAGCAUUCAGAGCCAGAGUUUCCAUCGUUAGUCAAGAGAAAAUUCGAUUCAGCGUAAAAAGGACAAAUACAUAGCUCGAUGACAAACGAUUCAAACCCGAUGUGAGAGAGAGAGAGAGAGAGAGAGAGAGAGAGAGAGAGAGAGAGAGAGAGAGAGAGAGAGUGGACAAUUAGGGUGGGCUGGACAAAAUGCAAAGAUUAGGCGCGAGUCAAAUGUUUCCCUUUGAAUUGCAUUAGCGUCGCGCUUUCCGCAUAACGUCUUUCGUUGCGGUUCCGGAUUUAUCGCGGCUCCAGAGUCGUGGAAGCGGCGGCUUCCUAAAAUCGCGAUGAACAAAGGGUAGGCAUAUCCACACUUUGUUGUAGCGUAACAAUGACAAGCAACAGCAAGGUAAAGAUGAAAGUCAUAGAGACAAAAUAGAAGGUCCAUACGGAGGCUGAUAUAAUGAGGAAAGCCUAACGUACGUGAACCUAAUAUUUGCGACUUGUGGAACCCCCCGAAGCCAGCCCCCCCCCACCAAAAAAAAAAAAAAGGUAUAUGAACGGAGAAUAUGAGGGAUCUAAGUUGAGACAUGACUCUCAAAUAUGAUUUGUUUUUGGGCAAAGCUUUGAUAUUGUGAUGAACGAUAAAAGAUGGGUGUUUCUAAUUUGCAUCACAAUAUCAAAUUUGAAAGGUAUUUAUAUUACAAGAGAUGAUUAUUGAACAUACGUAGUCUGAUCUAUAAUCUAUAACCUAUAAUCUUUGUUCUUUGUUGUUCAUGAUGUAUGUUAGUCUAGUGCCUCACCAUGGAAUCGCAUGAUUGGAAAGGUUAUCAACUUUAUCCUUGGUGUACUAAUCUAAUGUACAGAGGACAAGCAGAUCACAUUUAACGUAAAAUAUAUCAAUUUCACAAACUAAUCUUAAUCCGCUUGAAUGUUAUUUUCUCUUAAAAUUCUUUCUUCUCCAUUGCGAAAAUCAUGUUGACUGGGAAGGAAUCAGCAUUUCUUCGAUUAGAAACUUAUGAACAAAAAUUUUCUCCCCUCUGAAAGCGACUACCACGUGGCACCAACCCAGUAACCUGUCAAGAAUCAACGUCUUAAUCCUGUUUCUAUCGGCUGAUGGCGAUACCCACGUGGACGUUUUCCAUCACUUUUGAAAUUUGAGGAUUUGAAAGUGAAAUCGAAUCCGUGGAAAAAAUCGAACCACUGUCGUGCGACUUCUCGAAUGGAGAAAAUUAUUCCCCUCAAUCGCCAACCAAUGAUAAUAAUUACACUUAUUACAUCCAAUUGUUGUCAAGUUUGUUGAUUUAAAAGGCAAAAUUUUGGACAACCUCGAAUUAAGACAAAACGAGCGUAGAUGCUCCGGAUCUGAGCUUUUGUCAUCGACGGGUUAAACGGUGCCCGCAAAUUCAGCCUGCGAAGGAACCCUAAUUCUCGCCACUCAUUGCGUAGCGGGAGUCGCUCUUCUUCUUCGAAAGGUGGAGCGGAAAUUGAUAGAUUAAACCUGAAGUGACGGUGCGAGGACGAUCUUCAACGGCCCAUAACCUCCAUUAACGGCUGCAUCAACGAACAUGUCUCGCUUUCGUGACGAGGGUUUUGCCCUGUUUUUGUCUCUGCUGGAUGCCGCAGGCAGUCCUUAAAUCCUGGUGACUCGUAGAAAGCCCAGAUGACUCUACAUCGAGUCAUUCGCGACAGGAUCGCCUGAUUUCGUGGGAGUAUGUAUGUGCGGCGUGGAGUAACUUGCUUCUCUUCUUACUAUUAUUUAUUUAUUUAUUUAUUUAUUUCAGAUAAAAUCAUACAUUAAUGAGUCAAUUCUCGCAAUAUACUAUGUCAACCUCACAAUUCUUGUUAAAUACAUAUAUUAUCGACACCAUGACCGGACAUUUCAGCUUAGGAGAUUAUUGAAUUUAACCUGUGAUGCUUAUAUUCACCUUUGAAUGUAUAUAGUAACUUGAUCAAUUAAUAAAUUGGAGAGCUAAUCUCUUUUUCCCCUAGAACAUGUGUGCCUAUUUUGUCUUAAUCAAUCAAUUGGAGGAACGCGUUGGCCAAAAUAAAUUGUUGGUAAAAUGUCAACUUUGAUAGUCUGCUCGAGACGUUGGACAAUAAUAUAAACGAAGCAGUCUCUAUCGCAUGGGAUGAUAUUUAUUCGGGUGGAUAACUGCUUUUUAGACUUAGCCGCUUGGACGAACGCCAAAAAUUCGUAUGCCUGGACAAACUUGAGGACGUUGGAUGUCCAAUCAGAGAGAUUUCCGCUCUAUCACCUCCAAAUUUUUUUACAAUAAACAAUUUCGUUCAUGGUCUUGUCAAGGUACAUGUGCGCAAGUUUCAAUUGCAUUAAGAAAAAUUCCGUAAACAUACAGAGGUCGGUUCAUGACCACCACAUGCUUAUAGAUAAGAUUGUUUUUUCCCCCUAAAUAUACUUUUAUUUUCUGUAUUCUAACAGUUACAUCGUAAUUAUUAAUCUUCUGGUUCCUCAACAUUACAUAGAAUACAUAAAAAAAGACCAACUAUGCCUAAAUUCUUGAUUUGCAGUUGUGGCUGUGCUUCUCAAUGAUAAAGUUGGACGGUGGACCUAGACCUUCCAACAGAAAAUUCUAAGGGUAACAGUUUCUUGUGUCAAAGAAUUGGACAACUUUAGUUUGGUAAUCCUAGAAUUAUGGUUAGAGAGAGAGAGAGAGAGAGAGAGAGAGAGAGAGAGAGAGAGGAGCACACAAGCCUAACAACCUAGAGGCCAACCGAACACUUUGAAUGCCCCAUGAAUAAGUUAAAUCUAAACAUGUGGCUUGUGCAAAGUGGCCUUGCUCUAGAGUAGUUUACACGCACUUUGUGGGAUUUUAAAAAAUUAAUUCUAGCUUUUGAGCUGGAAAUCCCUAAAUGCCUCAAUUAACUAUGCAAAUCUCGAGAAAUCUCUUCGAUAAUGUUAUGCAAAUAGUAUAAAGAUAGAUGGAUUUUUUUCUUAUAUCUUACUCCCCAUAGUCAUGUAAGAUUUUGUCGGCAUGAAAAUUAAAAAAGACUAAGAUUAAAUGUUCCAAAUUAUUUUUUCUAUAUACGUGGAAUUAUGUUAUGGAGCCGGAAGUGCCUCUUGCCAUAUUCCUUCUACCAGCCUAAGAAGCAUGCCUGGUUCUCUAAUCUCAAAGAAAAAGAGGAGCUAGAUCUCGCCUUUAGAAUGAUUUGAAGUAAUUGCAGUUAGCUUGAAGACAUUCGUAGAUGUCGAUUGAUGAAUGCUUUUGCAAGUACUAAGAGGUAUGCGUAGAGAUGCGCACGCAUACGUGCGAUAUCCAAACUAAUUCCGUUGACCCUCACGAAAAUCUGCGUAGACCCUUGUUGCCAAUUCUUUAUUUGCCGUAAAAUCUGCAUGAAUCCAUACUUCAAUGAUUCAAACGUGAGGCAGAGGAAGUUAUUCUUGGAAAGAAUUCCAAAAGAUAGCAUUUAUUUUGAAUAAUAAAGUGCAGAUUACAAUAUUUUAGAUGCCUAUUUAUAUGGAGGUCGUCAUUUAGAAAAUAACCAAGUAACUGAAAUCGAAUAACAAAAUUAAGAAAAAUAUAUUGAUAAAAUGGAAAGUUAUCAAAACAUAACUAGAAAAUCUACAAAACACAUUUGAAAUCUGUGACAUUUCGGAUUUGUGGAACUGUCUGCUCUUAUGAUGCUCUAAUGUUUCCAUGAAGGUAUUUGCAUGUUGUUUUACAUCAAAACGUCCCAUGAUCCGUCGCCCAAAUAGUUACGGAGAUCAUUGCAUCGGAUUACUCAGCUUGCAAGAAAAGUUAUAGUGCGAGGAAACCAUAUAAAAUAACAAUAAAUGAUGGUAAAAACUAUGGCCGAAAAUUCUCNNNNNNNNNNNNNNNNNNNNNNNNNNNNNNNNNNNNNNNNNNNNNNNNNNNNNNNNNNNNNNNNNNNNNNNNNNNNNNNNNNNNNNNNNNNNNNNNNNNNAUUUGACUAUAAAUACCCGCCCGUGUGCGCCCAAAUUGAGUGCAAGAAAUCAAACUCUGACCAAAGUGUCUCGAGAAUCACAUGGCGCUUCUUCAAUCUCCAUCGAUUUGCUUCCCUCUCGCCCUUCUCCUUUCUCUCCUCAUAAACUCGUCUCACUGCUUCAACCCCAAAUCGCUUAACAUCUCGAAAGUUCAGUCCAACGGUGAUUGGUCGCCGGCAGGUGCGACGUGGUACGGGAGUCCGAACGGCGCUGGAAGCGAUGGUAAUGGAAUGACAUUAUAUUUUUAUUUGGUCAAUUCACCUGGAGUAAAGAUCUUUUUAUGCAAGCGCCAUUGGUCUCAUCACACGCCUUUCAGUAAUUUUGACUUAUCAAGUCUUUCGAGUAUAAAUCGGUUCGGACAUAUGAGUAGCUUAGGUCAAUCGCUUAAUCGUGAUUUGGCUUUGUACCAAACACAUAUAGUCUUAGAGGUCAAACUGGAAUCAAGUACAACGCUAGACAAUACUACUCUAGUAAUUACACAUUUCACCUGAUCUGCAAAUAUACAUAUAUAUUUAUACAUACAUAUAUAAUAUAUUAUAUAUAAUAUGCUUUGUAUGAUAUUUUGUACGUAGGUGGCGCAUGUGGGUAUGGGAGUGGGGUCGACCAAGCUCCAUUCUCUUCAAUGGUGUCCGCAGGAGGGCCUUCUCUUUUCAAAUCAGGCAAAGGAUGUGGAGCUUGUUACCAGGUUUCUCUCUUGCUAGAAAAGUGUUUCUCGAAUUAUUUUUAUAUUCGCCGUCAUCGGAGAAAAUUUGCCACGGACAAAGUUAAUAUAUGUUCACGAGAUAUGCUUUUCCUAAAUUAACAAUCGUGGAAUAGAAUUCAUGAAAACAUCUACUGCGGCACGCUUUCUAGACUUCCAUUAAAAGUAGUUUGAAUUCUUCGUAUUUAAAUAGAUUAUUUGACUCGGUACAUAUUGUCCUAUUCAAACAAAUUAUUAAGUAGUAGUUAGGAAGUGCAGUCUUUUGAGCUCUUGUUGAUUAAAUUUCAGGUGAAAUGCACUGAAAAUGCGGCUUGUUCCGGGAACCCGGUGACGGUCGUUAUAACUGACGAAUGCCCUGGUGGCCCUUGUGUCGCUGAAUCUGCUCACUUCGAUUUGAGCGGCACGGCUUUUGGAGCCAUGGCGAGCUCCGGCAAGGCCGAUGAACUUCGCAACGCUGGGGUGCUGCAAAUUCAAUACCAAAAGUCCGUACAGUUGAUCCUUUCUCUAUGGAUCCUUUCGAGUGAAUUCCAAUUUUAACAGACGCGCAGAGGGAAAAAAAGGAAGAUAAAACGCAUUGAAAAGUGCUUUAAAUUAACGAGAAACUUUGCUUUCACCAGACUUAUACUAAUCAGCAAAUAGUCUAACUUGCUUAUUAAAAGUCUAUUUAUGUGCACAUAUUUACAAUGUCAAGCAGAGUAAAGUGCAAUUUCCCCGGCGCGAAGGUGGCGUUCCACGUUGACUCCGGCUCGAACCCCAACUAUUUCGCUGCGCUAAUUGAGUACGAGGAUGGGGAUGGCGAGCUCGGCGCCGUCAACCUGAAGCAGGCUCUAGACUCUGACUCUUGGCUUCCGAUGCAACAGUCGUGGGGCGCGGUUUGGAAGUUGGAUGGCGCAGGCCAGCUGCGCGCUCCAUUCUCGAUCAAGCUCACCUCUCUUGACUCCGGCAAGACCCUGGUUGCCAACAACGUGAUCCCCGCUGGGUGGCAGCCCGGACAGACGUACCGGUCGGUCGUCAACUUUGCUGUCUAAGGGUUGUGCGUGGUUUGCUUGGGAGACGAAGAAAUGGAGAUUGAUCGUCAGUUAAUUUGGCUCUGUAUGUUUUAUGUGACAGGCAAAAUUAGAAUAUUGGAUGGUGUGGAAAAAGAAAUUAUUUUGCUUUUUCCACUCUGUGUAAUCUAGUCAGCUAUGAGCUACCUCUUGGAAAAGAGAGUAGUAGUGAGAAAUGAAUGGUAUUGUCCUUUGAAAAUCAAGAAUGAUUUAGGUAUUUUUGUUCCUUUUUUCUUGCCAAUCUAUUGUAUUUGAAGCUUGAAAGCUUUUAUGUUUUGCACCAAUAUAUGUACCACUUCCAAAAUGGAUGGUUAUAAAUCGUGUCAAUCUAUAUGCAAAUGGGUAUUUUCUUCACUUUGAAAAAAAUGAAAUUUCUCAAUGAAAAUUAUAAUUCCUUAGAAACCAUUUUUGAUACAUAUUCAUAAAUAAAACUAACGAACCCGACCUUUCAACAUAUUCCUAUCAGCCCAACUAUCACUACUUUAAUUCAUUUCUAGGAAAUCAACCUCUUGUGCGUCGAGUUUGAACUUAAUACUAGCUCCAGUAAUAUACGUGAAAAGAAACAUCAUAAUUGAUUUUUCAGUUCAAUCUCGGUUAGACUAUUAACUAAAAUUUAAGUUCAAUCUCCAUCAAGGUACUCUUGGACUACGUAGGACAAUCAAUGUUCACAUCAAUAAUUUCUAGCUAAAAUUGACUCGGAAGACUACAUUAACAAAUCGUUAAAAUGACCACCGGCUGUGAUGGCUUCGUUAGGUAGGCUUCAGUCCUUUGAGGGAAGGUCAGGAGUUCAAAGCCUUUGCAACGCAAGUGACAAGAGGGCUGGCGGGCUAUUAGGUGAUUGACGUGUGGUGCCGGGGUGGUGGUUUUUCCGCUAGCGUCAUCUGGGGGUUUACGUGGCGGCUGUCGGCCAAAGCGGUUCCUCUAGCAAAAAAAAAAAAAAAAAUCGUUAAAAUGUUUAAAUGAUAAAAUUUCGAGAUUUUGAACUAAAGUGACAUUCAUGUAAUAGAUUUAGAUUUUUUUUUUCUUUGUUAAUCACGUGAGAUGAACGUCAUUGACAUGGACAAAGAAGAGUUGGGUAUUGAUACAAAUCAGUUUCUUGCCACCAUUAAAAGGGUAAGUGACUUAAGGCGCGCAUGAUAAUCAUUCUAUUUUUUUUUUAUUUCUCUAUUUUUUUGUUCUUUGAAAUAGAUUUGGGACAUAAAUUUGUUUGGUGAGAUAAUUUUAUUUUUUUUAAAAUUAUUUAUGGAACAACUUUCUACUUUAGAAAUAUAUUUCAACAAGAAAUCAUAAGCUAAAAUAAUUUAUCUUUUCUAUUUCUAGAACAAAAGUGAGUAAUGAAAACUCUUCUUGUUGUUUACUCUCAUCAUUGCCCUCCACCCACCCAUCGCUCGUGGGAUGUUAGAUGCCUACCGCUGACCACCGUAUGUCAGAUGCCUGCUGCCAAUUGCUCACCACCAGUUGUUGGAUGCCCAUCGCUGGCCCUUGGACUCCAGCCAUCUACUACUGAUCGCUGAUCGUUCACCAGUGGCCGCCCGUUGGUUGGUGGCUGUUGCCUACAUGCCUCUUGCCACUGAUUGCCGGUCAUCGGUGACCCCCCGUGGUUGUUGGUCGUCAGAAGCCAAACGCUUCCCAUCACUACUUGUGGAGGGGGGGGGGGGGAAUUUUGUGUUAUUAUUAAACGAAUUUCUAUUUUAAGAGCAUAAAUUUUAUAAGGUUAUCAAAUGCAUAUUUCUGCUUAGAAACUUAUCUAGAGAAUAAAAAUAGGAAAAUUAAUUUCUAGAAUGGAAUCGUUAUCAUACAUGUCCUUAGUUUCCAUUAUUAGCGAAUUUUGUUCUUUGAUAGUUGACCUCGGUGUAGACGCGAAGUGCAUCAUCAGUAUCCCCAGAAGUCGUUCAAGAAUUCCGGACCAAAGAUGAAGAAAGUCAGUGAGUUCAUGAAGGAUGUUAUGCUGCAUUUGCGGUUCUUCAUCCAAAGCCUACGUAAGGCAUUUGGAGGCUUUUGCCUUCUUUUUUUUUUUGUUAUUUUUUAAUCAUGUAUUGCAAUCCCUUCUGGCUUCUCCUGCUCUUCAAUUUCUUGUACCUUCACUAUCCUGCAGCGUUAAUACAAUGUUGUGAAACCCAAACUUUAUACUUAAGCUCGCUUGCCUUCAAUUUUGAAGGUACCCAAUCGAGCGAUCGAAUCGUUCUAGACAUCAACUCAAAAACCCCAGAUCUAGUUUGCGUUCCUUUCUCGAAUGUCCAUCAGCUGUUUAACACACAAGGACUGUGGCUGUGCCUAAAUUUCUGAUCUGUUGAAGUCAAGCGACAAUGAAUGUGGUACUUUUCACAAUUCUCCGACUCAUGUAAUUUUAACAUAAAUAACAUGUUACUGCCGCGUGCUAUGAUUGUCAUAUAAAAUACCUUCUCUGGUCUUUAGUUGCGAAGCACUUUUGGUACUUUGGGGCCAAAGACUUAGGCUAUAUUUGACUAUUUCUCGUUUCCCCUAAGAUGGAUUAAUGGGUUUGAUAUGAGACCACGUAUUUGGGCUCAUUUGGAUCCAGAUGGGGCUCAUAGGGGUAAACAACCGGACUGGGUAUACCCGGCAACCGGACCGCCCCACCUAAAAAAUAGGGCUAGGAACUAGUUCCCAAAUUCGGAAUCAGUUGGAACUGAUUUGGGAACCGGUUCCGAGCAAAUACCCACCCGGGAACCGGAUCGACCGGACUGAUUUGGGAACCGGUUUUGUAAACCCAAAAGACCAAAACCCUAUAUUUUCCCCCUAAUUUCUAAUCUUAGAAUUGCAUUUUUCCUCUCGCACAACGCUCCCACUUCAUCGUUUCUCUUCUUCACUUGCUUCCCUCCCUUGCUAGCUCACUGUCGCACCAUUCAUCGCAUAGGAUUUUUGCUUUGCCUUAUAUAUUUGUUUAUGAUAAUUAACCUUGUGAAUCCUUAAUUUUGUUUAGUCAAAAAGUUCAUGUACUUAUCGAUCAUAUGUGCUUAAUGUUUCAAUAUAAAUUAGGAGGAUUUCGUUAUUUUCUCAUGUAUUAAUGUAAAAUUCGGAACUGUAUAGGAUAUUAGGCAGCUGCAAAAUAGGUUCCCGUGGAAACGGGAUUGACUUUGGAAUUGGACCGGAAAAAUAGGGUGGUUCCAAAAUAGGGUUCAGUACAAACAAGGUCGGGCAUAAGAUUCAAGUCAGCAAACUACUCACUCUGGACUUGAUCACCCUAGGGGCUCGUAGUAUCCUUUGUCUAGUUUAAUGAAUCCACGGUAGGGCUGCUGCUUUUUAGCAGCUGCCGGUUCAGUCUAAUGCCUAGUCCAGGAUCUCAAGACAUCCAAGCAAAAUGUUGCUCUUUAUAGACUUGCAACCAAUCAAUCUCAAUCUAACAUCAGUAACAAUCUUUCUGUAUACAUCAUUUACAUCCAACGCAAUUCCACCAUUAUGUAAUCUCCAGUAGCAGACCAAGCAAGUUUAAACAGCAAUGCUUGAAAAGAAGCACCCCUUGACAUUUCUCAAUCCAAUGAAACCCAAAGUCCACACAUCGUGCAUCCUAUUUGCACCAAAAAGAUCCAGCACUCUCCUCCAAACUAAAGAUGAAGAGUUUCUAAGCAAAAAUAACCGUUUGAUAACAACACAAAAUUUCUACUCUAAAAAUAGAAAUUCGUUUGAUAACGACACGAAUUUUUUUCCUUUUGGACAGUGGCGGAUAGUGGUGAUGGAUGGCGGUUGGCGACUGACGAACGGCGGCGGUUGGCAAACGGCGGCAACUGGCGAACGGUGAUGACCGAUGACCGGCGAUGGGCGAUCGACAGUGGUGGCGAUGACCGGUAGCGGUAGCGGUCGGCGAUCGAUGAAGGCCGGCGGCGGCGGGCGGGCGACGAUCGACGGACAGUGGUCGGCGGCAACGGAUGAAGGAUCGGUUGAUGAACGAUGAGAAAUUUUUUUAUUUCUCAUUUCUAUUCCAGAAAUAGAGAAGUAGAAAAUUUAUACUUUUGUUUUCUAUUUCAAACCUAGUUCUGGAAUAGAAAUCUAUUCUAGAAAUAGAAAAACGGAAUAAUGUUAUCAAACAGAUUUCUAUUCAAAAAACAGGUCUGGAAUAAAAAAAUUGUUUCCGGAAUAGAAAUUCUGGUUUGUCAUGCAUCCCAUGACUAUCUUAUGUGUUAUGAUUUGUGUUGACAAUUUUGUCCAUAAUAUUUUAAUAUUUUUCAGAUUUUUUAGUUAAUUUUUUUCUUUUCUUUCUUCCUUUUUACCCUUUUGUCUUAUUUUCAUUUUCUUCUUUCUUUUUCCCUUUUUCUCAUUGUUGGCCACUCUCGGGCCUCAUCGAUGGCCGAUGAGUUGCUGGCCUCAGGCGAGGACCACCCUCGUUGGCCUCGGCCUCGGCGAUGGUUGUCGGCGGUGAUUGGGAUUUGAAGCUUGUGGCUGCCAUAGCCACUUGAGCUCGAGCUUUGGCUUGUGGCCAUGGUUGGGAUAUGGAGCUCACAUAUCUUGAGCUCGUCGCCUCAUGGCCAUAGUCGAGAUGGAUAGUGGCAAGGAGUCUAUUGUUGGCAAUCAGUCGAUGUUUACCUUCCAUAUUCCUCUUGACGGUGGGAUCCAAACAAUUAGUGAGUUCUGCUUCCUUUUGGCUCGUUUCUCUGUUAGAGGGUUCCAUCGCAAGUAGUCCUUAUUCAUUGCCAUGGCCUCCUCCACUAUUUGUCUUAGAUCUAUGUGCUACUAACGGAACACAAUUUGUUCUUUUGCUAUUUUUCCAUAUAUUGUAGAGCACUCUAGUGACAACCAUGGCUGCGAUGGUGGACGAGAUUUGGAGCUCUAGAUCCUAGCCAUCCUAGCGAGGCCACGAGCUCAAGAUAUGUGAAACUGGCCAUGGCUAUGAGGCGAUGAGCUCCAAAUCCCGGCCAUAGCCACAAGCCUAGAGCUCAAGUUCAAGGGGCCCUGGUGGCCACAGGCUCCACAUCUUGACAACCACCGACAUCCAUGACCAUGAGCCAGAGCUUGAGCUCAAGUGGCCAUGGUGGCCACAAUCUCUAGGUCCCAACCACCAUUGCCGCGGCUCGGGUUGAGGCCGAGGGUGGCAACUUGCUGGCCAUUGACAAGGCCUGGUGGUGGUUGGCAGAGGGCAUGGCAAUGGCUGGCGGAGGGAAAAAGGGAAAAGGAAAAGAAGAGAAAAGUAAAAAGAAAAAAAAAGAAGAGAAGGAAAUAAGUUAGAGGUGGCCGAUGGAGGGAAAAAGGGAAAAAGAAAAGAAGAGAAAAUGAAAAAAAAAAAAAAGAAGAGAAGGAAAAGAGAAAAAAGAAAAAAGAAAAAAUAAAAUCCCAAAGAUAUUGAAAUAUUAUUAAAAUUAUCCACGUCAAAAACCAAUGAUGCCAUGUAGGAUGUCUGAUGUCCGCAUCAGCAAUUUUCAACCAAAAUUGGCCGGAUGGUCUCAAUUGGCAAAACGUAAAAAUGUUUAGAACUCAAUUAGUAGGUUAAGACUGACUUGACAAUAAUGCAAUAAGUCUAUGAAUUUUUAAAUAAUUUUCCCUGAUAAAAGGCACAAAACUAAUAUAUUUGUGAUAAAUUAUUCUCCGAAAAUCACAAAUUGAUACAUCUAUGAUAAACGGAGGGUAAAACCCUAAAUUGGUACAUCCACUACUUGCCAUGUAUCAUCCAACUCGGCAAUUUUACAAUAAAAUUCAUGGAAACUAAUAGAUGGUAAAUUUUUCACAUGCGUACCAGUUCGGGAUUUUUUGUGGUUAAAAAAUUAGUUUAGAAAAAAUAUAUCAUACAUUUACCUGUUUGAGAUUUUUUUUGUAAUAUAACCCUUUAAUCUAUUGAAUUGACCAAACAUAAAAGCACGUCCAAGUGGGAGAAACCAAUGAAGUAGAGAAUGAAAGUACUAGCAUGAACACUUAGAGGGGGUGAAUAGGUGUUAAGAAAACUUUUCGCAAAGAACGGUAGAAGUAUUUUUCUUUUGAAACUGAGUCUGAUGAGCAACAGACUUUUGAAACUGAGUUUGAAGUACAACAGACUUUGAGCGAGUUCAGACUUUAUAGUGGUUUAGCUUAGAUCAAGCCUACGUCCACUCUCCCACGCUAACAGUCUUCUGCUGGAUUACACUAUGCAAUCAACAAGAGAUUACAACUUAAACUGCAAACACUUAGUAGUAGAUCACACAAUCUCACUAAGUCACUCUUUUGGUAUUUCUCUCACGAUCACAAACGUUUAAGCUCACAAGAGACAAGUGUAUGAUCAAACUUAACUUAGAUUUUGGAAUUAUAAAUUCUACGCUCCAUCUCUUACUUGCUUAUCAGUCAUUGAUCUCCUUAGAUACUCCUCCACUUCCAAACUAGCCGUUGGACAGUAUUUCGAGGAUCGUCUUCUAAUCUACCAAUUGGAUAGAUCCGUAUCUAAAAGAUUUGGUAGCUGUUGAGUGAUAGAAGUAGAAUCCAAAAUUGAUUCUAAUUGCCCAUACAAAUAGAAUUUUGAUUUCCAUAAGUAAAACUUCUUUGUAUAGAAAGUUCUUGUCUUCAAGAUCCGAUUGUCAAUCAAUUAGAAUGAGUCAAUCAAAUCAAUCUUGAUGUAGAAUCCAAACCAAAUCACUAGCCGUUAUAUGUUUGGGGUUCGUGUUACGUUCUAUUUCGUUUUGGAUGUAAAGUCUGAGAUCAAUAGACUUUACAAUCUGAGUCUGAACAAGUUCAGCUUUAGCAUAGAGUUUGUCUUCUGAUUCUUCCAAGUAUAAACUUUGAUAAUAUCCUUUAUAUAUUCUAUUAUCUGCAUAGUCUGUUACUCAACCAUUAAACACGUUAAUAGCCUUUGAUUUAUUUUGUCAUUUUCAAAAUAUCAAAAGGGAUUUCCCUAACAAUCUCCCCCUUUUUGAUGAUGACAAAACAAUCUUUGAAUAUGCAAAUUUGUAAAUAUGCUUUUAAAAAUAUUAAUUUAAAUAGAAAGACAUUAGAAGAUAGAAAAUAAAUUGAGCAUAACAAUAUAUAGAAAAAUAAUUGCAGCUCAAUAUUAUGCAAUAAAUAAUAUCAACCAAUCAACACAUAUGCAUAUUCAUAUCUUCUCCCCCAUUUUGUCAUAAUAAAAAAGCGAUAAUAAUGGAAAAAGUAUCACGUAGAGAAUAUAAAAUGAUAACAAACAUCUUGCAUGAAACACAAUUUCCAAAAAAUCAGCUUUUAUAAAGUAAAUCAAAUAUUAAAGAUAUGUAAAAAAGCUCACUUUGAUCAUAUAUAUAAGCAAAUAUCUAAUAAAAAUCAUGGAUGCAUUACAAAAUUUCACUUACCCUUUUUGUCAUAAUAAAAUGAUAAUAUCAAUAAGAGAUUUAUUAAUGAUAAAAGGUAAUAAAAGAUGCACUAACCGGAUUUUGUAGAACUUGGUAAGUUCUAAUCACAUUUACCUUUUCAUUCCUUCCAUAAUAAUCAAGAUCACGAUUGAUUUAAAAAGAUUUUUCCAUAAUUGAUCAAUGCUCCCCCUCAAUUUGUUGUCCUUUUGAGAUCAUCAUGAUUCUUUCCUUUCUCUUGGAUUCGCUUUCUCCCUCAAUCUUCACAGGAGAUAUUAUUCUGAUUGUACCAAAAUCCGCGUAGAUUCGCAUAGUUGCCAAAGUCUGAACUCGCUCAAAAUCUGUUGUAUUUCAAACUCAGUUUCAAAAGUCUGUUGUUCGUCAAACUCAGUUUCAAAAGAAAAAUAUUUAUACUGUUCUCUACAAAUUUUCUUUUUCACACCUAUUCACCCCCCUCUAGGUGUUCAUACUAGCACUUUCAAUUGGUAUCAAAGCAAAAAAUAAAAUCUCCAUAGAUAAUCAAAUCUUCUUUCUAAACUCAUCAUAAUAAAAUAUCUAAGAAAAGAAUAUCUUGCACAAUAAUAUCUUUAAAAAUAAAUUCUCACUUAGUCAAAGCAUAAUAAAAUCAUAAUAAAAUCCUUGAAUAUCUAAGAAAGAAUAUUUUAAUAUCACGUAAAACAGAUUUCCACUUUACAAAAUAUGACAAAAUCCGAGAAUAUAAAAUCAAAGUAAACUUAAUUGUCUCUAAUCAAGAUAUCAAAAAUAAUCACACGAUUCUUUCCUCAAAUUAUAGAAUACGGUUAUAAUAAAAUCUAAAUCAAUCAAUGAUAUGUCGAAAAUGAGAAUUAUGUGCCCAAAUCAAAUUAAAAUUUUUUACCUUCCUUACCAAAUUCUCUUUCUUCUUUCUUCUUUAUAUCCUGCAAAAGCAACUCACAUUUCCUUUGGUACCCAUUUUUUCUUGGGUCCAUGAGAGUUAGUAGAAUAUGCUAUUUUCACCAAAUCUUUUUUAACAGGUCUCCAGACUUUAGGAUAUUCUUUCUCAAAAUGUUUAGAAUCUCCACAAUUUGAACACCUGAAGGUAUUUCGACCAACAUGUUUUGUAAAAAUCCUUUCAAAAUGCUUCUUGUACGCAAGUCUAAGAGGUUUUUGUCUAAGUCUCUCCUUGACUUUAGAAAAAUCUAUUAGAGAAUCACUUUCCUUUUUGAAAGCAAGUCUCAACUUAUUAUAGUAAGGUACUUGUAUAGAAAGGAUAUGCUCUAAUGUUUUUAAUCCAUUUGAAAAUCUUGUCGAAAUAUUUGAAAAUUCUUUCUUUAAAGAAUCAUUUUUUUGACAAGUAAAUCUUGACUUUCUUUUGUAAGUAGAAAAUCUUUUUGCAAAAUUUCAAACUUUUCUUUUCGAGAAAGAUCAUGUUGUCUAAGCCAAGAAUUCUCAUUUUUUAGUUCGGAAAUCCUUUUAAGAGAAGAUUUGAGAUUUAAGCAAAGCCCAUUUAUAUACUUAAGAACUUUAGUAGGAAUUUCUGAAUGACUUACCACGAUUUCUUCAUUGGAUUAUGAGUCUGUGUCCCAGUCAGACUUUGAUUCUAAGUUUGAGUCUGAAUCAAACUUUGAUUCUGAUUCCGAAUUUGAAUCUGAGUCUGAAUGUGUCAUCAAGCAUAUAUUUUCUUGCCCGUCAUCUUCUUUCAUUGUUCUUUUCUGGCCAUUAUGCCUGUAUUGUCUUCUUCCAUUGAAUUUCAUUCCUUCUCUUCUUAGCUUUUUGAAUUUCUUGAUCAUAAAAGCAAGUUCUUUGUCGUCCAUGUCAUUUUCUGAGUCCAUGUUAGAUAUUAAAGCGAUGGACUUCUUACUUUCGGGAUCUUCAUCGUUGAUUUGUUCCACUUCAUAGGAUUGAAGAGUGCCAAUCAAUUCAUCAACGGAGAGUGACAUAAUUCUCUGAGUCUCCCGGAUUGAGGUCUUGACAUGAUUCCAAUCUUUUGAAAGACCUUGCAAGAGUUUGUUGACCUUCAUUGGCGAAGAAAUUGGCUGACCUUGAUAUGCUAAACCAUUUACAAUUUCUAUUAAACGGCUGAACAUAUCUCCAAUCAACUCUCCUUGCUUCAUCUUGAAGGAUUCAUAUUUGCCGAGUAGGAAGUUUACUUUUGUCUCUUUUACAUGAUCAGUCGCUUCAUAAGUGACAUGAAGUUUAUCCCAAACUUCUUUUGUUGUUUCACAUGAAGAGAUUCUGUUAUAUUCAGCAAGAGACAAAGUGCAAUAUAAAGAAUAAAUGGCUUUUGCAUCAAGUGUUUCUCUUUUGGACAUCUCCAUCUGAGACAUAGGAGUAGGGGGUUUGGUUUCUUUGUUUUUGCCAUUCUUAUUUGAUGUAGAUGCAGUAGUGGGAUUAAUUCCCUUUUCCACAACAUCCCAUUGCAAGGGAUCUCUGGAUCUUAGGAAUGCCUUCAUUUUGUUCUCCUAAACGUUGUAUUCCUUUACAUCAAAAUAUGGUGGCCUGGUGUUGUUUUGCCCUUCCAUAAGUCCUGGUGCCAAGAUACUAGCCAUAGAAGAUUUUUAACUCAAAAGUAAAAACACUUUUAUAAACCGAGCUCUUGGCUCUGAUACCAAUUGAAAGGGCUAGUAAGAGUACCUAGAGGGGGGUGAAUAGGUGUGAAGAAUUUUUUUUGCAAAGAACAGUAGAAAUAUUUUGUUUUGAAACUGAGUCUGACGAACAACAGACUUUUGAAACUAAGUCCGAAGUACAACAGACUUUGAAUGAGUUCAGACUUUGGCAACUAGGAACAAAAUAAAGGAGUUUAGGGAAGAGAAUAAGAACACAAUGUUUAUAGUGGUUCGGCUUAAAUCAAGCCUACGUCCACUCUCCCACUCUAACAGCCUUCUGCUGAAUUCCACUAUGCAAUCAACAAGAUAUUAUAACUUUGAGUGCAAACACUUAGUAGUAGAUCACACUAUCUCACUAAGUCACUCUUUUGGUAUUUCUCUCAUGAUCACAAAUGUUUAAGCUCAUAAGAGACAAGUGUAUGAUCGAAGUUGGCUCAGAUUUUGGAAUUAUAAAUUUUACGCUCCGUCUUUUACUUGCUCAUCGGUCCUUGAUCUCUUUAAAUACUCAUCCACUUCCAAACUAGCUGUUAGACAGUAUCUCGAGGAUUGUCUUUCAAUCUACCCAUUGGACAGAUCUGUAUCUAGAAGAUUUGGUAGCUAUUGAGUGAUAGAAGUAGAAUCCCUAAUUGAUUCUGAUCGCCCAUACAAAUAGAAUAUUGGUUUCCAUAAGUAAAGCUUCUUCGUAUAGAAAGUUCUUGUUUUCAAGAUCCAAUUGUCAAUCAAUUAGAUUGAGUCAAUCAAAUCAAUCUUGAUGUAGAAUCCAAACCAGAUCACUAGCCAUUAUAUGUUUAGGACUCGUGUUAUGUUCUGUCUCAUUCUUGAUAUAAAGUCUGAGAGCAAUAGACUUUACAAUCUGAGUCUGAACAAGUUUAGCUUCAGUAUAGAGUCUGUCUUCUGGUUCUUCCAAGAAUAAACUUUGAUAAUAUUCUUUACAUGUUCUAUCAUCUGCAUAAUCUGUUACUCAACCAUUAAACACGUUAGUAGCCUUUGAUUUAUUUUGUCAUCUUUAAAACAUCACAAGGGAUUUCCCUAAUAGAGAAUUGCCAUAGGAUAAAAAGUAUAUUACUAACACUAAUAAAAUGCCACCGAUGAUAUUGAAAAUUGCUGCUAAUAAUCUUUAAAAUAUCGCUAAAUGCAUCUUAUUGUGCCAAUUUAAAAAAUGAUGCUAAUAGAGUGUAAAAAACGUUCGAUAUUGUUGUAGUGAGUUGGUUUGAGAGAAAGUUCUCAAUGAUAGGGAAACUUUAGUUCUUUGCCAUUUACUGUAGUGAGUAGGAGCAAAUUUAUUAUUAACAAAAAAUAUAACCAACAUACAAGUGAGAUGAAACUCACUUUUGACUUAAACGUAUAGGAUAUAUAUAUUUGGUCGGUAACGUAUAGAAUAUGGAUAGAUAAAUUUGUAACUUCUUUAUAUAUGGUAGUCAGUAUUUUUGGUUUAGAAAAGUAAUUUCCAAUAUAUUGUUAAAUCGAAUGAAUAAAUUAUAUUGCAUUCCAUAGCUUUUUUUUUUCCAUUGGAAAAGUAAGCACCCACUUAUUAGUAACUAUAAAUUUGUUCACACACUUAGUUGAUUUUUCAAUAAGGAAAAGUAACUUUCAACCUAUAAUAAAAAUGAUAAAAAAAAAAAUAUUCCACUAGUUAUACAAAAAAGUAAAUAAUUCAAGGGUUGAUGCUACAAAAAAUCUUAAAUUGAUACAACUAUGACUAAUCUACCACAAGUUAAUUUUUUAAUCACCAAAAACUUUAAGCUAGUACACUUAUGACAAAUUUAAUCAAAACUAAUUUUUUGAUCAUCAAAAAUCCAAAAUUAAUACAUUUUUUAAAUAAAUUUACCAUGCAUUAGUUUCUCUUAAAUUGAAUUAAUAUCACAAAAAAUCAUAAAUCGAUACACUUGUGACAAAUGAAAGGUGAAAUUCUAAACUAGUAUACUUGUCAAUUGAUAUGUGUCACCAAAUUCAGUAAUUUGACAUUAAAGUUUAAUGAAAAUUAACAAAGGGUAAAUUUGUCAUAUAUAGAGUUUUAAAUGGUCAAAAAUUAAUUUAGGGUAAAUUUGUUAUCGGUGUACCAAUUUGAGAUUUUUUAAGGUAUUAAUCCUAACUCUAAUUAGCAACUUCUAUAUCUAUAUUUUGAUUAAUGAUAUUCUCAAUCAAAAAAGAGAGAGGCAAAUUUCGAUUAAAAAAAGUAGUGAAAAUAACUAAAAUGGAAUACCAGACUCCUUCGGUUGUGUGCAGGUCACUUGGGGAAGAGCUUGGUCAAUUAAUUAAGAGAGAGAGAGAGAGAGAGAGAGAGAGAUAGAGAGAGAGGCAAAUUUCGAUUAAAAAAAAGUAGUGAAAAUAACUAAAAUGGAAUGCCCGACUCCUUCGGUUGUCUAGAGAACAUAACGUGCACAUGGCCUGUUGUGCAGGUCACUUGGGGAAGAGCUUGGUCAAUUAAUUUUAGUAUUCCUUGCCAAUUCCUUCGCCGAACAUUCUUGCGCUCCUCGUCGAAAAUGACAAAUCGAAACCCAAGAGCGAGAUAUAGGAAUCUGUGAAAAAUAUUCCUGACAUUGUUAUUUCUCAAGUCGGCUGCUGCUUCUGAAUAAGAAAAUCGAAACCCACAGGUGGGAUUCAUUAAUUGGUGGGGCUUUUCUUUUUCUCUUCGUUUCUGAGCGCAAGGAGACAUACGUUGGGGCGAACAGUGACAAGACCAUAGCCAGUUUGACAGUGCAUUCGUGCGAGUCUGCGAGAUACUUGGGAGGAAGCAUGUACGCCGUCUGCAUUGCUUAUUGUCCUUUUCUAUCGCCUAACUCAAUGAAAUGUUACUAUGGAAAAUAAUAAAAGUGAGAUGAAUGCUGUCGACAGUAUAGAUAACAUUAUAGAGGAUUCGUGAUGAAUUUUAACAAGCUUAAAAAUAAGUUCUCAUAAAAAAGACAAAGAUCUCUUUUUUCUUAUAAGCAAGACAAGGUUGAGAGGUGUAAUAGUGCAUAUACCUUAAGGUGUUAACAUGAGAGUUUCCACUCCUUACAAAAGAUUUUGUUUAAGUCAUUACUACUUAAGCUACGUUUGGAGGACCGAAUAUAAUUUUGGAUAGGAUAAUAUCUGGUGUUUGGGAGAACACUAGAUUUGAAUUAUCUGGAUGGACAAAAAAUCCCCACCUUAUGGAAAAUCUAAGGAAAAAAGAAACAGAAAAAAAGGAGAAAAACCCGAUUGACUCGCUUUGCUACUCACCGCUCGACUUCGUCCACACCAGAUGAACACCUCUUAGUCGAUCUCUCUUCUUGUUGUCGGCUCAACAUCACCGUCCUUGACCUCAAAUGCGAUUGUCUUAAACUGUUGCUUCUAGCUUCGUCACGCGCAGCCAUCCAAAGAGUUGACUUCCUCCAACAAGUUUCAGAUUUAUUUUUUUUUCCUCGCAGAAGAACCCAUUCUAUUUGUGAAAAUUUUUUGGCGCCUAUCAUCGAGAAUUUCGAUGAACGUUGCUCUUAUUUUCAAUCAUCCUCCGCUCUUGCUUUCAUCUGAAUAAAAGGAUGGUGGUGAUGGGUUAAAUUGAUGGGCUCAUCAGGGACGGUUCGUCUUUACAACCCAUUAAUUUGGUGAUGAUGGGUCAUCGACACGGGGUUGUUUAAUGUAAUCUAGGUUCUAUUUGCCGGGACUUUAUGCGUCUAUGUCCGUCCUUUUUCAGUACUUUGUUCUGCGUUGUCAACAAGUUCUUGAGGCAACCAAGUCGCGAGUUCUAUAUUUUUCCUUUGAUUUUCAAUUUUGGGUGAUGGUAUGUUUUAACUUUAUUUCGGAGCAGAAUCUCAGAGAAGAAACAAAGGAUUUGAGUUCAGUUGUGGACUCAAGUAUUGAUUUCAGAGUACUAAUCCAAAAGACGACUUGCAAAGAAGGAACAUUGAGCAUCUAGAGCGAGAAAACAGGGAAUUGCAGUAGUGCACACCAGAUGUGGAAUCGUUAACCUUCUGCCCUUACUAAAGGAUGAAGAUGCCCUUACUAAAGGAUGAAGAUGAUGAUGGUCUGUGAUGUCUCAUUUUCCUUGACCACUAACCAUGAGAGCGAAAAAGCGAGAGAGGUGAGUUGAGUGAGAAUGUCAAUGUAUUUCAAACGCUCAGUUGCAUUAUCAUUUCAAUAUUAAGGAAACACAUCUUCUACACGUCUGUUGUAUGUACGGUAAUAAGGUAUAUCAAGCUAUGAAAAAGACAAGAAGACUCUAUAAUCAUGUUUCUUUUUUCCGCCGCUGGAGCGGAAGACCUAUCAAUUGCUGGACCAAAAAACGGGGUGAACUUUGUGGUCAGAAAAUAGGUGACUUUACAUUUUUCUUUUCCUGGAAUUAAUAUUUGACUGUGAAUAAAACCCUGGACGAAGAACGUUUCCCUCUUACUCUACUGACACACUCUUCAAUUAAUUCUUGUUUUGAAUCAUUCAAAUUAUUUGGGUUGUGAACAGCAAGUUGAAAAGCGAGGACAAUGAGCUGUCUGACGCACUCCACAUGUUCCUUGGCACAAAAUUGGCCACAUUCCUGAAAUCCUAAUUUCUAUAUGCUUAAAAAUGACUACGUGUCAACCCCUAGUACUGAAGUAGCUCAUUCAAUGGAACCUACACAUGGGUGUUCCAACCUAUAUAUAUAUAUAUGCCGGUAUGCAUCAUAAUGGCAAUACUAAAGACGCUCUUCCUAUUUUCGGCUCUGUCACUCAUUAGUCCUAAGUCCUACACAAACACCUACAAACAGAGAGAAUUUGAAUCGCUGACCCCAACCGCAGAAUCAGAAAUGGCGAGCCCAGAAAUUUUAGGGAAGAGCAUGGACCAACUUACAGAGGCCAAUUAGAGUCUACAAGAGCUUAUCUUGAACCGCAUUAGUAGGACUCAGGAAUCCAUGAAUCUCUACUUCGUAUUCCAAGGUAUUGUUUUUUCUUCUAUGCUGACGUCCUCGGAGACAAUCAGGUGUAAACUGAAAUGAACUUUUUAUGCCCUCUCUUUACUGGCCUCCAUUUACAACUCCCUCGUGGUAUUGGUAAACAUCCGCAGGUCUCUGAAGUACUACGAAAAUAUGGCCCUCAACUGGGAUCUACACGACAAACUGAGGGUGCACCUUGCCAAUCUGAGGGUGCAAGAACGGAAUAAUGCUAAUGCCCAAGCAGCGGUAGAGCAACAGAAAAAUGCUAACGCCGAAGCGGUGCCGCAGCAACAAAACAAUGCUAAUGCCCAAGCGACGGGGUAGCGACAGAACAAUCCCUAUAGAUUUAGAAUCAAUCAACGCCACACCUUAUGUUAUUUGACAGUACUGCUGCUUUUGAUAUUUUCGGCUGCAAUGCUAUAUGGUUUCUCCCAAAUUCACUGUUGUCACCGAUGCAGUUUCGGAUGAUUAGUGUGAUUUUUACAUUAUGUAACACUAGACCACAUGUCAAUACGUGGGGCAUGUAGACUAGUAAUUCGAUUAUGUUGAGGUCAAGCAACGUAGAUGUCGCCCAGUUGAUUUUCUGUUUAAAAGUGCUUCUUGCAUGUAUGUGGACCUUGAAGAAUGCUUCCAUUGUAAAAGAAGGAGGUUUGCAUUGUGUAAUGGAAAAAUUGUCCAAAACUUAACCAAUUCAGUUCUAAACAUUUUAGUUUUGCCAAUUGAGUAUUAAUUUUUUUUUUUUACAUUUUACCAAUUGAGUCAAUCUUGCCUAUUUUAGUUGGAAAUUAGUGACAUGGACUCUGAUAGUGCCACGUAGGGUGGUUGGUACUAACAUAGACAAAUUUUUGUAAUUUUUUUUAUAUAAAGUUUUAAUUUUUUUAAUUUUUUAUUUUUUUCCUACCAAAUCUGUGAAGCCCUCGCCUAGUGACCAAUGAGGGUCAGCUAGCCCUUGUCGAGCUUGGAAGAAAAAAGAAAGAAAAAGAAUGAAAGAAAAAAGAAGAAAAAAUUAUUAAAAUUCAAAAUUUUAAAUAAAAUAAUUAAAAUUGUUCACAUCAGUGUUGGCCUUACCACAUAAGACAACCGAUAUCCACGUUAGCGAUUUCCAACUAAAAUUGGUUGAAUGGACUUAAUUGAAACAAUGUAAAAAUGUUUUUGAUCUAAUUGGUAAAGUUGAAAAGCUUAUAACUGAAUUGACCAAAGUAUAAUAUAUUUAGAAUUUUUUGGACAAUUUUCCCACUAUGUAAUAUAUGAAAUGCCUGGCAAUGGAAAAAAAAUCAAAGGAUUUUUAAUCUCCUACACGGAUUUUGUAAAGUUUAGAUUACCCAAGUUGAUGUUCCAGAUCAUUGUCAAAAGACGUCGUCUAAAUUUUUUUUUUGGAAACGAUAUCAACUUUGUUUAACAUUCAAAUGCAAAAAUAAUAUUAGUUCUGAUCCACUGGUGUAAGCAAACCUUAUAUUUUAUAUAACUAGUAUAUGGUGUGUAAAAUUUCAAAAUAAAAUCUUGAAAAAUACUUUCGCUAAGAGAAAAAGUAUUAACGUCCCACGUCAUCCUCAUUUUGCAUUCUGAGUCAGUUUCUUUUUUGGCUAGAUUUAAAAUGUGCAGGAGCAAUGAACAUUGCUCCCUUUUGUUUUAGUUUGCUCUUUGAUCAUUAAUUUUAAAAGAGCGUAUUUUCCAGCAUCUCUUAUUGGAAGAACCUAGUUUCUAGUUGAUGAGUUGUAAAACAUGGACAUAACGGAUAUUUACUUUUAGUUUAUUUAUGUAUAUGUGUGUGGCGACCUACCCCUCGGGGGGGGGGGGGGAGGGAGUAGGUUUAGGGGUAUUGCUUAAAGGACGGACUUAAGGCCCAUGAUUAGGCGCGGGAUCUCUCAAGCCUAUACCUCGCGUGACGUUGGGGUAUUUUAAAAAUUUCGCAAAAAGGAGUUGCCAAUAACAUAUUGGGGUUGGCUAGAAACCAAAUGAGGUAUGGGUGUGUACGUCACUUCCUACGCAAUCAGAGAAUAUAGGGUCGGGGACUUGAUUACACUAAUUGACCAAUUAGUGCCCUUUCGGUACCUAAUCUUGUUCAUUUUAAUUGAAAAGAUUUUUAUUAGGCAGUUUGGAUUGAUUUUAUACCUAUCCACUAAUACAUGAGGUGAUCAUGUGGGUGUGCAAUCAUUAAAAUAAUAAUCACAGCUAUCAAGAUCCUAAUAGCAGUAAAAUUGAGCAAGUGCAAUUAAACAUAAUUAAAUAUGUAAAUUAAACAUGCGAUACAAUCAAUGUGCAAGCAAAUAAAGGUCUAAUUAUACUAAGAAUGCAAAACAUGACAAUUUCCAGCCAAACCCUAUAUUUUUUAAUUUUCAAAAUUAUUUUUAAUUUUUAAAUUUUAAUUAAUUUUUAAAAAAUAAUAUUUCUAUUUAUAUAUAUUAUUUUUUAAAAAAAUAUUAUUAUAAUAUAAUAUAUUUAAAACAACUUGGGUCGGAUCCCCGAUUGGGUCUAACCCGGUUUGUUGAAAAGGGCUUGAGCUUGGACUAGAUCGGGCAAGACAGCCUAAACCCGGAUCGAACUGGGCUGUGCAACCCAGGCCGACGGAAACCUAGCUGGGCUGGGCCUGAUGUGCAGGCCCAAUCCAGUCUUUUUUUUUUUUUAAAGGGAAACCCACAAGCAAAAACAGCCCAAGCUCGAUCCAAAUUGUUCAAAACCCUACUCGGUUUGUGACCCACGCUCGACCCACUUCGAAGACCAAACCCUACCUGGUUUGGAGGCUUCACUCGACCUGGUUCUGAUCUGGUUCUGCAUCUUCUCUCCCCUGCUCCUUGUUGGCGCUGAUGAGGGAUGGUCAGAGACAUUGACGACUUGGCGGUAGCAACGCUGGGCUGGUGCUGCGACGGGGCUAGAUUAGUGCUGUGACGAUGGCUGUGCAGCAAGGGGACUAGGAAUGGUGGUGGCUAGUAGCAGUGACGACGGGUAUUACAGGUUGUGUGGUGAGAGGGCUUGGUGAUCGGCUCGGGCUGCUGGCAUUGCGGGUUCGAGCAUAGGGGAGUACGACAGUAGUGGCGGCACUCAGCGGGUAGCUGGUGGUCUCUUAGGCAAGGGGGCUCGGAGUGGCGGUGUUUGGCGGAGGAGGGCUGCUGGCGUGACGAUCGUCGUGACUACAAGUGCUGUAGCGGCGUCAUGGUUAAGGCGGCGAGCUCGGGACAACGGAGCUCGCAGUUGGGGGUGCUUAGCAUAGCUCGGCGAGGAUCAGCAAAUAGCGCGUCGGGACGGAAGGCGGCGAUGGCUCGGAUGGCGUCGGGGUCGGAGGGCAGCUCGGACGGCGUCGAGCAACGUCGACGACACCUCCUCCCCUCCGUUCCUUCUCUCUCUUCUCUUCUCUCCUCUCCCUCUGCUCCUCCCUCUCUCCCCCGAGCUCUCCCUUCUUGUUGUUCUCCCUUCCCCUCCUUCUUGUUCUCUUUUUCCUAUUUUUUGUUCACUUUUCUUCUGUAGGUCCACGUGAAGACCCCUGCCUUGCUAGCUGUUGGCUGGGCUGCCUUCAACCCGCGGAUCACGUUGCCUGCCCGUCGCAUUGAUCCCCCUACUCCUUUGCCGCUGUGCUGCUCCUGUUCUAUUUUCUAUAGGUCGUCGAAGGACAUCAGGGAAGGAGGUAAGCUAGCAAGCUGGGUUGAGGGGAGGAAGGGCCUAGGCCACGCGAAGGGAAAGAAAAGGAAGGAAAUGGGGCCGGGCCCAGGCCCACGCAAAGGGGAAAGUAGAAAGAGAGGCGGGCCGAGCAAAGGUUGGAUCCGGCCAGACCUGACCUCUCUCGAUUUUUAUUUUAUUUUUUUAAUAAUUUUUAAUAAUAAUUUUUUUAGUGACUAAUUCCUAGUUUUUUAUACUAUUAAGUCUUAAGUAAAAUGACGAAAUUUAGGUGUCAACAACUGCCCCUCUUUGAAUGGGAAAUCAAAGAGGUUCCAUUCAAAGACAAGAGACACCUAAAUUUUGCCUCUAGAUGAUGACAAUCGGGGCUAUGGAUGAGGAAAUGAUAUGAACGGAUGACCUUACUUUCUAAGAGAUGUCCCUUGACCGAGAUGGGAAAAUCUUAUUGUAUGAUAACUAAUUCCGAUUGGUAGGGAGGUCUCAUCGUGUAACAACGAGUUUUGACUGGGAAGAAAUGUCUCAUCGUGUAAAAACAUGUUUCGACUGGAUAUGAUAGUCUCAUCAUGUGGAAAUGAGUUUCGACUGGAAAAAGGGUCUCAUUGUGUAAAAACGGGUUUCAACUGGAUAUGAUAGUCUUACUAUAUAGAAACGGGUUUUGACCGGGAAGAAAGGUCUCACAGUGUUAAAAUAGGUUUUGACUGGAUGUGAUAGUCUCACCGUGUAAAAACGGGUUUCGACUAGAUGUGAUAAUCUCACCGUGUAAAAACGAGUUUCGAUUGGAUGUGAUAGUCUUACCGUGUAAAAACAGGUUUCAACUGGAUGUGAUAGUCUCACAAUGUAAAAAUGAGUUUCGAGUAGAUGUGAUAGUCUCACCAUGUAAAAACGGGUUUCGACUGGAUGUGAUAGUCUCAUCAUGUAAAAACGAGUUUCGACUAGAAGAAAGGUCUUACCGUGUAAAAAUGCGUUUCAACUGGAUGUGAUAGUUUCAUCGUAUAAAAAUAGGUUUCAACUGGAAAAUGACAAGCAUGGUUUACGGAUGAACCCACACGCCGUGUGGUUUAGGAAAAGCCACCAACCUCGUGGUUUAAGGAUAUACCCACCAACCUUGUGGCUUAAGGAUGACCCACGAACCGUGUGGUUUAAGGAUGACCCAUGAACCCCGUGGUUUAAGAAUAAACCCACCAACCUUAGAAAUGACAUGGUUUAAGGUUGACCAUGAACCUUUCGAAAUGGCAUGGUUUAGGGCUAAUCAUGAAUCUUUGGAGAUGAUAUGGUUUAAGGCUGACCAUGAACCUUUGGUUUUUAGGGAAGCACUCGCUAACCCCUUGAAAACCGCAUGGCUCCACUGAGGAAUUCUGUCAAACUCAACUUGAGCAAAUGUUAUUAGAGAUGUCAUCAAGAAUGUAUUGGCAAUAUUGCAGCAUUAAUUGAACAAGCUAAUUAAGCUAAGUCCGACUGCUUUAGAAAAACAUUUGAUGUCAAUCAGCAUCAUGUGGCGUAAAACUGUCAUUUUGCUCGGGGAUGUAUCAUUAGUCAUUAAAUUCUCUGGGAGUCAAGUUCUUAUUAGAACAGCUAAGACUCGUGAAAAAAGCUCAUUAAGCUUGCCUGACUAGAGCUUCUUAGUCAUAAAGGGUUUCUCACACACUCUCGAUAAAAUGGCUGUUUGAUCCCAUCCAUUUGCAUGGGAAGUAAUUGAUUGCUGAGGGUAUCUCACAUAACCCAUGUCAAAGGCUUUCAGAAACAUUUGCGAUGAGCAUAAUUUGAUCAAUCAAAAAGGUCUUUUGAAAGAACCGCAAUAUAUGCUCAGUUAAGGCUUACACAAAGGAAUUAUUGCUUUGAGGCUAAUAAAGGAACAUUUGUCGCUAUCUUCAUCGGGUUAACAAGUCGAGAACUUGGAAGAUAAGACAAGAUAGAAUUACCUCCACUCCUUCAAGCAGUAGCUUCUUUGUGGCAUUCUCAUUUUCACUCAAACCAUCCAAAUCAGAAGAGACUUCGAAAGAGAGUUGUAAUGUUAGCUCGGAAGAGGCUCGAAAGGCUUAAAAUUUUCAAGAGGGUAUUCUAAAGAGUUGGUGAUCAUCAUGGCAUCGUGACCAGGUCACUCGAUCUUUCGAAAUCAUUUGGCUUUUGAAACACAGCACAUCUCGAAAGUCCCUUGACUAAUCAUUUCUGCAUGGAAGCCUUGCUCCUUUCUCUAAUUUCCUUUGCACUUGCAAUGAUUUUUUACACAAGUGCUUGGACUUUGAUAAUUUUUCUUUCACAUAAGAUGCAACCUUUUGGCUCUUUUUCUUGACGGGCAUUGACUUUGCUUUUACUAGGUACACUAUUUUUUCAUACCCCCAAAUUUUGUCGAACUUUUUGCUCUUUGAACUUUUGGAGCGCUUAUGACUUUUGAGAUGCUUUUCAUGUUUUCUCGUAAAUGUCAAUUGUAUGUGGUCAAUUAUUUUGUCUUGCCCUAGUGAAGGGAGAUGAUCACUGCUCGGGGUUUAGAAAUAAAUAAUCGGGCCCAAAUUGGUUAAAGCAACAUGUAUAAGUGUUUGGAUAGAGAAGGAAAUGCUCUUCUUCACCUUGGGAUGAGUCAAACUCUGAUGAGAAUUCCUCUGAAGCUAUCACCAAAAGAUUGAUGCUAGUGUAAUAGAAUUUUUCUCAAUAUUUUGCUCUACAACAUGACUGUAACCUCCUGUGUUGCCCCAAUGUAGGGUCGUUCUCGAUAGGGGUACUUUGAAGGAUUAUCUUUAUUUGGCCCAAAGGGCUAUCAAGAGAUUAGUACGGUGCUUGGGAUUGAUGAAGGAAACGCUUUUAUCAUUUCGAUCUUUUCGCUCAAUACAAAUGAAUCCUUCGUCCUAAGAGAAGGUCAUUUUUCACUCAACUCUCAAAAGUGUUUAAAGGACGUAUUUAGAUAUAGCUUGCAUUUCUUCAUCCUAAGCACUUCUUGUUUGGCAUGGUUAACGUCUCCAUUUCACUCUGUUGAGAUCAUCUGAGUAGAUUAAUCUCCACAGGGAAAUUUGAUUCAAAAUGAAUAACUCACAAAACGAGAAAACAAUUUUGGAAUAAAAAGGAUGUUAAAAAAGUUUGUAGAAAUUUUUUUCUUUUCUCAAUUAUUCAUUUUUGUGCUUGUUUCUAGAAAAGUGCCAAAGUUUUUUUUUUAAUGGAAAUUCUCCAUUUUUUUUUUAAAUUUAAUUUUGAGAAGAAGGGUACUUACCUGUGGCGUGGUGAUUUGGUAACCCUAUGAAGAAUGUAGAAGAAUAUGUUAGUGCAAAAAUCUUUAGGGAUUGAAAUGUUCAAAACAAUACAUUAUUACCCUUCACUUGCUUUUAUCCUUUGGGUGCUAACAUUUCUUGAAUUCACCCUUGUGGAUAUCUAUAGAGUUUGGCUUGUACAAACGGUCCGGAUCUAGAACAGUUCACGCAUAAUUUAUAGAGUUUGAACAAGUGUGGCCUUCCGUUCUUAAGCUGAAAAAUUCAAUUGAGGUUACCAUCUAACUUGGACACUUUUAAACAACUAAAUACAUGCAUGCACGAAAAGACCUUUUGCCAAGAAUAAUAAGAUAUUAUUAUUGAGGCAUGCUCUGUUUUUUUUGUGUAAUCGUCUGUGGAUUAUAUAUAGAGAGAAAUAAACGAUUUUUUCAAAAGGAAUUGAGCAAUCGGCUAAGUGAGUGGAUUUGUAAAGGAUGAUAAUUAUGGUAGCUUUAUGAAAGAUAUAGUAGUGAGUGAUUUUUAUUUUUAGACUAUUUAUUUCAUGUAAAAUCAAUUGUUUGAAAAUAUUUUCCUAAAAAUAAUUGUUUGUAAUAUUUGAAAAUUUUAGUCAAUGAGAAUCAUUCUCAUCAUCAAUAAUAAAUUAUAUCUGAAUAUUUUUAUGAACAAUGAUAAUACUUUUCUUUCAUUUAUAUUUGUAAAUGAUGCAAGUCAUUUUUAUGAAAAUAUUUUUCAAAUUAUUUAUUUUCUGCGAAAUAAAUGGAGCCUUAAUGGGAGAAUAAAUUAAACACGUAACAGAAAAAUGAGAUAAAAGUCAAUUCUAAUUUAAAUACAUCGAUAUGUAAAUCACACAGAGGCAAGAUUCAUUCAUAAUGGUGUGAUGGUUCCCGCUUUUAACUCAAAGAGAUUUUUUUGAUCAGAAAGGAUAAUAUAUUGAUAAAAGUGUCACGUGGGAAAGAAAGAGCAACCCUGAGCAAGGGCAUCUUUACAGAGGAUAUCGAGCAUGACUUGGGGAGGGGAAACAAACCAAGCGAAAGAAAGGGAUCCUCGGCCAUGGGCCUUUGCUGCCCAAUCGGCUAGGGCAUUAGCCUCCCGACGGCAGUGCUGUAGACGGAGAUGAGAGAAGCGUCGAAGGAGAUCGAAGCAUUUGGCGAAGAGGGCGUGGCACUCCCACGGCGGCAGGCGUCACCGAUUUAGGGUUUCAACGAGGACGAUGCUGUCCGACUCCACAACCAGGUGAGAAUCUGUUAGCUCCCGCUGAAUCAAAUCGUCGAGAGAAAAAAUUAACGCCUGGAUCUCGGUCUCGAGAGCAGAGGAGGCAGAGACAGAGCGUGUGAUUCCUCCGAGCAAUCUACUCGAGUGGUGGCGAGCAAUACUAGCGAUCGAGCCUCUGUGAGUCGCCAUGGGGAAGGAGCCGUCCAGAUUAAUCUUCAACGUGCCCUGCAGGGGGGGUUGCCAAGACCGAUUAGGGCUCAGCCAAGAGGAAUGGCCCUUGAAAUCCUUGAGAUGGACUCGUUUCUAGAGAGAGGCCAGAGCAAAAUUAGAGUCAACAAUCUUAUCUAGGGACAUCCGAAAGCGGUGAAAGACGAAAUGGUUCCGCGCCUUCCAGAUUUCCUAAAGAAGGCUCGCAACCUGCUCAAAAUCUGGUAAGUCUCUGUUAUGAGUGAGGAGAUUAGCUAACCAUGAGUCCAUUCGGUUAGGGUUAUAAGCAAAAACAUUGAGCUGUACUUGGGAAUGAUUCCAUAUACGUUGAGUCCAAGGGCAAUGCAAAAAGAGGUGUUCGGUUGUUUCAGGAGAGGCAGAGGAGCAGAGAACACAGACUGGGUCUUGAGUGAUCCUUCGGUGGAAUAGAUUGUCCUUAGUUGGUAAUGCGUUCUGACAGACAGACCAUAAAAAAUUACGAAUCUUGGGUGCUGUCUGUGCUUUCCAUAUCUGUUUCCAAACAAACUUUGGUGGUUGGUAGGAAGAGGAAGCAUGAGAGUAUACCUGUUGGCGUGUAGAUUGAUGAAUAACAUUGUAUCCACUCUUGACAUAAUAGAUGCCAUCCCGAGUUCCUGUCCAUAUGAGUUUAUCUUUUGUUGAUUGUGGCCAAAGUUUUAAUUGAAUGAUCUGUUGUACAGUGGGGUCAUCAAAGAAGCGAUGCAGAAGAUCGAUAUUCCAGUUAUUUGAAGAGGGGCAUAUCUGACUAGCCACGGUGUGGGGUUCAUCUCGGAGAGCUGGACCACCCAGAAUUCCGACAGGUAACCAUUUAUCCUCACGGACUUUUAUUGAGUGGCUAUUUCCCACUGACCAUUGAAGCUUUGGACUAAUGGAAUCUCUACCUAACAUGAUGCUCAGCCAACCCCAGGAAGGUCCUCUGUCCGCAUGCCAGAAGGUUUUGAAAGGAAAGUACAAACCUUUAAAGACACGGCUCCACAAUGACGAAGGAUCUUGGAACAGUCGCCACGCCUGCUUGCCCAGAAGAGCCUUAUUAAAGGUCAGAAAAUCUCUAAAUCCCAUACCUCCAGUAUCUUUUUUGGCUUUCAAUAGAUCCCAGUGUUUCCAAUGAAUGCAGGAUUUAUUGUUGUUUAUUUUCCACCAAAACUUGGAAAUUUUUUGUUCAAUGGAUUUGCAUAUUGAGACCGGGACCUUCAAUAUAUACAUAGCGUACUGAGGUAGGGCUUGAACAACUGAUUUUAAAAGAACCUCCUUACCCCCUUUUGAAAUGAAAGAUUCUUUCCACCCCUCCAAUUUUGCAUUUACCCUGUCAAAGAGCCAAGCAAACAUAUUAUUUUUUGAUGAACCCCAAUCGGAAGGUAAUCCUAGGUAUUUACCUGAUUUCUCCAAAAUAGGAACCCGAAGCUCACUAGCCAGGUUAACUUUAAGAGGCUGAGGGCAUGAUAUAUUCCCCAUAAAUAGACCGGAUUUGUUUCUGUUAAUGGCUUGACCGGUUGCUAAGCAGUACUGAUUGAGGAUGUUAUCGAGAUUUUGACAUUCGCUAGUUGUACCCUCCACAAAAAAGAUAGAAUCAUCAGCAAAAAGGAGAUGAGAUAAAACAUGGCACCAUCGAUUGAGUUUUAUACCCCUAAGAGAGCCCAUGUCAACAGCUUGUAGGAUAAGAGAGGAGAGCAGAUUAGUCACCGGGAUAAAUAAAUAGGGGGAGAGUGGGUCGCCCUGGCGAAGACCUCGAGAUGGCUGAAAGGUAGGUAGCAGUUCGCCGUUAAAUUUGACACUAAAAGAGGUGGAAGAUACGCAGUGCAUAAUCCAGGAAAUCCAUUUGUCUUGAAAACCCAACCGACAAAGAUAGGCAGCCAAAAAAUCCCACUCCACCCUAUCGUAGGCCUUCUUCAUAUCCACUUUCAAUAUGCCCUGAAACUUUUUCUUGCUGUUGCGAGUUUUUAUUUGAUGUAGGACCUCCUGAACAAUAAGUAUAUUGUCUUGUAUUUGUCUGCCUGAUACAAAGGCACUCUGUUCUUGGGAGUAGGCAAGUUUUCAGGCGAUUUGCUAAGAUUUUGGAUAUGAUUUUGUAACUAAAGUUACAUAAGCUAAUUGGGUGAAACUGAUCUAACCUUUCAGGGUUUGGAAGCUUGGGGAUUAGCGAGAUGGAGGUCCUGUUUAUUUCUGCGGGCAGCACUCCUGAACUGAAGAAGGUGUGAACCAUACUAUAAACGUCCUCCUGAAUGAUAUCCUAGUGGUGGUGGUAGAAGAGGCCAUUCAAGCCGUCGGGACCCGGGGCAUUGGUUGCGCCCAGCUGAAAGGUAGCCUAUUUUACCUCGUCCUGUGGUCAGAAAAGUGUUCAUUUCAGCUGUAACUACUAUAGGACAUUGAGCUAGAAUAAGACGAAAAUCCCGAGAGCCUUGUGAAGUAUAAAGGUCCCUGAAAAAGUCGAAAGUCAUCUGUUUAAGCUGGUUGAGGUCUCGGAUCCAGUUCUCAUUGCUGUCCUUGAGGGUGCUGAUGGUAUUUCUUUUUCUACAUUGGAUAGCCGUAGCAUGAAAAAAUCUCGUUUUUUUUAUCCCCACACUGCAUCCAUUUUAUGCGAGACUGCAUCGCCUAGUAGUGCUAUUCUUGAGACCAUAUGUUCAUAAUUUGCGCCUUCAGAGAAUUGAUGUGGAUGUUAUUAUGAUUGACGACGGGUUGGUUGGUGCAUUGCUGAAGCUGUUGCUGAAGGAGAUCAAGUUGACGAUUGCCCGCUUUGAAUUUAUGGCUACUCCACCUCGACAAUGGAGGUGUCCCUUUUGUAUAAUGAUUGAAGUCUACACCUUUAGGUUGAGAUGGCCGUAUAAUUCCCUGAUCAGGGUGGUGUUGGAGAAAUCUUCUUGAAGUGUUUUGAAGUUGACAAAACGUUUCUAUCAGUCUAGUCUGAAGGUUUGCAGACUCUGUUAUUUAAAGUCUGAAGACCUCCGGCAGCCAGACUCAAGACUCAAAGUCUGUCUUCAUUGACAGUCUCUAAUCCGUUGAAGAAAGGUUAUCCAGAACUGGAUGUUUCGUUAAGGAUUUAACCUUAUCAUCUGGAGAAGAUCUCGUGGCUGGAGAAGACGUAACAGAAUCCUUUGAUUGAUCAAGAUUGAUUCGAUGAUUGAAGAUUCGAUGAUUGCCUAAAUAUUAUUGGAAGGUUCUACUUAUGGAAACCAAGAUCCUGAUUGUAUGGGCGAACAUGAUUGAUGGGCUAUCAACACGUUCCUUUAAUAGCUCGAACAAUCUUCCUAAUUGAUUCCGUCCAACGGGUAGAUUGGAGGAAUUCCUUUAGUAAGUGCCAACGGGUAUGAUGGCAUAAAGGAGUAUAUAAGAAAGACGUUCUUAGUUGUUCGAGGUGUGCGUGAUAGAAGAAUUCCAAAGUCUGAAGCUCCUUUUUGUUUAGACAAUUCCUUUGAGCGAAUACUUGUAUACAAAAGAGAGUCUAUAUUUGUGAGAAACCUUGAGGAGGUGUGGUAGAACAUCUACACUGUGGAAUCAAGGCAAAGCUGUGCUGUAACUUCUCUUUUGAUCAUAGUGAAAUCCAGCCGGUGGGCUGUCAAUGCGGAAGAGUGGACGUAGGCUUGGAAUAAGCCGAACCACUAUAAAUCCUGUGUUCAUUUUUCUCUUCCUCACUCUCUCUACCUCGAUCGUAUUUCAUUUUGUUAAUCAAGAGAGAAUUUCUUUCUAUCGUUUGCUAAGAAUCGCUUCCGUAUUUCGACAAAUUGUUUGUGCGCCUAUUCACCCCCCCUCUAGGUGUUUAUACUAGCUAUCUCAAUUGGUAUCAGAGCUCGUGUACUCACUUUGUUUGUAGUGUUUUACUUCAGAGUUAAAGAUCCAUGGCUAGUAUGCUAGCACUAGGGCUGAUGGAAGGGCAAAGCAAUACUAGACCACCCUAUUUUGAUGGAAAGGAUUACAACAUUUGGAAAAACAAGAUGAAAGCUUUUCUACGAUCAAAGGAUCCUCUGGAAUGGGACGUUGUAGAAAAAGGAAUUACUCCUACAGCUGCAUCAGUCUCUGAAAGAGGGAAAGAAACUGUUGAGACCAGCGGAAUGACUCAGGAAGAGAUAAACAAGAGACAAACACUCGAUGCAAAAGCAAUUUACUCUUUAUAUUGUGCUUUGUCACCAAUUAAAUAUAAUAGAAUAUCUUCUUGUGUUACAGCAAAAGAAGUCUGGGACAGAUUGCAUAUCACCUAUGAAGGAACAGAUCGAGUGAAGGAAACCAGAAUUAACAUUCUUCUCGGUCAAUAUGAAGCCUUCAAAAUGAAACCAGGAGAAUCUAUAACUGACAUGUUUAGCCGUUUUACAGAUAUUGUCAAUAGUUUUGAGAAUCAAGGACAAAAAAUUUCUGAUCCCAUGAAGGUAAACAAGCUACUGCGUGGACUCUCCAAGGAUUGGAAUCACAUAAAGACUUCGAUAAGAGAGACGCAAAGAAUUAUGCCACUAUCUGUCGAUGAGCUGAUUGGAACUCUUCAGUCUUAUGAAGUGGAACGGAUCAAUGAAGAUGAAGAUCCAAAAGGUAAGAAAUCCAUUGCAUUAAAAUCAAAUGAUGAUUCUGAUGAUAUAGAUUCUGAAGAUGAUAUGGACGAUGAGGAGCUUGCUCUCAUGAUAAGAAGAUUUAGAAAAUUGAAUAGAAAAGGAAGAAGGUUCAACUCAAAGAAACAAAGCUUUCAAAGACAGCAGACCAAGUCUGUUGAUGAUGAGGAACCAAAUAAAGAUGUAGUCUGCUUUGAAUGCAAGAAAAAGGGACACAUCAGACCUAACUGUCCUCUUCUGAAAAAGAAAAGAGGAAAAGUUGAAAAAUUUCGAAAAGCUCUCAAAGCCGAAACCUGGAGUGAUACAGAGUGUGAAGAAAGUGAUAAUGAAUAUGCCAAUCUAUGUCUGAUGGCACAAUCAGACUCAGACUCUGGAUUAGACUCUGGAUCAGACUCAGACAGUGAAUUUGAGGCAAGUAAUUUUAAAAUUCCUGUCAAAGUUUCUAAAUACAUUGAUGAUCUGUGUUUUAGUCUUAAGACUUCUCUCAAAAGAAUUUCUGAACUGAAAAAGGAAAACUUAGCUCUAAAACAAAAGGAAAAUGUUUUAGUAGAAAGAGUUAAAAGUCUAGACUUAACUGUUUCCACUCUUAAAGAAAAUGAAGAUAAUCUUUUAAAAGAAAAUGCUCUUUUAAAAACAGACUUAUCAAAUACUUCAAAGAAAUUUUCAAUAGGGUCUGAGAAUCUUGAAAAAAUUCUUUCAGCUCAAAGACCUUACUUCAAUAAGUCUGGUCUAGGUAUGUCAGCGGAAACAAUUCCCUUGAUUGAUUUUCCUAAAGUAAAAGAAAGAAUUAAGAAAAGACCCUCGAAAGAGGCUUACAAAAAUCAUUUCAAGAAAGUUUUUGUAAAACCUGUAGGUAGAAAUGCUCUCAGAUGUUCAAAGUGCAACAGUCCGGAUCACUUUGAAAAGAGUGUCCUAUGGUAUGGAAACCUGUUAAGAAAAUAUGGGCUAAUACUGUUUAUCUUACUAACACCAAAGGACCCAAGAAAAUUUGGGUACCAAAGAAAGCUUGAGACUUUAUUUUAAAUGCAGGUCUCCGUCAAGAAACAGGUAAAGUGGUAUCUUGACAGCGGAUGCUCAAGACACAUGACAGGAGACUCAAAUUGUUUUAUAAAGCUUGCUCAAGUAAAUGGUGGAAAAGUUUCAUUUGGAGGAAACAACAAAGGAAGUAUUGUGGGAUUUGGAACCGUGAAAAUUGGAAGUCUCACAAUAAGUAAUGUUUCCUUAGUGGAAGGACUCAAUUACAAUCUUCUCAGCAUUAGUCAAUUGUGUGAUAUUGGUUUCAAGAUCUUCUUUCAAGAAGGAACAUGUUCUGGAAUCAGUAAAGACUCUACUCAGUCUUUCAUGGGUCGAAGACAUGGAAAUAUCUAUCUUCUGGAUGUGAAACCAAAUGAAUCGCAAUGUCUUAUCUCAAUUCAAGACGAAGCAAGCUUAUGGCACAAAAAGCUUGGUCAUGUCAACAUGAAGCAAUUAACCAAAAUCUCAUCAAAGCAGCUAGUUCGAGGUCUACCCAAAUUGCCAUACCAAAAGACUGAUUCAUGCACUCCAUGUAUUCUGGGAAAGCAGGUAAGAAAUUCAUUUAAGCCAAUAAAUCAUGUCUCUACUAAUCAUGUACUACAAUUGCUGCAUAUGGAUCUCUUCGGACCAACCAGAACACAGAGUAUUGGGGGUAAGAAAUAUUGCCUAGUAAUUGUUGACGAUUAUUCCCGUUUUACUUGGGUAUAUUUCCUUGCAAGUAAGUCCGAAACCUUUUCGUAUUUUGAAAAAUUUGCUAAAAAGGUUCAAAAUGAAAAAUGAUGUGUUAUCUCUAGUAUAAGAACAGAUCACGGAGGUGAAUUUGAAAAUCAAGAUUUUACAAAAUUCUGUGAUGAAUCUGGCUUUAAGCAUGUGUUCUCCUCUCCAUAUACUCCUCAGCAAAAUGGAGUUGUGGAAAGAAAGAAUAGAUCUCUUUAAGAAAUGGCUAGAACUCUUUUAAUUGAAAGUAAGAUUUCUUCACGAUUUUGGGCUGAAGCUGUUUCAACAGCAUGCUAUAUCAUCAAUAGAGUCUUCUUAAGAUCUAUUCUACAGAAAACCCCUUAUGAGUUAUUCAAAGAUAAGAAGCCUAUUGUUUCAUACUUUCAUGUAUUCGGUUGCAAAUGUUUUAUAUUAAAAAAUGCAAAAGAUUGAGUUGGUAAGUUUGAAGAAAGAUCAGAUGAAGGUAUCUUCCUUGGAUAUUCUACAUCAAGCAAAGCCUACAGAGUCUAUAACAAGAGGAGCCAGUCUGUGGAGGAGUCAAUGAAUGUCAAAUUUCAAGACUCAACGCAAGAUGAAUCAAGUCAGACUCAUCAAGAAGAGUCUGAACCUGCUCCAGGCUCUCCAAAGUCUACAACUCAAGAAGCAUCUCAGACUUUGGAAAACCAGCAUCAAGUUGUUCAUGAAGAUCCAAAUAAAGAAAGAGAUCAUCAACCAGACAAAUCAACAAGCAACUGGAAGCAUAAGUCCAGUCAUCCCAAAGAUCUUAUAAUCGGCGAAAUUAAUGAAGGAAUUCGCACCAGAUCCAAAAGGCGAGAAGAGUCUAGUGCUGUGGCUCUAGUUUCUAAAAUUGAACCAAAGAGCAUAGAAGAAGCUUUAUAUGAUGAAAGCUGGAUUGAAGCUAUGCAAGAAGAGCUCAGACAGUUCAACAUUAAUGAUGUCUGGGAAUUGACAUCCAAACCAAAAGGUAAAACUGUUAUUGGAGCUAAAUGGGUGUUCAGAAACAAGAUGAACGGGAAAGGAAAAGUCGUACGAAACAAAGCGAGACUCGUGGCCAAGGGAUAUACGCAAGAAGAAGGAAUAGACUAUGAUGAGACUUACGCUCCUGUAGCAAGGUUAGAAGCUAUUCGUCUAUUACUUGCAUUUGCUUGUUAUAAGAAUUUCAGGUUAUUCCAAAUGGACGUCAAAAGCGCUUUCCUAAAUGGAUUUAUCCAUGAGGAAGUUUAUGUGGAACAAUCACCAGGGUUUGAAGACCCAAAGAAGCCAGACUCAGUCUUCAGACUGAAAAAAGGCUUUGUAUGGUUUAAAGCAAGCACCUCGGGCUUGGUACGACAGAUUAAGUAAGUUCUUAAUACAAAAUGGUUUUGUCAAAGGUAAAGUAGAUACGACUUUAUUUAUCAAAAAGGAAAACAAAAGUUUCUUACUUGUUCAAAUAUAUGUGGAUGAUAUUAUUUUUGGAUCCUCUAAUGAAAGUCUGUGCAAGAAAUUUUCUAAGUCUAUGUAGGAUGAGUUUGAAAUGAGUAUGAUGGGAGAGUUAACAUUCUUUCUUGGUCUUCAAGUAAAACAAUUGAAGGAAGGAACUUUUAUUUAUCAAGAAAAAUAUGUUAAUGAUCUUGUCAAAAGGUUUGGACUGGAAAAGUGCAAAAAGACCGACAUACCAAUGUCAAGUUCUUUAAAGAUAGACAAAGAUGAAGAAGGGAAGAAAGUUGAUCAAAAGCUGUACAGGAGCAUUAUUGGAUCACUUCUUUAUCUUACUGCUUCUAGACCUGACAUUUUGUUGAGUGUUUGCAUCUGUGCUAGGUUUCAAUCAGAUCCUAGAGAAUCUCAUCUCAGUGCUGCGAAACGCAUCAUUAAAUACGUUGCUUCAUCAUCAAGCAUCGGUCUUUGGUAUCCUAAGAAGGGAGACUUUAAUCUUCUGGGAUAUUCAGACGCAGAUCUGGCCGGCUACAGAGUUGAUAGAAAGAGCACUUCGGGAACUUGCCAGUUGCUUGGAAGCAGGAUAGUGUCUUGGUUUUCAAGGAAACAAAGCACUGUGUCUCUUUCAACAACAGAAGCAGAGUAUGUAGCUCUUGGAAGCUGCUGUUCGCAAAUUCUAUGGAUAAAACAACAACUAAGAGACUUUGAAAUUGAAGACUCAUGCACAGAGAUUAAUUGCGACAACACCAUUGCUAUCAACCUCACCAAAAAUCCAAUUCUCCAUUCAAGGGCAAAGCAUAUAGAGAUUCGACAUCACUUUAUUAGAGACCAUGUUCAAAAUGGAGAUAUUUCAAUUCAAUUUGUUGACUCUAAGAAUCAACUGGCGGAUAUAUUCACAAAGCCUUUGGAGAAAAAUCAAUUUGAAUCUAUUCGUUCCAGACUCAACAUUUUGAGGUAUGAGGAUAUCAAAGUCGAAAGACUUUUAGACUCAGACUUACAAGACUUUAUCUGAAAGACAGUCUUGGCACGACCGUCAGACUGUAAGUCUUUCUCUCUCUAAACUUAUAUUGAAAAGGUACGAUCGUCAGAUUGUGUUUUAAUUGUUGCUAUAUUUAAUUGAAGUAAAUAUUGCAUCGUUUCAUUUUCAAAAAGGAAGUUAUUUUUGAAAUAGCUAUUUUUGCGAAAGAAGACAGUUAUUUUGAAAAGGCAUUUUUUUUUAUUUCCUUUGUGACGGUUCGUUUAUUUCUCUUUUUAACCGAUCGUGCACUGUCGAUUCCUCUUCCUUCACUCUUGAAAACCCUAGAAAGCAUCGAUCCUCCAUUCCCGUUUGUCUUCUUUGUUUAAUCUUCAAAAAGUUGUCAUCUUUCCUGGGAAAGUCAAGCAAGGAAUCUUCCAAAAACUGAGAAAGAUGUCAUCUUCAAGAAAGUCUUCGAGAAUCGCAAGCAGGGGACCACGGCAAAUGAGUGAGGGGCCUACGCACUUCGAUCUUACUGAAGAAGAAGUGACUCCAGAACAGUAAGCGAGCCCACAACAUUCUCAGCAGCGUCAUUCUCCACCAUCUAGUCCUCAAGGCGUUGUUCAUCAACAUCAGGAAGAAAUCAUCGAGGAUGCAGAUCCAGUAAGAGUUCAAAAGCCCGCUUUCAUUUACAAGCUAUAUCGUGCCUUAAAAGGAAUUCAUACUCCUUUGAACUAUGUUGAUGAUUUUCUUAAAGACAAAGGAUAUAAGAACGAAUAUAUCUUUCUGCGAAAAAUGGAAAGUUUGGGAAUUGCUCGUAAAGGGGUGGCUGAGGAAACCCUUGCGAAUAUCCCAAGUGAUCCUCGUGAUUGGGGGCCGAAUCCUGUAGAUGGGAAUGAUGAUGACAAUCUGUUCAGUCUAUUUCAACCGAAAAUGGGGAUUGCGGCUGAAAUUCAAGGAAAAAGGGGAGAUUUGUUCAGAUCGAAGGAGCAAAAGGAUCUGUACUCGAAAUUGCUGAAGCGUGGGGUAAUAAACCCUAGGAGUGUGGAUUUUGAUUUUUUGGAUGCUGUGAAAGUGAACUUGAGGGAAAAGUUCAGUUAUCUUCAACUUGAAAAGUUCUGCUCUGACUCUACUGAGGCCUAUGCUGGAUUAACUGCUUAUUUCUAUUCAAAUCUUAGCUUUUUGGAUUCGAAUAGAUUCUCUUUCAGCGUUAAAGACCAAGACUAUGUUGUGGAUAUGAAUAUGCUGGCAGAUGUGUUAGAAGUUGAGAGAGGCAGAUAUCAACCGAUCAAAGUUUCCAUUGCUCGAGCCACACUUGAACUGGUGAAGGACAGGAGAACAUAUGAGAAGAUCAUCUACUUAAGGAUGAGUGCAUUCAACAUCUUGCUUCACAAGAUUGUGAUUAAUUGCCUCCGACCGAAAUCAACCUCCAAGACUGAUGUUUCAAGUUCAGAGGCAAAGUUAAUGUAUGCCAUCCUCUGUGGAAAAAAGUUUUCUCUCCCUCAUACUGUCAUGUUUCACAUGUAUAGAGCAAUGAUGAAGGACAGAGGUCAACUCCCUUACCCAAGCCUUGUUACGAAGUUAUUCAGACAUCUUAAUAUUCAGCCUCCACAAAUCUUUUGUGUUCGACCAUGCGAUCAUAUGGUGGUAGGACUGAAAAUGGUGACCAAAAUGUGUCUGAAAGAACUGAGCAAGGAAUUGGAGAAAUUCAAGGAGAAGACUCCUGCCAAAUCUCAUCAAAUCUCUUCUGCAGCUAAGAGAAAAGGGAAGGAGCCCAUGGUUGCUCCAUCCAAAAGAAGAAGAGCUCUCCUAAUUGAGGAUGAAGAGGAUGAAGAUGAUGAAGAUGAUAUCACCAUCUCUGCAAUGGCUUUGAAGAAUUUAAGUCGUCCUGUUCCACAGAAAGAAUCGGAACAAAUGGCGAAAGAAGCAGAGGAGAAGGAAGAAGAAGAAAGAGAAGCUGAAAAAGAAGCAGAAAGACCUGAAGAAGAAAGAAGAGAAGAAGGAGAACCUGAGGAAAUCUCUUCUCCACCUGUAGGCAUGGAAACAGGGGGAGAUCAGGAGAAAGGAGAGAAGUCUUCAUAUCCUGAUGCAAGUGAAGGAGUCAGUCGCUCACCUGCAGACCCAGAGGAUGUUUAUGCAUCUCAAUUUCCAGAGGAAGGUCAUGAAGCUUCAUCGCCAAACCUGCGAGAUUAUGCUGAUCUACCAUCAUCUGCAUUUACUCCAUCAGAUCGAGCCGAAGCAAGUACUCAGACUGAUAAUGGAGCAGAUUUUCGCAGAAUCAUGGAUAUUCUUUUGGAAAUGCGAGGUCAAAUUUAUGCCUUGGGAUGCGAAGUUCAAAGCUUGAAGAAUGAAAGUCAAGCUUCUUCCUGUUCAUUGAAUGAUAAGAUGCAAGCUCUCUCCGUUCAGAAUCAGGCCAAUGCCAAGAGUGAGGAGAUUGCACAGCUGAAGGAAGACUUUAAAAGGCUGGAAGGCAUCGUUUAGUCUAUGGAAGAUUUCCAGCUUGUCCGCGUUCCCAAGCAAUCUUGACUUCAUCUCAUCCUUUUUAAUGAUGACAAAAAGGGGGAGAGAUGCAAGAUUUGAUCAAACUUUCAAUCAUUAAUCUUUUAACUGUUUGUUGGAUUGUGUUGUUUAAACUCGUUGUUGUUUAAAAUCUGUUUGACUUUGACUUUGUUUUGUGUCUGGAUGAGAACUGAACUAGACUUGGACUUGACUGCUUCUAUAGACUUGGACUUGACUGCUUCUAUUAACAAGUAUUGAUAUCUUAUGGAUGGCUUUAUUAUAUACUAGACUAACCUAUUUUCUGUGGUUGCAGAUUCUAAUGUUAUUCUUUUAGUCAUUUAUCUCUAUAAGAUAUGCAUAUGUGUUUGAGAAAUGUUUUGCAGGUCAAAGUUAUCCAAAUCUGCAGGAAAGUUUUGUCACCAUCAAAAAGGGGGAGAUUGUUGGAGAAAUCUUCUUGAAGUAUUUUGAAGUUGACAAAACGUUUCUAUCAGUCUAGUCUGAAGGUUUGCAGACUCUGUUAUUUAAAGUCUGAAGACCUCCGGCAGCCAGACUCAAGACUCAAAGUCUAUCCUCAUUGACAGUCUCUAAUCCGUUGAAGAAAGGUUAUCCAGAACUGGAUGUUUCGUUAAGGAUUUAACCUUAUCAUCUGGAGAAGAUCUCGUGGCUGGAGAAGACGUAACAGAAUCCUUUGAUUGAUCAAGAUUGAUUCGAUGAUUGAAGAUUCGAUGAUUGUCUAAAUAUUAUUGGAAGGUUCUACUUAUGGAAACCAAGAUCCUGAUUGUAUGGGCGAACAGGAUUGAUGGGCUAUUAACACGUUCCUUUAAUAGCUCAAACAAUCUUCCUAAUUGAUUCCGUCCAACGGGUAGAUUGGAGGAAUUCCUUUAGUAAGUGCCAACGGGUAUGAUGGCAUAAAGGAGUAUCUAAGGAAAACGUUCUUAGUUGUUCGAGGUGUGCGCGAUAGAAGAAUUCCAAAGUCUGAAGCUCCUUUUUGUUUAGACAAUUCCUUUGAGCGAAUACUUGUAUACAAAAGAGAGUCUAUAUUUGUGAGAAACCUUGAGGAGGUGUGGUAGAACAUCUACACUGUGGAAUCAAGGCAAAUCUGUGCUGUAACUUCUCUUUUGAUCAUAGUGAAAUCCAGCCGGUGGGCUGUCAGUGCGGAAGAGUGGAUGUAGGCUUGGAAUAAGCCGAACCACUAUAAAUCCUAUGUUCAUUUUUCUCUUCCUCACUCUCUCUACCUCGAUUGUAUUUCAUUUUGUUAAUCAAGAGAGAAUUUCUUUCUAUCGUUUGCUAAGAAUCGCUUCCGUAUUUCGACAAAUUGUUUGUGCGCCUAUUCACCCCCCCUCUAGGUGUUUAUACUAGCUAUCUCAGGUGGAACUUGAUAUGACCCGACUUUUGUAGUUUUUGUUAAUUUUUUCUCGAGAUAUGUCUUAACUUGAACCUUAUCUUAAUACAUGGGCCGAAAAUUUACGCUCGCAGCAAUAUGACAAAUAGGUGCGGAAUGUUGACAUUUGUUAUACAUACCGAUUCUCUAAACUCAAUUCAUAGAUAUUUAUAUAGUAAUUUAGAUAUGUGUGAGAUUUUGUCGAAUCACUAAUAAUUUUCCUAAAAAACUUAACUUAUAAAAUAAAGCAAUUAUUUAAUAUAUAAAUAUUCUAACACUUUUCCUCAAACAUAGACUAGAUUUAGGUUAGUGUACAAAUUUGUAAUUCCAUCCAAAUUGUGGAAAGUCACAAUGACUCCAAGUUUUAAAACAAUUGUAAUAAGGUCCAUAUACUAUCAAUGGCCAUCUUUAAUAGAUUAUACAAUGAACUUUUGUGUAAUUUUGCUCAUCUUAUGAGUGUAAUUGAAUUCAUGGACAACACUCGAUAAGAGUUUAGUUAGGUGCUAAAAAACCCUUAAAUACCACAAUCAAUAUUCUGAAAAAUAAAAGAAAAAUCACGUGCAACUUAGUUAUCAAAGUGAUCAUAAUCGAGAAAACGUGCGUAACUCAACCGAAAUCAAAGUGAAAAGAGAGAAUGAGGAGAAAGGGACACUUGUCAAAGUGUGCGAAGCACAGAGAUGCAAAAUGAGACCACCUCCAUUGAACAUCGUAUGAACUUCCUAAACAUAGAAUUUUAAAUUCUAAUUUGUCGACAGAAUUAAUUUGAAGAAAAAUCAUCAAGAGCUUUCUCGGAUCUGGAUGAUCUCGUAUUGCCAAAAGAAGACAAAACGAAAGAACGUGAAAAGUGGCGACAAGACAAGCACCUAACACAAAUAAAAGGACAAUUUUCACCUAUUUUAGUAAGGUUCGUGUAUGAAUUAUAUUCCCAAUUAAUCAGAAUGAUUAGAUCACAUAGUGUUUAAUUAUAUACUAAUUAUCUUAUUAUGUUUUUCUCAUCGUGAUUCUCGCGAGACAAUCACCUAACACUCUGCUCAAAACUAUCACCACAUAUGUCCCAUAUGCAUCAUCAUCCAACUAAAGAAUUGUUUAAAACAUGAGCAGGCAACUUUUCAAUUUGGUACCAUUGUACCUUGACAUUGUCUAUCGGGUCACCUUUUUCAAGGCCAUUUUAUUUUCCAUUUUGGACCAUCGCAAUUAUAAGAAACACACAUUCACGAGCGCACUAAGGCUGUUCACCACCUUCUCCUUUUUAGCUUACCUUUUCCUUUUCUCUUUAACUAGCAAACAAAAAAAUGACUCCAAUAAAGGAAUAACUGUCAUUUUUUAGAAGAACAAUUAAUAUAAUCAUUAUUUUUAUUUUUCCUUAUAAGUAUGGUAGGCUUACUUCCUAUACCAUCUAUUAAAGAGAUGUCAUCAUUUGUUUAUAUCUUUGUAAAUUAGUAACUAUUAUAAUAUUUGCUUACCAAAAACAUUCUUGACGUUUACUAGUGUGCUUUCUAACUAUUACUAGGAUAUCAAAUAAACUAGUUUCUUGCGCCAUAAUUAAGAUUUCAAUUCGGGGGGUCUAUUUAAUUGAAAAAGAAAAAAAAAGUCGAGAUCUAAAAAUAUUGAUUGAACUAUAAAAUAAUUAGGAUUGUUGCGUUUCAAGAAGUGUGAGGUUUUGGUGUUUUUUUUUUUUUUUUGGUCGGUGUGAGGUUUUGGUUUUAACUAGUUGAUGUCUUCACUCGGGAUCUACACGACAAGGGGAUAAUCCCGUUGUGAAUUCCACAGUGCUGCUAGUGCCAAUGGCCUGUCUUCUACAUUUAUGGGAAUUAGUAUACGCUGCAAUCUUCCUUGCUACUCGAGAAUGUUUUCUUUUUUUCCUCCCAUUUUUUUAACCCUUUAUUUUUUGGUGGGAGUAGAAGCACGAUAUUCUCCAUUUCUUAAUUCCACCUGCACGGUCGUGAAGUGCCCCCCGCCUUUUGGAGGCUAGUGAAACAUCAUGCGAGGGCAGCAAGAGAGAGUAGGUUCAGGGAUUUGGCUCGUACAAACGGUUCAGAUUCAAUAUGAUUCACACGUAAUUUAUAAGUGUGAACAAGUGUGGCAUUUCAUUACUAAGGGUGUGCAUGACAAAAUUUCUGGAAUAGAAAUUUGUUUCAGAAAUAAAAAAAUUAAAUUGUGUUAUCAAAUGGAUUUCUGUUACAAACCUAUUACAAGGAACAGAGAAACAGAGAAAUAGAAAAGUAUAAAUUUUAUUAUGCGCAUCCUAAAUACGUUCAUGCAUGUAAAGGCUUGUUGUCUAUAGUAAUAAGAUAUUAGUGUUGAGGCAUACGCUGUUCAUAUGCGUGAUCCUCCGUGAAUUAUGUGAAUUACGUAUGGGGAGAAAAAUAAUUUUUUUUCGGAAGGAAUUCAACAAUAAGUUAAUUAAGUGGAUCUGUAAGGGAUAACUAUUAAACAUGUUUGAGUUUUUUUUUUUUUUUUGUCAUAAACAUGUGUGAGUUGAGUAGUAACUCAAUGAAAGAGAUUUAAUGGGAGAAUAAUUUCGGAAUUAGUAGAAAAUAGAAUAAAAAACUGAUUCUAAUUUAAAUACAUCAAUAUACAAAUCACACGGGAACAAGAUUUCAAAUUAGAUGAGAGUAGUUUUAGGAUCGGUCUAGAUUCUAUAUAGAAAUUGGAACCUAACUUGUUGGAGUUGGUUUCUCAAUUUUUGAAACCUAAAAUCUACUCUGCAUACUCUACAAUCUAUAACUUACCUUGUCAAUCGGUUUUAGUAUUUACAUGGAACCCAUCGAUUUUUUUUUUUUCAUGUUCUUUUUGUUUUUGUUUUUGUUUUUGUUUUUGUAUUUCAUUUUUAGUUAAGCAAAAUGAAAGCGAUUGUUAUAAAAAAAUUCCCACAACAAUUCAUGAAACACUAAUACAUUAUCUCGUUAAUGAGUCAUAAUAUCCUCCCUUCUUCCGUAAUAGUUUUUCGUCAUCGCUGGGCGUAUGCAAUAGCUUCUGGUGGUGCAAUCUCUCCUCCUUACAAGAACAAUAUUAAAAGCUCACCCCUUCACUUUAGACCACUAGUGCACGGAGACAAAUACAAGAUCACAGAAAAACCAUAAUCAUGCUGGUAACAGUAGCAGCAGUUUGCGCAUUAUUAUAUUUUAACGAAUGCGAGAUGAAAGAGAAGAGAACCGUAAUCUGUAGAAGGGUUUGACGCAUCCGAAAAGGCCAAAGCGGGCAACUUCUGCUUCGAAAAUGACUCGAGUUUGUUCUGGAUGCUUUCAUUCUUCUCCGGACAAUAGGAACAUACCACAGGAUUCAGAUCGAGAACAUGCAUAAAAAGACUGAGUGAUAAUUAAAUGAUUGAUAUGUAGGUUUGUGGUUUGGUUCUUGAUCUGAUUCCCAAUCUAGUUCUUUGGUUCUUAGUUUCCGGUCCGGUUCAAAAAACAUGAUGGAAAAUUGUUUUAAAAAAAAAAAAAACUAAAGCUAUUACAUUAGUGUCAAUUCAAUUCUAAAUUUUUUAAUGGUGCUAAUUGAGUCAUAAAUCUUUUGAAAUAGUGCUAACUUAGUCCUAAACAUUUUGACUUGGUGCCAAUUUAAUUUUCUGGCUAAUUUUGGCUAGACAUUGCUUAAGUGGAAGCUAGCUUGCUUAUGUGGUAGCACCGCCAGCAUUGAUAUAGAUAAUUAUUGAUAAUAUUUUAAUAUUUUUUUGAAUUUUGGAAUUAUUAUUUUUUCUUUCUUUCCCUCUCUUUUCUUCUUCAUUUUGUCGGUGAUUGGCCACUGGCCAUAGGUGAUGACCAGCCACCGGCCACGGCUAGGUGGGCUAACCUUGCUUGGCCAUGAUGAGAUCGAGCUUCGGUAAGAUCUGGUAGCAAGAGUCGGCCUUGCCAGAUCUUACCAGAAUUUGGAAUUGGACCGGCUCCUAUCGAUCUAGUUUUGCGGUUCCUGAUUUUACCUUAAAAUCAUACUCACCUUUAUUCACAAUAAGGCAAUAGUUCCUACUUUUAACUCAAGUGAAUUGAGGUGGCCCAUCUGCGCAAUGACUAAAGUGACACAUUUACACCUUAGAUACGUCUAAAUAAUCCCGAAAUUGAGGUUGAAUUUGAUAUGACUUGACUUUUGCAUUUUUUGCUAUUUUUUUUCUCAACAUAUGCCUUAAUUUGAAUGUUAUCUUAAUAUAUGGCCCGUAAAUUUACCCCGCCAAAAAUAUCAUAAUAGGUGCCAAAUGUUGACAUUUCAUAUACGAAUUGAUUCUCUAAAGUCUAUUUAUAGAUAUUUAUAUAAUAACUUAGAUCUGUAUGAGAUUUCAUGUGAUCAUUGUAAACUAUUUUAAAAGUUUAAAUUGCUAAAUAAAGUAAUUAUUUAAUAGUUAAAUAUUUAAAUAUUUCCCAUCAAGCGUAGGCUGGAUUUAGGUCAAGCCUAGAGUGUGCAAAUAUGUAAUUCCAUCCAAAAUGAGGGAAUUCGUGAUGGCUCCAAGUUUUAAGGUCCAUAUACUAUCACUAGCUAUCUUUAAUAGACGACAAAAUGAAGUUUUGUUCUUUAUGAAAAUUAACCUUUGUGUAAUUUUGAUUGUAAUUAAAACCGUGCGAAACACUCGGUAAUAAUUUAGUCAGGUGUUCAAAAUUCCAAAUACCAGAAAAAUCACGUGCGACUUAAUUAUCAAAGUACUAAUGACGGAGAAAACGUACGUAAUUCAACCGAAAUCAAAGUGAAAAGAGAGAAUGAGGAGAAAGCGACACUUGUCAAAGAGUGCGAAGCAUAGAGAUGCAAAAUGAGACCACCUCCAUUGACCAUCUUAUGAACUUCCAAAAAUAGAAUUUUAAAUUCUAAUUUGUCAACGGAAUUAAUUUGAAGAAAAAUCAUCAAAGAGCUUCCUCAGAUCUGGAUAAUCUUGUAUCACCAACAGAAAACAAAACAAAAGAACGUGGAAAGUGGCCACAAGACAAGCUCCUAACACGAAGUUAAACGGAGCAUUCUCACCUAUUUUAGUAAGGUUCAUGUAUAAAUUAUAUUCCCAUUAAUCAGAAUGAUAAGAUCAUAGAGUUUAAUUAAAUACUAGUUAUUUUAUUAUGUUUUUCUCAUCGUGAUUCUCGCGAGACAAUCACCUAACACUUGGCUCAAACCUAUGACCACAUUUGUCCCAUAUGCAUCAUCAUCCAACCUAAGAAUUAUUUAAAAAUUUGGGCUGGCAAUUUUUCAAUUUGGUGUACCUUGGCAUUGUUAACGGGGUCACCUUUUUCAAGGCCAUUUUAUUUUCUAAUUUGGGCCAAACGACAAUUAUAAGAUAUACACCUUCACAAGCGCACUAAGACUGUUCCCCACCUUCCCCUUUCUUAGCUGACCUUUUCAUUUUCUCUUUAAGUAGCAAACAAAAAAAAUGACUCUAGUAAUAUAAUAAUUACUUUUUCUUUCCUCUAGGAAUAAUUCUCAUUUUUUCAGAAGUAUAAUUAAUUUAAUCAUUACUUUAAUUUUUUGAGUAUGUAUAGUAAGCUCACUUCCUAUACCAUCUAUUAAAAAGAUGAAAGUCAUCGUUUGCUUAUAUCAUUGUAAAUUAAUAACUAUUAUAAUGCUUGCUUACCAAAAACAUUCUUGAAAGCCGUUUGUAUGCUUUCUAACUAUUACUGGGAUAUCGAAUAAAUCAGUUUCUUUCCUUAUAAUUAAGAUUUUGAUUCCCAAGGUCUGUGUAAUAAAAUAACUAAAGAAAUAAAAGUCGAGACCUAAAAGUGUUGAUCAAGCAAUAAAACAACAAGGAUUGUUGUGUUUUAACAAGCAUGAAGUCUCGGGUUCGAUUACUUGAUACGACCGCUUGGGGUCCAUGCCAAAAGGGGAUAAUCUCAUGUUAGUCUCGCAGUGCUGCUAGUACGGAUUGCUUGUCCUUUACCAGACUUGAGAGGUGGAUUUAAUCUGGUGCAUGAGGACUGUUCGAGAAUAUAUACCGUCUCUCGCUUUUAAAUGAAAAUAGGAAAGAAAAUUUGUAACAUGUGAAACAAACUAUGGGCAAGAUCCAGAAGAUUUCAGUGCCACUUCCCUAAGCAUUAAAUAUAAUUUCCUAGAGUACCGGCAAGCACAAACUGCUGCUGCGUCCGUUCUGAAUACCACCUUUUUCCAGCAGAAGACGGUAUCUCAGGAGGAAACACCCAAGAAAGGGCCUUGGCAUGGCUAAACGACAAAAUCAAUUACAAAUUAAAAAACUAGUUUCUUAAUGGAAUCAGUGCUUAGUUAGUUUAUUGACCAUCGAUUAGCACUGUUCAAACAUGUUCUCUAAUUGUCAUUUCCAGUCUUAAUCCACCAAGACAGGCAACUAACCACUUGGCCCAAUCAAGGCAGAACAAAUUGUGAUCUGCUAUCAUGAGAUCUCAUGAUUUCUAGGCAUGUUCUUAUGGCAAAUCGAACCAGAUUAUCUCAGGCAAAUCGAACCUGUUUAUUUCUGUCUGUCCUAUAGAGAAGCUAAUUUCUGUUUCAACUAAUUGAAAGGCUAACUACUUAAUGAUGGAUGGUAGGGAGAUUUGUUAAUGGACAUUGGACAUGAAUAUUGAAAGGGCAGCCGACAAAUUAUUUUUGUUGUUUUUUUUAUUGGUAUAUAACCAUUUAGUACGACUAUAAAAAUUUAGCUUUGGAAAGUUCAAAGAAGACAUAUCAAUUUAUAAUGCAUGAAAUAAAAUAGUAUUAUAAAAUAAAUCGAAAUUUGAGAAUGUGCCGAAAAGAUGGCGCUCUCUGGUAGUUUGAAAAGGUAGGAAAUUACCAAGUACUCAAAUAGUUAUUAAGUUCUAAUUACCCAAAGAAAAAGGGGGUAAUGAGUGUAUUGGUGGCUGCUCAUUGAUCAGAAAAAAGGGCAGUUGAAACGCUCCCUUGCGCCGUUCUUUUAGACGAUAGUGAUGAUGAGGGGGGACAACGAUUGAAAGUGGAGCUUCCUGGUUUGUUACGUUAUUACAUAAAUAAGACUAUUUGAACCGAGCUCUAAUCAUUAAACAUCUCAAGUCGAGAUUGAAAUCCUUCAAGAAAAUUUAAUAUUCAACUGACAAAAUUAAAAAGAUUUAUAAUUAAAUUGAUAAAAGUAAAAUAAGUUUAGAACUUUUUGGAUAAUUUUUACAUAAGAAGUGAGAUGACUAAUCAAUAUGAGCUUUGAUUUCGUGGUUUGACAAGUUGGAAUCUUUUAGAUGGGCGUGCCUUGAACCUUUGUGUUUCACUUUAGCAAUCCCGUCGUCUUUGGUUGGUAUUUUCUCUAAUAAGCUCGUAUUAUUCCGUUUAGGCUGAUUUAUUCUUAUAUUACUUAUUUGAUGACAAAAGGAGUUCAAAAUGAUGAGCUCUCUUUAGAGGAUUAAAUCAAGUUCGGUUCGAGAUUUCUCAUACUCGAUUUGAAAUGCCUUCACUCAGAAGACAGGAUUUUCCCAGUGCGACGAUGGAUAAUAUUACUUCGACUUCUGCAUCUUGCUAAUGCAAAAUCAUUCUCAGAACAUAACAAAAUGGUUCCCAACACAAAUGAUUAAUAUGGGAAAGUGGUGGGACAAUCAUACGUUGAUAAAAUUAAAUUUGUAUUUUGAAUCUCUACGAACGUAUUGAGGACGAGAGGCUGAGGUGUUGCGACCCCUGGCCCCUCCACACGCUCCCUUUGCCAUCCCCGUGAAGAUUUCGUUUCCUCUGUGAUUUAUAUGUCUUGAAAAUGUUAGAAGUGGAAGCUGUUGAAUCGAAAAGGAUCAAAUGUUCCCACUAUAAGACAUUAGAAAAGUACCAAAAAAGUUUUAAAUUUGUAGCAUUUCCAUCAAUUCAGUUUUAAACUUUUGAGGCAUCCAAACAAAGCAAAUCUCAAAGAUGUUGGGGAGGCUGGACUACCCAAGAAUGGGACAAGGAAUUCAUUUUACGGCCUUAGUUACCCAAUCUGCUACACAAUUUACAGAUCGACGACAAUGGGCCAAGGAGAUAUUUUCAAAAGAGCCCAACAGGUAUUUAGCUUCGUCCACUAUAGGCUUAAUUUAACUUGAUUAUCACUCCUCUAAUUACUAGCUCUUUCUAAAGAUUACCAACCUAAUUUAGAGUGAGUUACCAACCUUUUCCAUUUACUUGGUUAACCCUUUUUUUAAUAGUAACCCCCUUUUCUUAAUCUUUCUUGCUAACACCUCAAUAUCUACCAACUACUAUAUGAAAUUACUAACCUUUGUUCGAGUGCUUAUAGAUUGUUCCUUCGAUUUCUUCCUUUUUUGAAUUUGCUCCAUGAUACGACUUUAAAAGUUUGUGAUUCUUAUUCAAUAGUAAACAUUGUAUGAAGGAUUUCUACGUCAUUCAUACUAUGAUUGAUGGAUACUGUGAGAAUGAGGACAUGGCUUGUAGUAAAUGACCAGAUAACGAAGACCAGAUUCAGUUACAGUAAGUAUUUUAGCAAUGUACAACAUCAAUCUUACUCUGUUCAUUGCUUCCAUAAUUGACCCUCAACAUAAGUGGGAAUAUGUGAGACAUUUAAUCAAUGAUGUUUAUGAAAGUUAGCUGAUAGAAACAUUACAAGAUAAAACAUCUCCAACGUUGCCAUUUGAGCAAUACCAAAUUGGCGUGCCUUCGAAGCAACAAGUGAGGGUUGAGGUAAAAAGGUACGAGGAUGAUAUGCGUGUCAAAGAUUCCUCUAGUUGGUACUGGCAUUGUGACUGCGAAGUGCCUUUGCCAAAUGGGACAACACAAUCUGAAAGAAAAAUCUGAAUUGGAUAGUAUUUAGAUGACGCAUGUGAAUGUCACAGCCUUGACUUUGAUAUGUUGAAUUGGUGGAAAGUAAAUUCUUCAAGAUAUCCUACUUCUCUUCCAUUGCUCCAGACAUUUUGGUUGCACCGCCUGGGAUUUUGUUUUAAUGAGAAACGGGAUUCGAUUCUCUGUUUAAGCUCUUCCUUUUCCUGAUAUCAUAACCAAAGAAGACGACUUCAGAGCUAUAUCCAUCAGUCAUCACUAAAAAAAUCAAAACAAGGCACUGUUCUCAAAGUAUGGCAACUGACAGUUUUCUGGUUCCAAGUAUCUAAAGAGCCAGUGUUCAUUGAGCAAGUCUUUAACCCACUGUAAAAACACACGUGCAAACCAUUGAAGAUAACCAACAAUAAAUGGUGACGCAGAAAUACUAAUGAAAGCAAAUGACCAUAGUCCACCAGUAUAUAUUGAACCAAGAACUAAAUUCAUAAUGAAAAUAAGAAAUGGGAUUAAAUGUACCAAUCCGCAACUUCAUUAGUCAUCAAGAGAAACUACCAUUGAGUUUGGCUCCAUGAUCGGAGUUGAGAACUCUGCAUUAAAUUGAAAACAAAAGUAACCAUCACGAUAUAGAAGGGAAUAAACACUCUAUAAAGCUUAUUUUUACCUGAUUCAAAAUUUUCAAGGUCUUCCAAGUCAUCCUCAAUUGAAAGUGAAUGGCAUAUAUUAUAUAUAAUCUUGAACACAUAUAGAGUUCUACCACACUCAGGCUCAAGGAGCUACGUAAAAACCUCUCAUACUAAUGUGGCCUCUGAUGCUAUAGUUGACGGGCACAUCCAAUAUGUCUUGAGCAGUGAAAGAGAGAAUAGGAUAUCUCGAAGCAUUCACUUCCACUAAUUUAAGAUAUCAAAGUUGGGCCCAUAACUUCUCAUGCUUUCUUUGAACAAUUAUUAAAUUCAGAUUUUUUUUCCAAACUUUGUCAUCCCAUUUGGAUACAGUACUUCGCCGUCACAAUGUCAUCACCAACUACAAGAAACUUUGAUAGGCUUAUAAUACUCAUACUUUUUGACCUCAACCCCUUAUUUGUUGCUUUGGGGGCAUAUACCAAUGUGGUAUUGCUUGAACAAUAACAUCAGAGAUGUUACUUUUAUCUCCUAAUGUCUCUGCCUGCUUACUUUCAUAUCAAUCAUCUUACAUAUUUCCACUUUGUCGAGGGUCAAGCACGUAAGCAAUGAAUAAAGUAAGAUUAAUGUUGUUCACAUUACCAAAAUACUUAUUGAAUUUGGUCUUCAUUCUCUUGGCCAUUUCGUGCAUUCUUUAUUCCUCAAUCUCACAAUGUCCAUCAAUCAUCAAUCCCAUAGACACGCAAUCAUUACUAGUGAUAUAACUUUUGCUUUGGAAAGGUCUGCAAGUUUGCUAUCUUGAAUUUCCAAUACGCCAAAUCUGGAUCCAACAUCAUAUGUGUUGAGUUCCAACAUUCUCAAUAUCCAAACGGACAAAACUCUUGUACUCAAGAUUCUCUAGCUCAAUGCAACU
rnacentral:lncRNA from 1 species